rnacentral:lncRNA from 1 species
AUUUUUAUUAUUUCUUCUAAAGCAUACUUACUAUGUCCUAAACUGAACCAAACUGAAGUAUACUUAAGUAUGGACAAACAACGCUCUUGCAAUACAUCAACCAGGAAACAAUUGCAAAAUAUACAAAUAAGAUCAACCUGAGUAGUUUACUUGUUACUCACAACAGAUAAAAAAAUCAAAUUGACUAGAAGAAAUAACAUCAUUGGUACAUAUAUGCCUUGUGGUGGUGUCGCUACUGGUCAAAUAUAUUACACUUCAUCGAGAAACUUCAGAACACCGAAGCAAAUGUUUUUUUAUGAUACCAGCUUGAAGUCCAUAUAUCAUUUUGUUGAACAACUAUCCACCUAUAUGGCUGUAGGACCCUGCACAUUAGAAAAAAAGAACCAUCACAUAAUCUAAACAAUUAAUUAAAAUGUCACAUUAAUUUAAGGUACACGAUAUAAAAACUCCAAGUGUAUGUCUAAUUGGCCUCAAGACCAUAAGAAAAUAAGUUGUGCGUCUCUUAGACAUCUUGACUACCAUGAGAAGCCACCUCCAUUUGACACUCUUUGCAGCAUUGCCUCCAGCUCCAUCUAUGAUGUAUCAAUGAUCAUUAUUGUCUUCCGCCAUCACCUCACUACAAAAAAUGCAGAAACUAACUUCUAAGGAACAAAUCAAAGUCAAUAAGCAUGCUUGUUCAUUCAAUUUUUUACAACAUCAGGUACAGAGAAGGAAAUCUCAAGACGAGUUGAUACUUACCUCAGACACGAUGCCAACUGUCUUUGAGAGGGGCAUAGCUCGAAGGGGAUGGAUCCUCGGUAGCAGCAGGUCCAGCAGCAGUGUGAGCCUGCAGAUGGAGCCCCGGUAGCAGCAGAUCCAGCAGCAGCAAGAGCCCGGAGAUGGAGCCCCAGCAACAGCAGGUGGGACAGCAGCGGGAGCCCGGAGAUGGAGCCCUGGCAGCAGCAGGAGCGGGGACUGGCAAGGACGACAGUGGGAUGUCGAGGGGGCGGUGCGAGGACGGCGGUUCGAUGUUGAAUCGAGAGGGCGACGGCUCGAUCUCGGGAUAUGGAGCUUGGGGGGAGGGGCGGACUGCAAGGACGGGUGGAUGACGAGGUGGAGCUUAGGGGCGAGGUAGUGCAAGCUCCGAGACAACGACUUGAAAACGGGGUAGAGCGCGAGGCCGGCGGCAGGACUGUGGAUCGAGCACGAGGGCAGCGGCGGCAGGCACGGGUUAGGGCUGUGGAGUUGGGUUCGAGAUGGAGGUAAUUUGCACAACGGUGGCGGAUAUUUUACAUGAACACCCCAAUAUUCCCCGCCUCGCGCCGAAAUCGUGCGCCACAAGUUUCCAACCUUUGGUCCAUUGACACGUGUCCAUCUAUGCCGACACUUAGUCUGUGUCCAUACACCCAACAUACGCCGACACAUUUUAGGUUGCUGCGCACUUACCUACUGUCGGUGUCAAAACCUGCGGAUCUCGGAUAGGGGGUCCCGAAUUGUGCGUCUAAGGCAAAUGGUAACAGGAGAUUGGGGACACGAUGUUUACCCAUGUUCGGGCCCUCUCAAUGGAGGUAAUACCCUACUUCCUGCUUGAUUGAUCUUGAUGAUAUGAAUAUUACUAGAGUUGAUCUACCACGAGAUCAGAGAGGCUAAACCCUAGAAGCUAGCCUAUGGUAUGAUUGAUGAUGAUGAUCGUGAGUCCUACAGACUAAAACCUCUGGUUUAUACAGACACCAGAGGGGACUAGGGUUACACAGAGUCGGUUUACAGUGAAGGAGAUCUACAUCCGGAUCGCCAAGCUCGCCUUCCACGCGGAGAGUCCCAUCCGGACAUGGGACGAAGUCGUCUGUCUUGUAUCUUCAUAGUCCAACAGUCCGGCCAAAGCAUAUAGUCCGGCUGUCCGGAUACCCCCUUAUCCAGGACUCCCUCAGUAGCCCCUGAACCAGGCUUCAAUGACGAUGAUUCCAGCGCAUAGAUUGUCUUCGGCGUUGCAAGGCGGGUUCCAUCUCCGAAUACUCCAAUAUAAAUUCCAAACACAUGGACCGUAUCCGGCUCUGCAAGAUAACAUUCCAUAUACCACUGUAGAGAGAAUAAUAAUAAUCCACGAAUCUAAUCUGCUGACAAUUCGAAGAGUGACAUCACGCCAUGGUCCGGUUUUUAUUCGAACCGUUCCUACAACUUGCUACCGCACACACCACGAGGCGAUUUCUUCACCACGUCCUGUCAGAGCAAAGAUCGUGUUGCCCCUUAUUACGGGAUCCUCAUCAAUACGGGUAUGGAUAAUCCAACCAUGCCUGUUGGCAUGACCCCGUGUUUUUAGGCAAGUCCCAAACGACCACGUUCGGGGACGUUUGAUAUUCUUCCCCUUUAUAAAGGGGCCGAGGCCUAUCCCUCUAUCUCCACGCUCGCACAUCUCGCGCCCUGAGUUCCAACACCCAAAGCCCGAGCUUAAGCACUCCGGAUCUCCGAUCAUGUCCGGAUCUGACCAUCAAGGCGGAUGGAUGGCCUCCUCUAUCACAGAGUAGGAUAUUGCGAAGCUCAGGGAGGCUGGGUAUUUGACCGCCGAUGUCAAGCACAGGCUUCCUGGUCCCGAACAGGUUAUCCCCACUCCCGAGACCAAUGAGAGUAUCGUAUUUUUCUCCCACUUUCUCCGGGGCUUCGGUCUCACUCUUGAUCCCUUUGUGAGGGGGCUCAUGCACUACUAUGGGCUAGAUUUCCAUGAUCUAACUCCGGAUUUCAUCCUCCACAUCUCGUCCUUUAUUGUUGUGCGUGAAGCCUUCCUUCACAUUGCCCCCCACUUCGGCUUAUGGCUCAAGACUUUCGAUGUGAAGCCAAAUAUAAUUGAGGAGCGACACGUAGAGUGCGGAGGUGCCACAAUGCAGGAACGCCUAUGCCCCAUGGCCCGAAGGCUCCUUCCCGAAGGUAUCUGAUUUAUGGCAACGAAGGUGGUUCUAUGUCACAGCUCCCCGAGGCUCAUAGUGGGUGGCCACGCCUGCCUUCCGCUCGGGCCCUCCACCCCAACUGGCAUCAUGGCCAAUGUGGGACUAAACUGGGGGCCUGCGGACGAUGUACCAAUGCUUCAUAGCCGCAUUCGGGAGCUCCUCGAGAGGAACAUUAGUCUCAUCAAAUUAAUCCAAGUAAUGCUAGUCUGGCGGAUCCUACCGUGCAAACGCCGGCCUCUGCGGAUGUGGGAAUUCAAUCUAGAAGGUUCGCGGACCAUUCAACACUUCUUCGGUAUGACACCCGAAGGGAUGUACGAGUUGUUCUUUGGACCACGAAUAAAGUGUCCGGACACCACCGAGGACGGGGGCCUGAGCUGCAAUCGCCUUGAUACCAUAAUAAGUAACCCCAUAACCGAACGCCUCGCUUAUAUUUUUCAUAGCAUUGUUCUAAACACUGUCCGCAACCAGGAUUGGCUUAGAAAGACGGAGUGGAUCAGGUGUCCAGCCCCUCUUCCCGAAGGUUCAACUGGCCCAGCAAUGGCCAGGAUUCUCGAACGAACACUUAGUCGGAUGCCACCAGAGAAGGAUGAAGGGGAGAGCGGGGAGGCCAAGAGUAGGCCUCACUCACUGCGCAUCCGAACCAGAGGAAUCAGCGCCUCCACAGAGGAGGAGAACCGGGGGGCGACUCUGAGGUUCCCUCCCCCCGCGGGAAGAAAAGGGCCGCCUCCAUAGAUUUGGAGACGGAGGUGCCUAAACAAGGGAAAAGAAUUUCGCCAAAGGACCCUACUUCGAAGGGCGUCCUCGCCGUACAGCGCCCGCCAACGGGCCAGCCCUCCAUCGAGAUGUAAGUUUAAUUAAGCCAGGAUCUUAUUGCUUCUUCCUCUGAGAGUAAUGACCAGGACCUGUUUUUGUAGUCCGGCUAGCAGUUUGUCUCAACAGGGUCGUCCUCGGGGGAUCUUCUUUCGGAGAUGAUGGAGAGUGAAACCCCACCAGCCUCUCCGCCCCGUGGGGUGGGCGAACCUGAGGUAUCGUCACGGAGGAGUCCGGAUCCAAUGGGGCCGGAACCUAACACUUCGGCCACCCCGAGCCCAGCGUGUUGGGAUCCCAUGGCGGACAAUGAAAAGGAUCUGGGAGAGUCCGGAGUCCGACCGAACGCGCUGACGGGCCUCCUGGAGUCAACUGAUCUCUUGGAGUGUCAUCGUACCCUAAUGGGUAUGGUGUUGGAGAAAACCUCCUCCACCACGAGCGGUUUAAACGAAGCUUUUAAGAGCCUGCUCAAAGGCUUUGAGGUAAGCCGUAAUGUUUAGUUGAACCACACGCGAUACAUGCGCUCUGUAUAGAUAGUAGCCCCUGAGACUGCGGAUGGCAGCCCAUGGUGGCAAACAGAGGAUCACACUCCUAGAUUAUGACCGCACCUGUAUUGAUGUGCAGGUUGCUAAGGGUUCGGCAAUAGACCGGGCCGCUGAAUGCGCCGAAUUGAGGCGGCAGAUUGGCGUUGUGGAGGCCGAUGUUACGCUUGUGAACAAGCGAUUUGAGGAGUCGCAGAGUAUGCUUUCCUAUAUCCACAUCUAUCUUUGCAAUAAGGUUUUAAAUACUAAUGUGGCAUUAUGUAAUUGCAGGCGGAGCUGCUGCCAUUGAGGCCCUAAGGGCGGAGCUUGCUCUAGCCAAGGAACAAGCCCGGAUUAGCAAUGCGGCUGCUCUAAAGGCAGCCGAAGAAUUAAAGGCCGAAUAGGCCACUCGUCUUCGAGGCAAGGAGAAGAUAGCCGAGAUGGUUGUGGAGCUGAGGGACGCCGCCGGCCGGUAUGAGCUUCUCGAAAAGGAGAAUCAAACAAAGGCGGCCGAUCUAAAGAAGGUGAUGGAUUCGGCCAAGGAGAUGCGCUCUCAGAUUAGAGACGCAUGGGAGGAACUUCGACAAACUGGAGAAAUCGCGGCCGAAAGACCAUAUGUCUUGCGGAUGAAGUUUUUGGAUCCAAAGUAUGCUCCAUUGGAUAAGCUAUGGAGCGCUGUAGAGGAGUAUGCGGACUUGGCGAAGAGUACGGCUAAUGCGACCAAGUUAUUCAAGGACCAUGAGGAUAAUAAAAUGGAGAGGCUGUUCUGGUCGCAAUUUGAUGUUCCAGCGCGUUCCUUGCCCUAGAGUGAGAAGAUGGCCGCCAUAGCCGAGCUCCAUAGAUUGUCCGGCCUUGCAAUGAGGUCUGUAAUAGACCAUUUGUGGCCGAAGGAGCCGAAGCUGGACAGUUACUUUGGUCUGGUGCAAUGAGUAUUUGGCGCCAGGGCGCAGAUUGAUGCCAUGAAGAGAUCAUCUUGCAUGGAGGGUGCGCGGUUGGCUCUUGCCCGUGUGAAAACAUACUGGGCGGAUAUGGAGGCCACCCGCAUUGCAACCCGGGGUCCGGCUGGAAGCCAAGACCCAGCCGAGCAUUAUUUUGAGCAGGUUAUAGAAGUUGCUCGUAGAAUAGAGGCCCAGUGCUCCAAGAAUGUUAUGUUUGAGUGAUGAAAUUGUAAACAACUAUGUGUUUAAUUAUGGAGGCUGCUUUUUUGCAUAUGUUUCCUGAAAGUAUUAUAGUGUCUCCUGUGCGGCUAUUUAUAUAUGCAUAUAAUCGUGAAAGUUAGCAGUCGUUGGCUUCAACCCCCACGCGCAUAAUGCGGGGGUGUUCGAGAAAAUAUGCGUGAACACACUUGAUCCAACGUCUUGGUCCAUUAAGGAGGUGAUCGCACGUCGAACCAGGCAACUGGACUAUAUAGCUGUAACACUUUCGCUUAGCCAUAGGAGUUGAAAGAUGGGGCCACUAUAUAGCCCCUGGUACUUCCGCGUGCAUCCGGAUACGGUGCGCCAACUUGACCGGUAGACUGGUCCUUUGUUAAUACGGAGGAAUCCUAUAGAUUCCAAUGAGUCCUCGAGUGGUUGACCAGUCUCUCGCCAUAUCAUGACAGUCAGUUUUCGGCUUUCUCUACUGAGGUGCUCAUCCAGAGUAACCAGGGCACAAUCGCAGUAGUUCUCCUUUGGCCACCUUAGCCGAUAGAACGGAACGUAAGGCAGCAAACCCAGGAGCUGGGCUAACCCAAGUUUUGACCAAAGACAUGAUUCGGAGCUGAUGCAUAUAAGGCCAAACUCAUGACGCCAAACACUCCCGAAGGUAUUCGAAGUUUAUAAAAUAUAUUGGGCUAAACAAUGCCCUUGACCCUGUGAUUCCAGGUACACGCAUUGAUCUGUCAUGGCAAAGAAGCCUAACAUGACAGUGUCCCGUACAGGUGUAUGAAAUACCCAUGGGACGUUGAGCAACAAGAGACAGUAAAAAAGGUUUACGCAGAGGCUUAAUCUAAAGAGUAACCUGUGGGCGGGGCCCAUGCUGCACAUCUACGCCUGUGUCUCUAUUGUGCCAUAUCCUGGAAGGGUGUCGCACUGGUAGUGUCUGUAAGAACGAAAAAGGAAAACGUGCGAAAAGUUAGUUAUGCUCGAGGAAUAUUGGAGAUCCGGCCUGUUAAAGAGGUGAGCCGAAUUGUGGGCAUGCGUUACAUGUUUGCAGCCCCUCGUAUUAUUUAUGGGGACACAUGUACAGCCCCUGGCUCAGGUUUAUUCGAGCUAUUGUGAAAAAAUUGUGUAUUGGACUCGGCUAACCAUGUCCGUGGUCUUGACGACCGGUCAUGCGUUCUGGUGGGAGAGGCCACCUAGAGUCCAGCAGUGGGAACUGCCGCAUACUGUUCUGUGUUUCCGCUAACCGUGAUGGCGCCGCGUGGACCGGGCAUCUUCAGUUUAAGGUAGGCGUAGUUCGGUAUUGCGUUAAAGCAAGCGAAGGCUGGUCUUCCAAGCAAUGCAUGAUAAUCACUGCUGAAGAGAGCGAUGUUGAAGAGUAAGUUCUCGCAUCUGAAGUUGUCGGGAGAACCGAAUGUUACUUCUAACAUGAGGGACUGCCAACAAUGGGCCACGAUGCCUGGAAUUACUCCAUUGAAGGUGGUGUUGUUUUGAUUUAUUCUGGAUGGGUCUAUCCCCAUCCUGCGGAUGGUGUCUUGAUAUAUCAAAUUAAGACUACUGCCGCUGUCCAUUAGGACACGAGUGAGAUGGUAUCCAUCGAUUAUUGGGUCGAGCACCAAGGCAGCCAAUCCUCCAUGCCGGAUACUGGCCGGAUAGUCCCUGUGAUCAAAAAGUGAUCGGGCAAGUUGCCCAGGGUUUAUAUUAGGGGGCUACGAACUCUGAGUGAGUUGCGUGUACCAUGUUUACCGUUUUGACUUCCGGUGGGAAUUGUUUCUGGCCCCUAGUGUUCGGCUGGCGAGGCUCAUCCUCAUCUUCGCUUGGUGUUUCCCUUCCCUAAUGUUUGGCAUUUAACUUGCCGUCCUGCUUGAAGACCCAACAUUCUCUGUGGGUGUGAUUUGCAGGUUUGUUGGAAGUGCCAUGGAUUUGGCACAAUCUGUCCAGGACUUUGUUCAGGCCGGAUGGUUCCUCUUUACUGCCGUUAAAUGGUUUUUUUCCUUGACCGGGCCGAGGGCCCUUGAAUCCGGCGUUGACUGUUGUGUUGUAUAGACUGUCGUUAUUCUGACGUUUGUUCUUGGCAUGCCGUGGCUUCCCGUUGCCAUCUCGGAUUUCGGAUGUGCUGGGGUCGCUGGUGCCUUUACGGGCCAACCAGCUGUCCUCGCCCACGCAAAAUUGGGUCAUGAGGCUUGUUAAGGCUGCCAUCGUUCUCAUCUUUUCUUGACCGAGGUGUCUGGCAAGCCACUCGUCUCAGAUACUGUGUUUGAAGGCCGCUAAGGCUUCAGCGUCCAGGCAGUCGACAAUUUGAUUCUUCUUAGUGAGGAAUCUGUUCCAAAGUUUGUGGCCUGCCUCUCCAGGCUACUGUAUUAUGUGACUUAAAUCGUCCGCAUCUGGAGGCCGGACAUAAGUCCCUUGAAAGUUGGCCCUGAAAGCAUCCUCAAGUUCCUCCCAACUUCCAAUUGAGUUUUCGGGGAGGCUUUUCAGCCAAUGACGAGCUGUUCCUUUUAACUUCAAGGGGAGAUAUUUAAUGGCGUGGAGGUCGUCCCCACGAGCCACGUGUAUGUGAAGGAUAAAAUCUUCAAUCCAGACCUCGGGGUCCGUCUUUCCGUCGUAUGACUCUAUAUUCACGGGUUUGAAUCCCUGUGGAAAUUCAUGAUCCAGCACCUCAUCCGUGAAUCACAAGGGGUCUGCAGCCCCUUUGUAUCUGGCUGUGUCGCGGCUGCUGCUAGCCGUUAUUGCUCCCGGUGUUGAUUUCGGACUGAUAUUCCAUCGGUAUGAUUGCCGUGGUGACCAUACUCCCGCACCGGAGCCUGUCCUCUGUACCCAUAGAUGGACCUGGCCGCACUGGCCUUUUUAUCCAGGAGCUCUCAUAAAUCAGGUGCGGUAUCAGUGGUUGCUCUAUCGCAGCCAUGAGGUGGUUGGUCCGGCUGAGUAGCUAUAUUGUUUUUGGGCCAGACGGGUGCUGCGGCUUCAUUGUCGAAUUCGGGUAGUAGUUUGCGCUUUGGGUAGCUCUUUGUGUGGUGAUUAUCGCCAUGUUUUCCUUCGGUGUCCAGCUCCUUAUUCCAUCAUCGGUUGAGCGUAUCCUGCGCGGCCUUGAGUUUUUGGUUCUGCUUCUUCAGGCUCCGCGCUGUUGCCAGGAGUUUUCUACGGAGUUUGUCUUGCUUGGAAUGUUCUUCUGGGAUGGUGAACGCAUCGUCAACCGGACUGUUAUCUUCUUUGGAGGUAGCAUGAUGAGUUCGGCCCUCUAAAUCGGGCGUCUGCUCCGGGCUGUGUUCGGCCUGACCUGGUUCAUCCUGCUCCAUCGCUGGAUCCCUAUGGUCAUUGUUGCCUUCGAAAUCGACCGGAGUGUCAUCCUGUUUUGGAUUGUCAUCGCUAUUUUUGCUGUGACUGGACCUAAGGCAGUGCUUACGCCGUCGUUUUUGCUUUUGCCCGAGGGGUUUAUCCUCUGUUGUGUCCUUUUUGUCUAUGUUGUCUUCUUUGGGGGUGUCCACCAUGUAGACGUCGUAUGAUGAAGUGGCAGUCCAGCGCUGCAUGGGCGGUCGUUCCGGAUCUUCCCCUGCAUCAACGUCCAUACCGUCGAUGAUGUUGGGGGCGAUGUCAAGCAUGUCUGUUAGGUCAUCGAUAGUGGCUAUUAAGUGGGUGGCGGGUGGGUCACGAUUUCCUUCGUCCUCCGUAUCCCACACGGGCCGGACAUAGUUCGGCCAGGAGUCUUCUGACAGGGAGAGAGACUUUAAUGAAUCCAACACGUCUCUAAAGGGUGAGUGCUGGAAAAUAUCCGCGGCGGCAAACUCCAUGACUGGAGCCCAGUCAGAUUCGUUGUGUAUGAGUGCACGCGGUCCGGAACACACGGCCGGAGGUGAGUCGGGGGGUCCGAAGACACAAAUCCCUUUAGGAGAGGAGUCUGUGUUCGGCCCCAACACCGAGGAGUGUGCGGCCUCCGGGGCAGGGUACAUCCACCCGUCCCUGGAAGGCAUGACCCGCUCUGGAACAAAGUCCGGAGCGGUAGCAGGUGCGAUGUUCUGAAUACUGUCCGACUGCCAAUCUAGGUCGUGCGCAUCGUGAUUGUUCGGCGCUCCUGAUACAGGCCUGAAUCCGUCGAAGAUCAAGUCUCCGUGGAUAUCGGCGGUGUAGUUUAGGUUUCCAAACCUGACCUGAUGUCCGGGGGCGUAGUUAUCGAUCUGCUCCAAAUGGCCAAGCGAAUUGGCCUGCAGUGCGAAGCCACCGAACACGAAGAUCUGUCCAGGGAAAAAUGUCUCGCCCAGGACAGCAUGGUUGAAGGUUGGAGAAGCCAUCUAACCUUGUAGCGACGGCACAGAGGAACUCUCAACGAAAGCACCAAUGUCGAUGUCAAAACCGGCGGAUAUUGGGUAGGGGGUCCCGAACUGUGCGUCUAAGGCUAAUGGUAACAGGAGACUUGGGACACGAUGUUUACCCAGGUUCGGGCCCUCUCGAUGGAGGUAAUACCCUACUUCCUGCUUGAUUGAUCUUGAUGAUAUGAGUAUUACAAGAGUUAAUCUACCACGAGAUCAGAGAGGCUAAACCCUAGAAGCUAGCCUAUGGUAUGAUUGAUGAUGAUGAUCGUGAGUCCUACGGACUAAACCCUCCGGUUUAUAUAGACACCAGAGGGGGAUAGGGUUACACAGAGUCGGUUUAUAGAGAAGGAGAUCUACAUCCGGAUCGGCAAACUUGCCUUCCACACCAAGGAGAGUCCCAUCCGGACACGGGACAAAGUCUUCUGUCUUGUAUCUUCAUAGUCAAACAGUCCGGCCAAAGCAUAUAGUCCGGUUGUCCGGAUACCCCCUUAUCCAGGACUAUUUUACAAAAAAAAAUCUUAGUCCCGUGUUCGGAUGGGACUCUCCUUUGAUAAGGGGGUAUCCGGACAGCCGGACUAUAUACUUUGGCCGGACUGUUGGACUAUGAAGAUACAAGAUUGAAGACUUCGUCCCGUGUUCGGAUGGGACUCUCCUUUGAGUGGAAGGCAAGCUUGGCGAUCUGGAUAAUAGAUUUCCUUCUCUGUAACUGACUCUAUUUAACCCUAGCCCCCUCCGUUGUCUAUAUAAACCGGAGGGUUUAGUCCGUAGGACAACAACAAUCAUACCAUAGGCUAGCUUCUAGGGUUUAGCCUCUACGAUCUUGUGGUAGAUUAACUCUUGUAAUACUCAUAUCAUCAAGAUCAAUCAAGUAGGAAUUAGGGUAUUACCUCCAUUGAGAGAGCCCGAACAUGGGUAAACAUCGUGUCCCCAGCCUCCUGUUACCAUUAGCCUUAGACGCACAGUUCGGGACCCCCUACCUGAGAUCCGCCGGUUUUGACACCGACAUUCAUGCUUUCAAUGAGAGUUCCUCUGUGUCGUUGCUGUAAGGAUCGAUGGCUUCUCCAACCUUCAACAAUGUUGUCCGGGGUGAGGCCUUCCUCCCCGGACAGAUCUUCGUGUUCGGCGGCUUCGCACUACGGGCCAACUCGCUUGGCCAUCUGGAGCAGAUCGAGAGCUACGCCCCUGGCCAUCAGGACAGGUUUGGGAACCUAAACUGCAUUGCCGACAUCCGCGGAGACUUGAUCUUCGACGGACUCAAGCCCACGUCAGGAGCACCGAAUGAUCGCGAUGUGCAUGACUUAGAUCUGCCGUUGGACAAUAUUCGGGAUAUCGCGCCUGCUACCGCUCUGGAUUUUGAUCCAGAGCAGAUCAUGCCAUCCGAGGACGGGGGGAUGGACCCCUCCACGGAGGUCACACACUCAUCAACGUUAGAGACGAACAUAGAUUCCACUCCUAAGGAAAUCUGUGUCGCGGCACCCCUGGACUUGUCUCCGGCCGCAGGUUCCGGACCGCGCGCAUCCGUGCCCGUCGCAACCGAUCAGGCACCAAUCAUGGAAUUCACCACCGCGGAUAUCUUUCAGCACUCCCCCUUUGGCGAUGUGCUAAAUUCGUUAAAGUCUCUCUCUUUAUCAGGAGACUCUUGGCCGAACUAUGCCUGGCCCGUGUGGGGCUCGGAUGACGAAGAAAAUCGCAACCCACCCACCACCCACUUUAUAGCCACUGUCGAUGACCUAACAGACAUGCUGGGAUUCGACUCCGACAACAUCGAUGGUAUGGAUGUCGAUGUAGGGGAUGAUCUGGAACCACCGCCCACGGGGCGCUGGACUGCCACUUCAUCAUAUGACGUCUACAUGGUAGAUACACCUAAAGAAGACAAUGGUGAAAAAAAGGACACAACGGAGGACAAACCCCCCGGACAAAAAUCAAAACGACGACGCAAGCGCCGCUCUAAGUCCAGUCACAGUAAAAAUAGCGAUAAUAAUGCGAAAAAGGAUGACACUCCGGUUGACUCCAAAGGCAACAACGACCAUAGGGACCCAACGAUGGAGCAGGAUAAGCCAGGUCGUGCCGAACACAGCCCGGAGUAGACGCCCAACCACGGCGAUCCCGAGGGCCAAAAUCAGCAAACUGCCUUCGGAGAGGAGGACUGUCCGGUUGACGAUGCAUUCAUCAUCCCGGAAAGAUGUUCGGAACAAGAUGACCUCUAAAGAAGAAGAAACAGAGGCUUAACGCCGUGAAGGAUAUGCUCAACCAAAGAUGGAAGAAAGUGCUAGACACUGAAGAAAUAUAUGGCGACGAUCGCCACACAAAGAGCUACCCAAAGCACAAGCUGCUGCCAGAAUUCGAUGAUGAGGCUGCAGAGCCCAUUCUGCCAAAGAACAAUACGGCCAAUCGGCCGGACCAACCACUUAAUGGACGCAAUAGAGCAGCCACUGACGCCGCACACGAUUUACGUGAGCUCCUAGACAAAAAGGUUGGUGCGACCAGGUCCGUCUAUGGAUCCAGAGGGCGCGCUCCGGCACAGGAUUAUGGUCACUAAAAUGAUCAUACUGAUCAAAUACCAGUUCGGAAUCAAAACCGGAUACAACAACCGUCGACAACAUGCCACGACAUGUCUAGGUAUAGAGGGGCCGCGCACCCCCUGUGUUUCACUGAUGAGGUGCUGGACCACGAAUUUCCACAGGGGUUCAAACCCGUGAACAUAGAGGCAUACGACGGAACAACAGAACCUGGGGUCUGGAUUGAGGAUUUUAUCCUUCACAUACACAUGGCCCGUGGGGACGACCUCCACGCCAUCAAAUACCUUCCCCAAAUCGUCAACUGUCCGGAUGCCGAAGCCCUAGCGGCCUUUAAACACAGUAUCCGGGACGAGUGGCUGGCCAGGCACCUCGGCAAAGAAAAGCCAAGGACGAUGGCGGCCUUAACAAGCCUUAUGACCCGCUUUUGUGCGGGCGAGGACAGCCAGUUGGCCCGUAGAAGCACCAGCGACCCGGGCACAUCCGAUAUUCGAGAUGGCAAUGGGAAGCCACGACGCAACAAGAAUAAGAUUUGGAGCAAUGAAGAUAGUUCGGACAACACGGAGGUCAACGCCGGAUUCAGGGGCUCGCGACCCGGUCAAAGAAAGAAUCCAUUUAAAGGCAGCAAAGAAGGACCGUCCGGCCUAAAUAAAGUCCUGGACAGACUAUGCCAAAUCCAUGGCACCCCGGAAAAACCUGCAAAUCAUACUCACAGAGAGUGUUGGGUCUUCAACCAGGCCGGCAAGUUAAACCCCGAACACAAGGGAAGGGAAACAACAAGCGAAGACAAGGAUGAGCCUUGCCAGCCGAACACUGGGGAACAGAAAAAAUUCCCACCAGAAGUUAAAACAGUAAACAUGGUCCACGCAACCCACAUGGAGUUUGUUGCCCCCAAAAUUCAACCCCUGGGCGUCCUGCCCGAUCACUUUUGAUCACAGGGACCACCCGGCCAGUAUCUGGCAUGGAACAUCAGCUGCCUUGGUGCUCGACCCAAUAAUUGAUGGAUACCAUCUCACUCGAGUCCUAAUGGACGGCGGUAGUAGUCUUAAUCUGAUAUAUCAGGACACCAUCCGCAAGAUGGGGAUAGACCCAUCCAGAAUAAGCUAGAGUAACACCACCUUUAACAGAGUAAUACCAUGCGUUGAGGCCGGCUACCGGGGCUCCCUCGUAUUAGAAGUAACAUUUGGUUCUCCCGACAACUUCAGAAGCGAGGAAUUACUCUUCGAUAUUGCUCCCUUCAACAACAGUUAUCAUGCAUUAAUAAGAAGAACAUCCUUCGCUUGAUUUAAAGCAAUACCGAACUACGCCUGGCUUAAACAUAAGAUGCCCGGUCCACGUGGCAUCAUAACAGUUAGUGGAAACACAGAGCAGUAUGCGGCAGCUCCUGUAGCCGGACACUAAGCGGCCUCUCCCACUAAAACACAUGAUCGGUCGUUAAGACCAUGGACACGGCUAGACGAGUCCGGUGCACCACUAUCAAAAACAACCCGGAUAAACCCUGGCUGGGUGCUAUACAUACAUCCCCAUAAGUGGUACUAGGGGCUGUCAACACAUAAUAAAGCCCACAAUUCGGCUUGCCUUAUCAAUAGGCCAAUAUCUCAUAUUUCUAAUAUCCAUUGAGAAUAACCAACUUCCCGCACGCUUACUCCUCUAUAUGAGUUUUCGUUUUUACAAACACUACUCAUGCGACACCCUUCCGGGAUACGGCACAAUGAAGACAAAGGCGCAGACGUGCAGCAGGGCCCCGCUCAAAGGUUUCUCUUUAGAUUAAGCCCCUGUGUAAACUUUCUUUACUGUCUUUUGUUGCUUGACAUCCCAUGGGUAUUCCAUAUACCCACAAGGGACACUGGCGUUAUAGGCUUUUCGCCACGACAGAUCAACACACGUACCUGGAAAUACAGGGUCAAGGGCGGUACUCAGCCCAGUAUUUGUUAUAAAGUCCGAAUACCUUUGGGAGUGUUUGGCGUCGCGAGUUUGGCCUUAUAUGCAUCAGCUCUGAAUCAUGUCUUUGGUCAAAUGUUGGGUUAGCCCGGCUCCUGGGUUUGCUGCCUUACGUUCCGUUCUAUCGUCUAAGGCGUCCAAAGGAGAACUACUGCAAUUAUGCCCUGGUUAUUUCGGAUGAGCACCUCAGUAGAGAAAGCCGAAAACUGACUGUCAUGAUAUGGCGAGAGACUGGUCAACCACUCGAGGACUCAUUGGAAUCUAUAGGAUUCCUCAGUAUUAACGAAGGACCGGUCUACUGGUCAAGUUGGCGCACCAUAUCCGGAUGCACGCGGAAGUACCAGGGGCUAUAUAGUAGCCCCAUCUUUCAACUCCUAUGGCUAAGUGAAAGUGUUACAGCUAUAUAGUCCGGUUGCCUGGUUCGACGUGCGAUCACCUCCUUAAUGGACCCAGACGUUGGAUCAAGUGUGUUCACGCAUAUUUUCUCGAACACCUCCGCAUUAUGCGCGUGGGGGCUGAAGCCAACGACUGCUAACUUUCACGAUUAUAUGCAUAUAUAAAUAGCCGCACAGGAGACACUAUAAUACUUUCAGGCAAACAUAUGCAAAAAAGCAGCCUCCAUAAUUAAACACAUAGUUGUUUACAAUUUCAUCACUCAAACAUAACAUUCUUGGAGCACUGGGCCUCUAUUCUACGAGCAACUUCUAUAACCUGCUCAAAAUAAUGCUCGGUUGGGUCUUGGCUUCCUGUCGGACCCUGGGUUGCAAUGCUGGUGGCCUCCAUAUCCGCCCAAUAUGUCUUAACAUGGUCAAGAGCCAUUCGCGCACCCUCCAUGCACGCAGACCUCUUCAUGGCAUCGAUGCGUGAUCUGGCGCUAAAUAGUUGCUGCACUAAACCAAAGUAACUGUCCGGCCUCGUUCCUUUCGGCCACAGAUGGUCUAUUACAGACCUCAUUGCAAGACCGGAUAACCUAUGGAGCUCGGCUAUAGCGGCCAUCUUCUCACUUAACGGCAAUGAGUGCGUUGGAGCACUAAAUUGCGACCAGAAUAGCCUUUCUAUUUCAUUAUCUUUAUGAUCCUUGAAUAACUUGGUCGCAUCAGCCAUACUCUUCGCCAAGUUCGCAUACUCAUCUGCGGCGCUCCAAAGUUGAUCCAAACGAGCAUACUUUGUAUCUAAGAACUUCAUCCUCAACAAAUAGGGGUUUCCAGCCGCGAUUUCUCCGACUUUUCGAAGUUCCUCCCGCGCGUCUCUAUUGUCAGAGCAUAUCUCCUUAGCCGAAUCCAGCGCCUUCUUUAGGUCAGCCGCCUUUGCCUGAUUCUCCUUCUCGAGAAGCUCAUACCGGCCGGCGGCGUCCCUAAGCUCCAAAGCCAUCUCGGCUAUCUUUUCUUCGCUUCGGAGAUGAGCAUCCUUUUCGGCUCUCAAGUCCUUGGCUGCCUUUAGGGCAGCCGCAUUGCUAACCCGGGCUCGUUCCUUGGCUAGGGCAAGUUCCGCCCUCAAGGCCUCAAUGGCAGCAGCUCCACCUGCAGCCACAUCACAUCAUAUUAAUAUUACAACCUCUUACAAUUUCCUAAACAAAUAAGGAAAUAUGAGUGCAUACUCUGCGACCCAUCGAAUCACUUGUUUGCAAGCGUGACGUCGGCAUCCACCACGUCAAUAUGUCGCCUCAAUUCGGCGAAUUUGGCAGUCUGGUCUACCGCCGGGCCCUUAGCAACCUGCACAUAAAUACAGUGCGACCAUUACCUAGGAGUGUGAUCCUCCGUUUGCUGCCAUGGGCUGGCAAUCACAGUCUCAGGGGCUACUAUCUAUAUAGGGGACAUCUAUUACGUGCGGUGCAACCAAAAAUUACGUAUUUCGUUGCUUGCCUCAAAGCCUUUGAGCAAGCUUCUAAAAGGUCAUUUAACUCGCUUGUGGCGGAGGAAAUUUUCUCCAACACCAUACUAAUUAGUGUACGGUGAUCCUCCGAGAGAGCAGCAUGCUUCAGGAGGCCCGUCAGUAUGUUCGGCCGGGCACCGGACUCUCCCGGACCCUUCUCAUUGCCCUCCACAGGAGUCAAACGCGCUGGGCUUGGGACGGCCGAAGUGUUAGCUUCUGGCCUCAGUAGAUCCGAACUCCUCCGUGACGACACCUCAGGGUCGCCUGCCCCAUGGGGCGGAGAGACAGGUGGGGUUUCACUCUCCAUCAUCUCCGGAAGAAGAUCCCCCAAGGACAAACCCUGUUGAGACGAACUGCUAGCCGGGCUGCAAAAAAUAGGUCCUGGUCAUUACUCUUAGAGGAAAAAGCAAUAAGCUUCUUGUUUAUUAACUUACAGCUUGGUGGAGGGCUGGCCCAUUAGAGGGCACGGUGCGGUAGGAACGCCCUUCUGGGCAAGGCCCUUUGGUGAAGUAUUCUUCCCUUGUUUAGGCGCCUCCGUUUCCAAGUCUUUGGAGGCAGCCCUCUUUUUCCCGCGGGGGGAGGAAACCUUAGAUUCACCUCCCCGAUUGUCCUCCUCCAUGGAAACGUUAAUUCCCCCUGUUCAGAUGCACAAUGUGUGAAGCACACUCUUGGCUUCUCUGCUCCUCCCUUCAUCUUUCUCCGUUGGCACAUGGUUUAGCGCCCGUUUAAGCAUCUUGGCUAUUGCCGGACCGGGCGAGCCUUCGGGAAGCGGGGCCGGACACCUGAUUCUCUCUGCCUUACUGAGCCAAUCCUGGUCGCAGACAGUUUUUCAGAACAAUGUUAUGAUUAAUAUAAACGAAGUGUUCGGUCACAGGUUUACUUACUUGGGUAUCUGGGCGGUUGUAGCUCAGGCCCGCAUCCUCGGCGGUGUCCGGACACUUUAUUCGUGGUCUGAAGAACAACUUAUACAUUCCUUCAAGCGUCAUGCCGAAGAAGUGUUGAAUAGUUCAGGGACUUCUGGAUUGAACUCGAACAUCCGGAGAGGUCGACGUUUGCACGGCAGGGCCUGCCGAACUAGCAUUACCUGGAUUAUUUUUACAAGACUAAUAUCCCUCUCAAGAAGCUCCCGAAUGCGGCUCUGCAAUGUUGUUACAUCGGUUGCAGACCCCAGUCCAGUCCCACGUUGUCCCACAAUGCCAGUUGAGGCGGAGGGCCCGAGCGAAAGGUAGGGGCGGCCGCCCACUUCCUGCCUCGGGGAGCUGUGAUGUAAAACCACCUCCGUUGCCAUAGAUCGGACACCUCCGGGAAAGAACCUUCUGUCCAUGGAACAUCGGCGUUUCUUCUUAUUGCAGCGCCCCCGCACUCCACGUGUCGCCCCGCAAUCCCCUUCGGCUUCACAUUGAAGGUUUUGAGCCAUAGCCGAAGUGGGGGUGAUGUGGAGAAAGGCUUUGCACACGAUGAUAAACGACGAGAUGUGGAGGAUGGAAUCUGGAGCUAGGUCGUGAAAAUCUAUCCCGUAAUAGAACAUGAGCCCCCUCACGAAGGGAUCAAGAGUAAAGCCCAAGCCUUGGAGGAAGUAAGAGACAAAUACGACGCUCUCAUCCGGUUCGGGAGUAGGGAUGACCUGCCCUGCGACAGCAAGCCUGUGCUUGACAUUGACGGUCAGAUACCCGGCCCCCUAAGCUUCGCAAUGUCCUCCUCUAUGACAGAGGAGGCCAUCCACUGGCCUUGAAGGUCGGAUCCGGACAUGAUUGAACAUCCGAGGUGCUUAAGCUUGGGCUCUCGGUGUUGGAACUCGAAGUGCGGGAAGCCACAAGCAUGGAGAUAGAGUGAUAGGCCUCGACCCCUCUAUAAAGGGGGAGAAUAUCAAGCGUCCCCAGCGUAACCAUUCGGGACUUGCCUAAAAACACGGAGUCAUACGAACAGGCGUGGUUGGAUUACCCAUACCCAUAUUGAUGAGGAUCCCACGAUAAGAGGGACACGAUCUCUGCUUCGACAAGACAUGCCAAAGGAACCGCCUCGUAAUGUGUGCGGUAGCUGGUAAUAAAAAAUGGUUUUAAUAAAAACCGGAUUGUGGCAUGAUGUCAUGUUUCGAAGAGUUGGCAGCGGAUUAGAUUUGUGAUUCUCUCUACGGUGGUAUGUGAAAUUUAUCUUGCGGAGACCGGACACGAUUUAAGUGUUCGAGGAUUACUUUUGAGUAUUCGGAGAUGGAACCCGCCUUGCAAUGCCGAAGACAAUCUGCAAGCCGGACUCAUCGUCAGUGAAGCCUGGUUCAGGGGCUACUGAGGGAGUCCUGGAUAAGGGGGUAUCCGGACAGCCAGACUAUAUACUUCGGCCGGACUAUUUGACUAUGAAGAUACAUGAUUGAUGACUUCAUCCCGUGUCCGGAUGGGACUCUCCUUUGCGUGGAAGGAAAGCUUGGCGAUCCGGAUAAUAGAUCUCCUUCUCUGUAACCGACUCUGUGUAACCCUAGCCCCCUCUGGUGUCUAUAUAAACUGGAGGGUUUAGUCUAUAGGACAACAACAAUCAUACCAUAGGCUAGCUUCUAGCGUUUAGCCUCUACGAUCUCGUGGUAGAUCAACUCUUGUAAUACUCAUAUCAUCAAGAUCAAUCAAGCAGGAUGUAGGGUAUUACCUCCAUCGAGAGGGCCCGAACCUGGGUAAACAUCGUGUCCCCAGCCUCCUAUUACCAUUAGCCUUAGACGCACAGUUCGGUACCCCCUACCCGAGAUCCGCCGGUUUUGACACCGACAACUACACCUGCUUAGGCCAAAAAAUAAAUAAAAAAAAGCAAUGAAAAUAAAUGACUUAACUAUUGAUUAUAUACAGUAACCUGAAAUAAGAAAAUGAGAAUGAAAUAAAAACAUUUGUGCUACCCAGAAUUGUUUGGUAAACAAAAAAGCUAAACAAUGAAAAGGAAAAAAGAGAUGCUAAUUAGCUCAAAUAAAUAUAAAAACUAAUUAUAUGAUACGGAAAUUCAGAUUCCCUAAUGAUUCUAAAAAAAGGUGGCGGUUGAACAUUUGUGCUCCUGAAGUAAUAAUGCGCCGACUGUGUUCCAUGCACCAUAAAAUCAGUGCAAAAACUUGUUCAUGUGUUCGACGCACAUAAAAUUAGUCAGUGCAUGAAACUUGCACAAGAAGUGCAUUCAUAUUGUACAACCAUAACAUGUUACAUGCUAUAAACUUUGGUAUGGCUAAUUACAUCGAUGCUGGAAAAAAGAACAUUCAGACAAACUUGUUUUCUUAUUACUAAAAAAAUGACCAUCAAUCAUUCUUUAAAAGUUUAGCGGAGAUUUCCAUCACAACACACAAUACUUCAGCUUGAUCACAUAUCAGAACCAACUCUGGGUAGAACAGGCCAGCAAUCGGCAGGUCUACUGUGAUCCAAAGCUGGUACAUAAGCCCGUUUCAAAAAAAAAACAAAGCUGGUACAUAAUGGGUACUAGUACAAUUGUCCCAAGAUAACACCAAAAAAACAUUAUACUACCCAUGCUAGGAAAAGCUAGGAAAUAAAUGGACUAUGCAUAAGCAAAGUAUAAUAACUUCAGUUUGCAAAAACUGAUGAACAUGAUCAUGCGCUUAAAAAUGUCUACUGCACGCAAAACUGGCACCAGAAAACACAAACAGGCUGCGGAAUAUUAGCAUCAAAACUCAUCCUACUCGUUGACAGAACAAUGAGUACCAACAUCAGAUGACAAAAACAAAAGAACAUCACAGUAUACUACCAACGAAACAACUGCCUAACAAAAAGAGAAUAAGAAGUACACUUAUAUCUUUUGGAGUAGUUUGUCAUUUGCUCUAGUGCUUCACUUAUAUCUUUUUAGAGCAAGGCGGUGGUUUUAUUUUGAAGAAAUUGUUGAAAUAUCAUGAUUCACUUAUAUUAUUUUGAGAGUCUUAAACAACAUGUUAAUUUGCUUAGGUUAUGAAUUUGUCCUAAUAUGAUGGGCAUCCAAGAGGGAUAUAAUAAAAAAAAUCAUAUAAAGUGCAUUGAAUACUAUGAGAAGUUUGAUUCUUUAUGAUUGUUUUGCGAUAUGAAGAUGGUGAUAUUAGAGUCAUGCUAGUGGAGUAGUUGUGAAUUUGAGAGAUACUUGUGUUAAAAGUUUGUUAUUCUCGUAGCAUCCACGUAUGGUGAACCGUUAUGUGAUGAAGUCGGAGCAUGAUUUAUUUAUUGAUUGUCUUCCUUAUGAGUGGCGGUCUGGGAUGAGCGAUGGUCUUUUCCUACUAACAUAACCCCCUAGGAGCAUGCGUGUAGUACUUCGUUUCGAUAACUAAUAGAUUUUUGCAAUAAGUAUGUGAGUUAUGUAUGACUAAUGUUGAGUCCAUGGAUUAUACGCACUCUCACCUUUCCACCAUUGCUAGCCUCUCUAGUACCGCGCAACUUUCGCCGGUACCAUAAACCUACCAUAUACCUUCCUCAAAACAGCCACCAUACCUACCUAUUAUGGCAUUUCCAUAGCCAUUCCGAGAUAUAUUGCCAUGCAACUUUCCACCAUUCUGUUUAUUAUGACAUGCUCCAUCAUUGUCAUAUUGCCUUGCAUGAUCAUGUAGUUGACAUUGUAUUUGCGGCAAAACCACCGUUCAUAAUUUUUCAUACAUGUCAUUCUUGAAUCAUUGCAUAUCCCGGUACACCGUCGGAGGCAUUCACAUAGAGUCAUAUCGUGUUCUAAGUAUCGAGUUGUAAUUCUUGAGUUGCAAGUAAAUAAAAGUGUGAUGAUCUUCAUUAUUAGAGCAUUGUCCCAGUGAGGAAAGGAUGAUGGAGACUAUGACGCCCCCACAAGUCAGGAUGAGACUCUGGACUAAAAAAAAGAGGCCAUAAAAAGAAAAAAAAGAGAAAAGGCCCAAAUAAAACAAUGAUAGAAAAUGAGAGAAAGGGCAAUGCUACUAUCCUUUUACCACACUUUUACUUCAAAGUAGCACCAUGAUCUUCAUGAUACAACGUCUCCUAUGUUGUCACUUUCAUAUACUAGUGGGAAUUUUCAUUAUAGAACUUGGCUUGUAUAUUCCAAUGAUGGGCUUCCUCAAAAGUGAGCAGGCAAUUUGGAUGCACACCCACUUAGUCUUCUUGUUGAGUUUUCACACACUUAUAGCUCUAGUGCAUCCGUUGCAUGGCAAUCUCUACUCACUCACAUUGAUAUCUAUUGAUGGACAUCUCCAUAGCCCGUUGAUACAACUAGUUGAUGUGAGACUAUCUUCUCCUUGUUGUCUUCUCCACAACCACUAUUCUAUUCCACAUAUAGUGCUAUGUCCAUGGCUCACGCUCAUGUAUUGCGUGAAGAUUGAAAAAGUUUGAGAACAUCAAAAGUAUGAAACAAUUGCUUGGCUUGUCAUCGGGGUUAUGCAUGAUUAAAUACUUUGUGUGAUGAGGAUAGAGCAUAACCAGACUAUAUGAUUUUGUAGGGAUAACUUUUUUUAGCCAUGUUAUUUUGAGAAGACAUGAUUGCUUUGUUAGUAUGCUUGAAGUAUUAUUAUUUUAUGUCAGUAUUAAACUUUUGUUUUGAAUCUUAUGGAUCUAAAUAUUCUUGCCACAAUAGAGAAGAUUACAUUGAUAAAUAUGUUAGGUAGCAUUCCACAUCAAAAAUUCUGUUUUUACCAUUUACCUACUCGAGGGCGAGCAGGAAUUAAGCUUGGGGAUGCUUGAUACGUCUCAAACGUAUCUAUAAUUUUGAUGUAUUCAUGCCAUGUUUAUAAUAUAUUUACAUGCUUUUGGUAUGAUUUUGUUAGAACUAACUCGAAUUAAUCUUAGUUUUCAGCAGAACUACCGUGGUGUUGUUUUUGUGCAGAAAUAAAAGUUCUCGGAGUGCGCUAAAAAUCAACGGAGACUUUUUUUGGAAAAUAUAAAAAAUACUCGAACUAAGAGUUACAAGAGAGGAGGCUCGUGGGGCCCAUGAGGGUGGAGGGCGCGCCCAACCCCUGGGGCAUGCCCCCUGCCUCAUGGACACCCCGUGGGUCCCCCUGACUUGUUCUCGACGCCAAACCAUCCUAUAAAUACCCAAACCUCCAGAAAUAAACCUAGAUUGGGAGUUCCGCCGCCGUAAGACUCUCUAGCCACCAAAAACCUCUCGGGGUCCCAUUCCGGCAACCUGCCGGAGGGAGAAUCCAUCACCGGUGGCCAUCUUCAUCAUCCCGGCGCUUCCCAUGACGAGGAGGGAGUAGUUAACCCUCGGGGCUCAGGGUAUGUACCAAUAGCUAUGUGUUUGAUCUCUCUCUUUCUCUCUCUCUCUCUCUCUCUCUCUCUCUCUCGUGUUCUUGAUUUGGCAUGAUCUUGAUGUACCGCGAGCUUUGCUAUUGUAGUUGGAUCUUAUGAUGUUUCUCCCCCUCUAUUUCCUGUAAUGGAUUCAGUUUUCCUUUUGAAGUUAUCUUAUCGGAUUGAGUCUUUAAGGAUUUGAGAACACUUUAUGUAUGUCUAGCAUGGGAUACCCGUGGUGACAAUGGGGUAUUCUAUUGAUUCACUUGAUGUAUGUUUUGGUGAUCAACUUGCGGGUUCCAUAACCUUGGGAAUCUAUGCAUAGGGGUUGGCACAUGUUUUCGUAUUGACUCUCUGGUAGAAACUUUGGGGCACUCUUUGAAGUACUUUGUGUUGGUUUGAAUACAUGAAUCUGAGAUUGUGUGAUGCAUAUCCUAUAAUCAUACCCACGGAUACUUGAGGUGACAUUGAAGUAUCUAGGUGACAUUAGGGUUUUGGUUGAUGUGUGUCUUAAGGUGUUAUCUUACUACGAACUAUAGGGCUGUUUGUGACACUUAUAGGAAUAGCCCAAUGGAUUGAUCGAAAAAAUUACUAGAAUCAGGGAAUUUGCCGUCUGCCAUCUCUUUGCCCUAACCUAGCGGACGGCAAAGAACCAUCAGCUACCAAGAAGCAGACGGCAAACAAAUGGUAGACGACAAACAAGGUCUUUGCCAUCGGCCAUUUCUUUGUCGUCCGCUGGCUGACGGCAAAGAGGGAGGUGGCACCCACUAACGAAAAAACUUAACAUCCCCCCUCUUUGCCGUCUGCAGCAGACGGCAAAGAUAAACAAAAGCGGAUGGCAAAGAAGGGGAGGACGGCAAAGGCUAACCUAACUAACGGCUGAGCCCCCNNNNNNNNNNNNNNNNNNNNNNNNNNNNNNNNNNNNNNNNNNNNNNNNNNNNNNNNNNNNNNNNNNNNNNNNNNNNNNNNNNNNNNNNNNNNNNNNNNNNNNNNNNNNNNNNNNNNNNNNNNNNNNNNNNNNNNNNNNNNNNNNNNNNNNNNNNNNNNNNNNNNNNNNNNNNNNNNNNNNNNNNNNNNNNNNNNNNNNNNNNNNNNNNNNNNNNNNNNNNNNNNNNNNNNNNNNNNNNNNNNNNNNNNNNNNNNNNNNNNNNNNNNNNNNNNNNNNNNNNNNNNNNNNNNNNNNNNNNNNNNNNNNNNNNNNNNNNNNNNNNNNNNNNNNNNNNNNNNNNNNNNNNNNNNNNNNNNNNNNNNNNNNNNNNNNNNNNNNNNNNNNNNNNNNNNNNNNNNNNNNNNNNNNNNNNNNNNNNNNNNNNNNNNNNNNNNNNNNNNNNNNNNNNNNNNNNNNNNNNNNNNNNNNNNNNNNNNNNNNNNNNNNNNNNNNNNNNNNNNNNNNNNNNNNNNNNNNNNNNNNNNNNNNNNNNNNNNNNNNNNNNGAAGAAAAGAAGUAGAAGAAGAAGAAAAGAAGAAAAGAAAAGAAGUGAUAUACAUAUUUUUUUCUUUUUUUUGUUGUUUAAUUGCUGUUUAAUUGUUAGUGUUAGUGUUAGUGUUAGAAAAGAAGAAGAUUUAGUGUUAGUGUUAGAAAAAAGAAUAUGUAGAAGAAAAGAAGAAGAAGAAGAAAAGAAGUAGAAGAAGAAGAAGAAGAAAAGAAGAAAAGAAAAGAAGUAAAAGAAGUAGAAAAAAGAUGAAAAAGAAGAAGAAGAAAAGAAGAAGAAGUAGUAGUAGAAGAAGAAAAGAAGAAAAGAAAAGAAGUGAUAUACAUAUUAUUAUUCAUGUCGGUAUUUUUUUAUGUUGUACUAAUUUCGUUUACUCUUUGUCAUGGCAGGUGUUGAAAGAUGGUGGGCGCUGGUCGGGAGCGCUCCGAGGACCCUUCUUCGUCGGCGCAUGGUGCAAGGUCUUCCAUUCCACACGCACUUCUCUGUCGAGCGUUGCUGGACAGUAUGGCGACACUGCUGGGUCCUUCUUUGUCGACCGCGGUGCCGAGCAGGGGACGAGGUAAGAAGAAGAGAGGAGAUGGAGCACGUGGUCGCGGGAGAGGAGGUAGGGUGACUGCGAGGGUGCCUUCCUCGCCGCCACCCCCAGCUGUUUCACCCGAGCACGUGACUGCUAGGGUGGACUCGUCCGAGGAGGAGGCUACACAGACUCCGGUCCACGAGCCUCCGGUCCACGGGCCUUCAGCCCACGAGCCUCGGGUUGAUGGGCCUUCGGGCCACGAGAGUUCGGCCCACGAGACCUCGGAGGAACACAUGUGUGGAUGGGGUACCUGGCCGGAUCAUCCUGAGGGGCCGAGUGGCCAUGCUGAUGAUGGCGGGGAGACGACUGAUAUUGAGGAGGAGGGGGGCACCGUCUACCAGCGUGGUUGUACACGGCUCCCGGACGUGUCGACGACCCGCGAGCAGAGGUGGUUGAUUUUCCCUGAUGGGGAGAGGUAAGUGCAUUUAAUCUUUUUGUACCCUUCUGCAUUCACGUUUCUUCAAAUAUCUAAUGCAUUGGCCUUGUCAUGCUGCAGGGGUUGGGACCACCAUCAUAGUGUCCGCCGGCCCAAUUCCGUCCUUAGAGUUCUUUGUCGGCAAAAUUUCCCAGGGUUUGUCACGUUGCCUGGUGAGGGUCGGCUUCCAGAGCUUGGAUUGAAUUGGUAGCACUACUUGGCUGCCUCGGCCCCGCCGGGUGAGAUUAUCGACGGUGUCUUGUGCAAGACAAGGGCAGACGUGGUGAUUAGAAAGUUAAGUGUAAUUUCUCCUUUACACAAUUAAAAAUCUUCAACUAGCUAGUUAUUAAUUGUACUAAUAAAUAUUGUCUCAUUUGAUUGCAAACAUUCUACAGGUGUGAGGAGGGAUACGAGGAGGAGGAGGCAAAUGUUAACGAUAACGUCUGCAAGCGCCUACUGUAGAACUUACGGCACGAGGCUCGGGUGCAGGCUGUUCGAGACUACUACGCCGCGCGUGGUAUCAACAAGACCAAGCCGGCGUGCCGUGAGAAGUUCUUGGGUAAGGAGGAGUACAUGAAGGUAAUUCUUAAGGCCUUGUACUUUACUUCCUUCAUUUAGUAAUUCAUAGUCGUAGCGCUCAAGUUUCUAUUUCCUAACUUAGGCCCCUCCGAGAUGGUGUGCGGAUCAGAUGGAUUGUUGGGAGGUGUUGGUCAAUGAGUGGUGCUCAAAAGAAUGGCGAGCCCUCCACAACGAGGUCAAGGACAAACGUGCCCAAAUGGAAGGUGUGCCACACCAUCAAGGCAGCUCCAACUUAUAUCAGUACGGGCGGAACCGGGUAUGUGGUUUGCUUCAUGAUUCAUGCAAUUCGUUCGUCAUGCUAGCUUUCAGCCCUUUAAUUACUAAUUUACUUUGUUUCUCUCUUUCAGACAUGCUACAAUAAGGCGGAUAAGGUGCCAGAGGUGUACGACCUGUAUGCCAUGGCCCACACUGGCUCUUACAAGAAAGUCAAGGUAUUCUCUGCGUCUGACCUCGAUGAUCCAAAAAACUUCACCAACAUCUCCUCCCAUGACAAGCUCAUGAAAUAUAGAGAUGAGGGGAAGUCGAGGAAAGGGGAGGACUUUAACCCGAGCCAGGGUCCCAUUGAUACCGAACUGCUGAUGAUAUCUGGUGGCGGGAGGUCCCAUGGCUCCAUAGCCAUGGGAGAUGGACUUAUCCGUUGUCCUAGCACUCUCCCGGAGAUCAAGGCGCGCCAGUCGAGCUCUGCUCCUGUGAUAAGGCCUCGUGAACGGCCAGUCCAACUCACCUUCAAGGUUAGUUAUACGUACUCAGCUAUCUUUCUCCAUUACAUUGUGUGCGCUUCCAUCAAUGAUUACAAAUGGUAACGAGGAGUGGUGUUGCAGGCUGCUAUACAAAGUGAGAGAGAUAGAACGGAGAAACUUCUGGCGGAGGCAGCGGAGAGGCAGCGGGAGUUGGAGGAGAGGACGACAAAGAUGUUGGAGGAGGAGAGGGCAUGGAAUGACAUGCAGGCAAGGGCCAUGUACGAGCUCCUUGUGGUAAGUUUUUUCUACACAUUAUCCAAAACAUUCAUGUAGUGUUUGUCUCAUUACUAACUAGUAUGACUGAGUCAUCAAAACCAAAUGUGCAGUCUGUGUGUGAGAAGUCCGGUCAGACCGCUCCACCGAUGCCAGUGAUUGCUCCUGGGACCACGGUGAGUUUAAUUUGAAUGGACAUUACUUGCUAGUCUUAACAUUUGAGUGUCAUCAUGCUAACGAGACAUUGGAAAUGAUCUUUGGUGCACCGUAACUCCAGACAAGCAUCGCAUGAUCCUUCUCCAGCUACCGGCACAAGCCACCCCGCUACAACACCUCCAUGAUCAUGGUAAGUGUCUCUAGUGUUUUGCUUAACAAAUGCAUAAAGACCUAGACUUAGCUUUAUUUCCUCCAAUAUGCUUACCAUAAUGACUUAGAGUUAGCUUCUUUUCCUCCAAAAUGACUUAAUAAGCUUACUAACCUCCAAAACCAUCCAUUUUACCUAUGUUAGCUCUAAAACGAUAUGUACUUAGCUUACUUAUGUAAAAAAAUGGCAUAAUUAGCUUAGUUAGCUCAUAAACGAUCCNNNNNNNNNNCGACCCCCAGACCCCGACACGACACCCCGGCACCCUGACCCCGAAACAGCACCCCGACCUCGACACCGACACGACACCCCGACCCCUGAAAGCUCAUGAAAAGGUGCUCCUUGGCCUUCCAGAGGCCGACGGGGUCAUGUAUUUGUGAAUUAUGAGUUAGGUCAUAUAUUUUUCGAUUUUGUUAUGAAAAACAUCAUAUUUAAUUGUGUUGAUCGGGUUGAUUUAAAUGUGCAGUGGUUUCAUCGCUGCGAGGUUUGGUGUUCGAUGACCUCGCCGUGCGUUUGACGUGCUCUGCCCCUUCAUUCGUGGGUGAGCACAAAUGACAUGCACGUCCUUCUCCCCCAUUAAUUAUUUUCUCUAUUCCGGUGUUCGUGCCGAUGAAACUUGAUAGCUAGCUAUAUAUGUGUCUUGAAUCAUCAGUAUGCGUAACCAAUAUGUGUAUCCCGUUCGGAAGCGUUAUAGUUAUAAAUAUGCAUGCAUUUGCAUAUUUAUAACCUUGAUUCUUUCGAAUUGUCCAACGCUAUCCAUGGACAGCCCGAGUAUGUGUAGAUUGGCUUCGUUUUCCCAUAUGCUUUGCUCCGGAUCCGAGCAUAAAUUUCGUUAGUGCCUCCCCUGUUGUUCUCAGGGUACACAUCCUCUCUGUUUAUUGCAGAAACGUGUAUCAGGAGAACAUCGGGGAGGUGCUGCCGAAAUUUUGCGUCGGAUCCGGAGCAUAGCAUGGGAAAAUGAACCAAAUCUACACACACUCGGGUGGGAUUAGGACCUAUCAUUACCUAUUAGAGUGUAGGUUGCAUGGACGUAAUAAAAUUGACAAAGUAGAUCAACUGAUGAAUAUAUACAUGGUCAAUUAUAUAUAUAUUUGUUGUGUGUCCAGUAGCUCUGAAAGUCAAGAUGAAUGAUCGUGCGUGGAUGUAUACCGGUCACACUGGUCAGAACAAAUGGAGCGCUGAAUGGUUCACAAAAACCAAGGGGUUUGUGCAAGCCACAUUUGCAAAUGGCCAGAGGAAAACCCGGUGCCCCUGUUUCCAGUGCGGCAAUUGGGAAAAGAGGACAGAGGCUGAAAUGGGCAAACACCUGCAGAAGAGUGGUUUUAUGCCCGAUUAUACGGUGUGGAUAUAUCAUGGUGAGUCUGCCCAACGUGACCGAGCUGAGGUGGAUCGUCAUCGCACCGACGAGCAUGGUACCGGGAUGUUAAACAUGGUGCAAGACUAAGAUGAUGCUCGGGAUUCGGACAAGGAGAUGGAGGAAUCUGCAAAGGCCUUCAAUGAAAUGUUGGAGUAAUCAGAAUGUCCGCUUCACGAGCACACUGAGCUUUGUCAGUUGGAUGCCAUCUCACAAGUAAUGGCUCUGAAGGCUUAGUUCAACUUUGGCAUAGAAUGCUACGAUGCAAUGAUGACAGUAUUUGGACGCUUUCUACCAAAAGGCCAUGUAAUGCCUGCAAACCUGUACCAGUCAGACAAAAUCCUGCGUGCACUGAAUAUGCCCUAUGAGAAGAUACAUGCCUGUGAGAAAGGAUGUGCCUUAUUUAGGCUUGACUAUGCGGACUUGAACUAUUGUCCCAUUUGCGAGUCUUCCAGGUAUGUUGUGGUAGACAAUGGUAUGGGUGAGAAGACACAGACCAAAAUCCCUGUUAGUGUUCUUCAGUAUAUGCCAAUCGUACCAAGACGUCAACGUCUUUCCAUGGUCAAAGAGACGGCCAGACAGAUGACAUGGCACAAAACAGGCAAAAGAACCGAACUAGAUGCUGAUGGGAAUCUGAUGAUGGUACACACAUCGGAUGGUGUUGCGUGGAAAAAGUUUGAUGAAUUACAUGGUGACAAAGCGGCAGAUCCGAGGCAUCCUCGAGUCGGCGUCAGCACGGAUGGGUUCAGUGUGUUUGGUAUGACGACAGCCCAAUAUAGUUGUUGGCCCGUAUUUGUCUUUCCACUCAAUCUCCCCCCGGACAGAUUAUGCAAAGAAAGAACAUUUUCCUAACGUUGAUAGUUCCAGGGCCCAACUAUCCGGGGAAAAAUAUGAAUGUGUACAUGCAACCGCUUAAGGACAAAUUGUAAGAAGCCUGGGAUAAUGUGUUUAAGACAUACGACGCCUAUAGCAAACGGAACUUCAUAAUGCGUGUCUAGUACAUGUACUCGAUGCAUGACUUGUCGGCGUAUGCGCUAUUCGUUGGCUGGUGUGUGCAUGGAAGGUUCCCGUGUCCCACAUGCAAGGGAGCUCUUGAGUUUCGUUAGCUUCAGGCCGAUCGCAAGGUUUCUUGCUUCGACAUGCAUAGACAGUUCCUGGAUCCUCGCCAUAAGUUUAGGAAAGACAAGAAGAACUUCAUCAGAGGUAGAGUUGUCAAAAACUCAGCACCACCUGCGUUGACAGGCCAACAGACCCUGGAUCAGUUAAACACUCUCGAGCCAGAUCCAGAGCGUCCAGGGUACUUCAAGGGGUAUAAUGCUGAGCACACCUGGACUCACAAGACAUGCUUAUGGGAUUUGCCUUACUUCAAAGACCUCCUUUGCCCACACAACAUCGACGUGAUGCACACUAAGAAGAAUAUUGCCGAGGCACUUUUUGGUACAUUGUUCGGCAUAUAUGGGAAGUCAAAGGAUAAUACUACGGCUAGAGUCAAUCUGGAGGCGCUAUGUGAUAGGCCAUUACAAAACAUGAAAGAACCGAAAGGAAAGCAGAACUGGACGAAGCCGAAGGCAUGGUUCAAUCUUGGAAGGCCAGCUAUGAGGGAAAUUAUCUUGUGGGUGAAAAUGCAGUUGAUGUUCCCCGAUGGGUAUGCAACGAAUCUAAAGAGGGGAGCAAGUCUUGAUAAAUUGAAGAUAUUUGGUCUCAAUAGUCAUGAUUGGCACAUAUGGAUUGAGGGGUAAUGCCGGUGAUGUUGCGUGGCUUCAUCCCUGAAGAUGAAUGGCUAGUACUGGCAGAACUCAGCUAUUUCUUCCAUGUUCUUUGUGUGAAAGAACUAUUGCCUGGCGUGCUAAAAGAAAUGGUAGAGUUGGUACCGAAGUUGAUCUGCAAGUUAGAGAAGAUCUUUCCAUCGGGCUUCUUUGAUCCAAUGCAGCACUUGAUUUUGCAUCUCCCGACCGAGGAAAGAUUGGGGGGGGCUUUGUAAAAUCGUUGGUGCUACCCAACUGAGAGGAUGCAGAAGACGCUUCGAGAAAAAUGUAAAAAUAAACGUAGAAUUGAGCAUCGAUAGCUGAGGCAUUCAUCACUGAGGAGGCGGCAAACUUCGUGACAGCACACUACGAAGCCAAAAAUCGUCAUUUGCAUAACCUGAAGCCUCGGUACAAUGCUGACGACCCUAAGAAGGGUGGAUUUGACCUCAGCCUAUUCAAAGGGAAUCUCGCACCAGCCAGUGUUUCAAAUCCAGUAUCUUUGGAUAACGAAGAAUGGCGGACCAUUUCGUUGUAUAUCUUCAACAACCUGAUAGAAGUGCGGCCAUACAUCGAGUAAGUUCUCGGUACAUUGUUUCGCAAGUUCUAUUUCCUUUUAACUGCUCUUAUUCCUGGAUAUUUCAUACAGUCGAUACAUCGCCAUAUUCUCGUAUGGAGCGGUGAUCCAAAAGGAUUCCAUCGAAGAGUAUGAGAUUCUCGCAAAGCAAGAAGGCGGCUAUCCAGGUUACAUCUCUUGGUUCAAACAAACAGUAAUUUCUAUUAGACAAUUUCAUUUCAUUCGCUAAUUUGUGCGUAAUGCAACAAUCCUUUCGUAUGAAACUUGUAGGCUAAUUCAGAGUCUAUGGACGCCGAAUUCAGAAAACUCGCUAAUGGUUUUGACUAUAAGGUCCGUUCAUUUGACAAAUACGACAUCACCGGGUAUCGCUUUCGUACCUAUGGCAAAGAGCUAUCUAUGGCCGGCCGAAAGUCUACAAAUUGUUGUGUAUCUGCUAUCGGCGAAGGAGGUACCGAGUAUUAUGGGAGAGUUGAAGCAAUUUAUGAACUUCUAUUCUAUGGUGAAAACCCACCGAAUGUCGUAGUCUUCAAAUGUUAUUGGUUUCAGCCGAAGGAGACUAGAAGGACUCAUGAACAUAUAAGGCUAGUUGAAAUCAACCAAAGCAGCCAUUUAGAUGUUCCUGAUGUCUAUAUUACAGCUCAACAGGCGACCCAAGUAUUUUAUCUACCGUGGGCCUGCCAAACUAAUCCAAAUAUGAAAGGCUGGGAUGUUGUUUAUGAAGUGCCGCCACGUGUUAGACUAUCUCCCCCAAAGGAAGAGGAUUAUGAACCUCACAUUAACCCAGACACAUAUGAAGGAGAAUUCUUCCAAGAGACACGUCUUUCCAAAAAGCAUUUCAAGAACCGUUAUACUUCACCCCAAGACAUUGAAGUAGACAGCAAAAGUGAAAUCUACAUCACCCGAGAGGAGGAACAAGAAGAGCCGGAACAAGAAGAGGUUACUGUUGCCGAUAACUUGUAAAUGCUUGACUGAUUACGUCAAGGUGGCCUUCCACAUGUUGAUGCCACUAAACCCUAUGAGCUCGUCAUUGAUUAUAGUGAUGAUGAUGAUUAUGCAUUUAUUGAUGAUACUGAUCGAGAUUAUUAGUAGUGUGAGGUAUUCAAUUUUUUUAUGUUGUACUUGAUGAUGAUACACUUAAGUGAUAUACAUAUUAUUAUCAUGUCGGUAUUUUUUUAUGUUGUACUAAUUUCAUUUACUCUUUGUCAUGGCAGGUGUUGAAAGAUGGAAGGGGAGCCGACUGAGGCCAAGGACAAACGUGCCCAAAUUGAAGGUGUGCCACACCAUCAAGGCAGCUCCAGCUUAUAUCAGUUCGGGCGGAAUUGGGUAUGUGGUUUGCUUCAUGAUUCAUGCAAUUCAUUCAUCAUGCUAGCUUGAGCCCUUUAAUUACUAAUUUACUUUGUUUCUCUCUUUCAGGCAUGCUACAAUAAGAUGGAUAAGGUGCCAGAGGGGUACGACCUGUAUGCCAUGGCCCACACUGCCUCUUACAAGAAAGUCAAGGGGAAGGCGAGGAAAGGGGAGGACUUUAACCCUAGCCAGGGUCCCAUUGAUCCAGAUCAGGUGAUGAUAUCUAGUGGCGGGUGGUCCCGUGGCUCCAUAGCCCAUUGAUCCAGAGAUUGCCCCUGAGACCACGGUGAGUUUAAUUUGAAUGGACGUUACAUGCUAGCCUUAACAUUUGAGUGUCAUCAUGCUAACGAAACAUUGGAAAUGAUCUUUGCUGCAGCGUAACUCCAGACAAGCAUCACAUGAUCCUUCUCCAGCUACUGGCACGAGCCGGCCCGCUCCUACACCUCCAUGAUCGCGGUAAGUUUCUCUAGUUUUUUGCUUAACAAAUGCAUAAAGACCUAGACUUAGCUUUAUUUCCUUCAAUAUGCUUACCUUAAUGACCUAGAGUUAGCUUCUUUUCCUCCAAAAUGACUUAAUAAGCUUACUGACCUCCAAACCAGCCAUUUUACCUAAGUUAGCUCUAAAACGAUCUAUACUUAGCUUUGUUUCCUCCAAAAUGACCUAAGUUAGUUGUAAUAUGCUUAGUUAACUAGGUUUGCUCAAUAAUGACAUGUACUUAGCUUACUUAUGUAAAAAAACAACAUAAUUAUUUUAGUUAGCUCAUAAACGAUCUAUUUUACCUAAGUUAGCUCUAAAAUGACCCAUUUUACCUUAGUUAGAUCAUAAAUGAUCCAUUUUACCCAAGUUAGCUUUAAAAUGACCCAUUUUACCUAGAUUAUCUCAUAAACGAUCCAUUUUCCUAUGUUAGCUCUAAAAUGACCCAUUUUACCUUAGUUAGCUCAUAAAUGAUCCAUUUUACCCAAGUUAUCUUUAAAAUGACCCAUUUUACCUAGAUUAUCUCCAAAAUGACCCAUUUUACCUACGUUAGCUCCAAAAUGACCCAUUUUACCUACGUUAGCUCUAAAAUGACCCAUUUUACCUACGUUAGCUCCAAAAUGACCCAUUUUACCUACAUUAGCUCCAAAAUAACCCAUCUUACCUACGUUAGCUCUAAAAUGAUGCAUUUUACCUAAGUUAGCUCAUAAACGAUCCAUUUCACCUAAGUUACCUCACAAACGGUGGACUGCUUCUUCUUCUAGUCUUCUUCUUCUAGUCACUUUUUCCUAACUUUCUUAUUUGCCAUUUUGCAGAUUUCAUUCACUUCUCGGAAGCUAGCUUGCUAUGAUGGAGUGCUUGCUAUGAUGGAGUGCUUGUUUUUUUUAUUUCAUUCUCUUCUAGAUUGCUACGAUGGAACUUGCUAUCUUGAUGAAACUUUGCAUUGUAAUAUGUAUGUGCAACUUCCUAAUGGUUGCAACUUAUGUGUAUGUGCAACUUGCUAUGUAUGAAUGGAUGGAACUAUAUAUGUAUGUACGAUGAAACUUAUAUGCUGGAUAUGUCAUAUGUUUGCUGUUAAAUAGCCCUGUGAAAUAUAUAUAUAUAUAUAUAUAUAUAUAUAUGUCAUAUAGAUGUGCUGUGAAAAUUGUUGGAUUCAAAAAACAGAAAAAAGAGGCAAUGCAUGAUCUUUGCCGUCCGCCGCUGAUGGCAAAGGACCCUUUGCCGUCCGCUGCGGACGGCAAAGAAGACACGUGGCGGCCACCUGUGCUCCCUCGGAGCUGACCCAUUUGGCCAGUUUGCCUACAGUGGCAGACGGCAAAGGGUCACCACAUUUGCCUACAGUGGAGGACGACAAAGAAUAGGUGGGCAGUGACGUCCAUAUGACGUCACCAGGCGGACAACAAAGGCAAGAUAAUUUUUGCCGUCAGCAGCUGACGGCAAAGGCUGCCGUUAGCCAUCUAACGGACUAACAGCGUAUUUAUUGCCGUCAGCUUUCUUUGCCGUCCGCUGCUUAUGGCAAAGUACCCUUUGCCGAUCCUUACUUUGCCGAAGCCUGUUGUCGUCCGCGGCAGAUGGCAAAGGCCUUUGCCGUCCGCCAUUCCUGCCUUUGCCGUCCCCGACGGACGACAAAGUAGCUAAUUCCUGUAGUGAAAGAAUAACUUUGAGGUGGUUUCGUACCCUACAAUAAUCUCUUCGUUUGUUCUCCGCUAUUAGUGACAUUGGAGUGACUCUUUGUUGCAUGUUGAGGGAUAGUUAUAUGAUCCAAUUAUGUUAUUAUUGUCGAGAGAACUUGCACUAGUGAAAGUAUGAACCCUAGGCCUUGUUUCCUAGCAUUGCAAUACCGUUUAUGCUCACUUUUACCACUUGUUACCUUGCUGUUAUUAUAAUUUCAGAUUACAAAAACCUAUAUCUACCAUCCAUAUUGCACUUGUAUCACAAUCUCUUCCCCGAACUAGUGCACCUACACAAUUUACAAUUGUAUUGGGUGUGUUGGGGACACAAGAGACUCUUUGUUAUUUGGCUGCAGGGUUGUUUGAGAAAGACCAUCUACAUCCUAUGCCUCCUACAGAUUGAUAAACCUUAGAUUAUCCACUUGACGGAAAUUUGCUACUUCCAUACAAACCUCUGCCCUUGGAGGCCCAACAACGUCUACAAGAAGAAGGUUGUGUAGUAGACAUCACACACCACAAAAAAAUGGAGACUGGAGCUCUAGAUAAAAAAUGGACGACUGAAAGGAACCGAUGAACAUGACUAAAACACACCAUAAAAUAGAAAAGAAUUACCAAAUGAUUGACUAUGUUACUGGUUAAAUAGAGCAAACAUCUUAAUAUGGCCAUGUAAAAACUGAGAAACUCAGGGCUUGGAUUAUUGCAUUAUUUUUACCAAAAUUAUACAAAGCAUCUACAAUGUGGGGCGCUCCUGAAUUUCCAAAUAAUUAAUGUCCAGAGUCGAAUCACAUGACAAGGAUAAAACAUUAGCAGUAUCCUAGUCGUAAUAAAAACAUGACCCCGGAAUUGCAACUGGUUGUGACUAUACAAACUAAAAAAGGGAAAAGGGCCCGAGUUGCAAGUCAAAUGUUGGCUUGCAACUGGGCCCCACUCCUGAAUUGCGAGUCCAUGGUCAACUUUAUAUUAGGGUGCUUAUAUAAACUAAAAACACAAAUGCCCUCCCCCCCUGAGCUGCGGGUAUGGGGUCAACUUGCAACUAGGGUGCCUGUACACACUACAAAAAACAUGAAAAUUCCCUAGAGUUGCAAGUCUAGGAUCAACUUGCAACUAGUCACGACUAUACAACUAUAAAGGGAAAGGGGCCCAGUUGCAAGUCGAAUGUUGAUUUGCAACUGGGCCCCACUCCGCGAGUUGCGAGGCCGGGUUCAACUUUGAAAAUAGGGUGCUUAUACAAACUACGAAAAACAUAAAUGGCCCCCUGGGUUGCCAGUUCGGGGUCAACAUGCAACUAGGGUCCCUAUACACACUACAAAAAACAUAAAAAUAGCCCGCAAGUUGCAAGUCUAGGGUCAACUUGCAACUUUUCACGACUACACAACUAUAAAAGGGAAAAAGGCCCAGUUGCAAGUUGAAUGUUGAUUUGCAACUAGGCCCCACUCCCUAAUUUGCAAGUCUGAGGUCAACUUUAAACUAGGGUUAUUAUACAAACUACAAAAACAUAAAUGCCCCCCCCCCCCGAGUUGCGAGUUCAGGGUCAACUUGCAACUUGUCGCGGCUAUAUACAACUAUGAUGGGAAAAGGGUGGACUUGCAACUAGGGAAACUCCCUAGAGUUGCAAGUCAAGGAUCACCUUGCAACUGGUCACGACUGUACAAUUAUAAAGGGAAAGGGGCCCAGUUGCAAGUCGNNNNNNNNNNNNNNNNNNNNNNNNNNNNNNNNNNNNNNNNNNNNNNNNNNNNNNNNNNNNNNNNNNNNNNNNNNNNNNNNNNNNNNNNNNNNNNNNNNNNNNNNNNNNNNNNNNNNNNNNNNNNNNNNNNNNNNNNNNNNNNNNNNNNNNNNNNNNNNNNNNNNNNNNNNNNNNNNNNNNNNNNNNNNNNNNNNNNNNNNNNNNNNNNNNNNNNNNNNNNNNNNNNNNNNNNNNNNNNNNNNNNNNNNCGAGUUGCGAGUCCAGGGUUAACUUGCAACUAGGGUGCCUAUACACACUACAAAAAACUUAAAAAUGGCACUCGAGUUGCAAGUCUAGUGUCAACUUGCAACUUUUCACGACUACACAACUAUAAAAGGGAAAAGGGCCCAGUUGCAAGUAAAUGUUGAUUUGCAGCUGGGCCCCAUUCCUUGAUUUGCGAGUCUGAGGUCAACUUUAAACUAGGGUGCUUAUAAAAACUAUAGAAAGGAUAAAUGCCCCCAUCCCUGAGUUGCGAGUCCGGGAUCUACUUGAAACUAUGGUGCCUAUACAAAGUACAAAAAACAUAAAAUGACCCCCGCGAGUCCGGGGUCAACUUGCAAGUGGCUUGACUAUAUACAACUAUGAAGGGAGAAGGGUGGACUUGCAACUGGGCAUCUACUACUAGGGAGCCCCUAUUGCGAGUCGAUGGUGGACUUGCAAUUGGCUACACAACUAGAAAAUCUCGAUUUACGAGUCGAGGAUGAACAUGCAACCGGGACAAGUCUAGUUACGAGUCGAGAGUGCACUUGCUGGGGCAACUACACUUCUACAAAAGCCUAGUUGCGAGUAGAUGACACACUUGCAACUAGGGGACCACCUACAACUACAAAAAAGGCCCAAGUUGCAAUUAGGGCAACUACACUACUACAAGCCCAGUUGCGAGGCAAUGGUGGACUUGGAACUAGGGCACCCCUACAAAGGAAACCCUAGUUGCAAGUCGAUGGUGGACUUGCAACUAUGGCAACUGCUACAAAGCCCUAGUUGUGAGUAGAUGGUGGAUUUGCAACUUGGACAAUUAAAACUACAAAACAGCCCCCAGUUGCGAGUCGAGGGGUGAACAUUCAACUAGGGCAAUUGCAACUACAAAGCCCUAGUUGCAAAGCGAUGUUGGACUUGCAACUGCGGCAAUUGCAAAUACAGAAAGGCGCAAUUGCGAGUCGAGGGUGAACAAAAAGGCCACGGGUUGUAUCUAGGGCAACCUACAAGCACAAAAAGAAGCUCCCAGUUGCAAGUCGAGGGUUAACUUGCAACUGGGGGUCAACUAAAACCAAGGAAAAAACAAGCCACCAGUUGCGAGUCAAUGGUUGACUUGCAACUAAUGGCCUCGCCUUGCGAGUCAAGGUCUGACUUGAAACUAGGUCAAACACAACUACAAAAACCAAACCCCCAGUUGAGAGUUGAGGGUUGACUUGUAACUAGGGGACCCAAGUAGCGAGUUAGUGGCUGACUUGCAACUGGGCAACCUACAACCACAAAAAAACAUCUUUUGCGAGUUAGGGGUUGAUUUUCCACGACUCGGGCCUCAAGUUGCGAGUUAGGACUGACUUGCAACUGGGGCGAACUUACAAGUACAAAAGAAGCCCCAGUUGCGAGUUAAGGGUUGACUUCAAACUAGGGCCUCGGAUUAUAAGUCAAGGUUUGACUUGCAACUAGGUCAACUACAAACUACAAAAAAACAAGCCCUCGGUUGUGAGUCGAUGGUUGACUUGCAACUGGGGCCUCGGGUUGCAAGUUGUGGUUUGACUUGCAUCUGGUUCGACUACAAACUACAGAAAAACAAGCCUCAGUUGCGAGUUGAGGGUUGACUUGAAACCGGGGCCUCGGGUUGCAAGUCAAGUCUUGACUUGAAACCGAGCCUUGGGUUGCAAGUCGAGGCUUCACUUGCAACUGGGGCAACUACAAAUUAUGAGAAUAAGCCCCCAAUUGCGAGUCUAUGGUCGACUUGCAACACGGGCAACCUACAACUACAAAAAAUUAAGCCCUCCCAGUUCCGAGUCGAGGGUUGACUUGCAACUAGGAGGCUUCGAGUUGCAAAUUAGGGGCCGGAUUGUAACUGGGGCAACCUACAAGUAUGAAAAGAAGCUGCCAAUUGCGAGUCAAGGGUUAACUUGCAACUAGGGGUCAAUUACAACCACGGAAAAAAGCCCCCAGUUGCAAGUCAAUGGUUGACUUGCAACUAAGGGCCUCGAGUUGCGAGUCAGGGUCCGAUUUGCAACUGGGUCAAAUACAACUACGAAAACCAAAACCCCAGUUGCGUGUCGAGGAUUGACUUGUAUCUAGGGGAUCCAAGUAGCAAGUUAGGGUCGACUAGCAACUAGGCAACCUACAACCCCCAAAAAAGGCCUUAGUUGUGAGUUAGGGGUUGAUUUGCAACUAGGGCUUUGAGUUGCGAGUUAGUACAGACUUGCGACUGGGGCAAACUUACAAGUACAAAAGAAGCCCUAGUUGCGAGUCAAGGGUUUUCUUGCAACUGGGGCCUCGGGUUGCAAGUCGAGGCUUGAAUUGUAACCGGAUCGACUACAAAAUACGCAAACAAGCACCUAGUUGUGAGUCGAUGGUUGACUUGCAACCGGGGCCUUGGUUUGCAAAGUUGAGGCUUGACAUGCAACUAGGGAAACUACAAAAACUAUGAAACAAGCCCCCAAUUACGAAUCGAAGAUUGACUUGCAACUAGGGUGCCCCAAAGUUGUGAGUUAGUGGUUGACUUGCAACUGGAGCAACCUACAAUUACCAAAAAAAGCCACCCCCCCCCCCNNNNNNNNNNNNNNNNNNNNNNNNNNNNNNNNNNNNNNNNNNNNNNNNNNNNNNNNNNNNNNNNNNNNNNNNNNNNNNNNNNNNNNNNNNNNNNNNNNNNNNNNNNNNNNNNNNNNNNNNNNNNNNNNNNNNNNNNNNNNNNNNNNNNNNNNNNNNNNNNNNNNNNNNNNNNNNNNNNNNNNNNNNNNNNNNNNNNNNNNNNNNNNNNNNNNNNNNNNNNNNNNNNNNNNNNNNNNNNNNNNNNNNNNNNNNNNNNNNNNNNNNNNNNNNNNNNNNNNNNNNNNNNNNNNNNNNNNNNNNNNNNNNNNNNNNNNNNNNNNNNNNNNNNNNNNNNNNNNNNNNNNNNNNNNNNNNNNNNNNNNNNNNNNCCUUGAGUUGUGAGUCUGGGGUCAACUUGCAACUUGGGGCAAACUACUAUGAACAAAAAAGGGAAGAACAUUAAAACAUGGAUUUGAUAAAAAACUAUUUUACAAAAAAAAUUCUUAGAAAAAGUUCAUGCAAGCAAGUGUUGCUGGAUUACCGCUGAAGAGCGGAACUCGUCCCAUACAUAGUAACAUAGACACUACACCUGCUUAGGCCAAAAAAAAGCAAUGAAAAUAAAUGACUUAACUGUUGAUUAUAUACAAUAACUUGAAAUAAGAAGAUGAGAAUGAAAUAAAAACAUGUGUGCUGCCCAGAAUUGUUUGGUAAACAAAAAGGCUAAACAAUGAAAAAGAAAAAAGAGUUGCUAAUUAGCUCAAAUAAAUAUAAAAACUAAUUAUAUGAUACCGGAAAUUCAGAUCCCCUGAUGAUUCUAAAAAAGGUGGCGGUUGAACAUUUGUGCUCCUGAAGUAAUAAUGCGCCAAUUUUGUUCCAUGCACCAUAAAAUCAGUGCAAAAACUUGUUCAUGUGUUCGACGCACAUAAAAUUAGUCAGUGCAUGAAACUUGCACAAGAAGUGCAUUCAUAUUGUACAACCAUAACAUGUUGCAUGCUAUAAACUUUGGUAUGGCUAAUUACAUCGAUGCUGGAAAAAAGAACAAUCAGACAAACUUGUUUUCUUCUUACUAAAGAAAUGACCAUCAAUUUUUUUAAAAGUUUAGUAGAGCUUUCCAUCACAACACACAAUACUUCAGCUUGAUCACAUAUUAGAACCAAGUCUGGGUAGAACAGGCCAGCAAUCGGCAGGUCUACUUUGAUCCAAAGUUGGUACAUAAGUCUGUUUCAAAAAAAACAAAGCUGGUACAUAAUGGGUACUAGUACAAUUCUCCCAAGAUAACACCAAAAAAACUUUAUACUACCCAUGCUAGUAAAAGAAAGGAAAUAAAUGGAUUGCGCAUAAGAAAAGUAUAAUAACUUCAGUUUGCAAAAAUUGAUGAACAUGAUGAUGCGCUUAAAAAUGUCUACUGCAUGCAAACUGGCACCAAAAAACACAAACAGGCUGCGGAAUAUUAGCAUUAAAACUCAUCCUACUCGUUGACAGAACAAUGAGUACCAAUAUCAGAUGACAAAAACAAAAGAACAUCACAGUAUACUGCCAACAAAACAACUGCCUAACAAAAAUAGAAUUAGAAGUACACUACUAAAACACUCAGCAACCAAUGUGGCCAACACAAAUCUGCUACAACUAUAUAUCCGCAACACACAGGGAUAAAAUAUCCCCAAAACUAACUUGGAAUGAAAACAAUACCAAAUCUGAAACUGAAAAGGCCUACAUGUGAAAAAUGGAAAAUGAAUUUGGGAACCAUAUGUGCUAACACACAGAAAAAGAUGAAACGUCUAGAAACCCCUAGAAAAGUUACUGAGCCUGCUUACUACAAAAAACACAACAAAAACCCCUAGAAGACACCCCCAGGGACAGCUGAAACUGUGUACUGAAAAAAUCUAAUAAAACUACACCAAAUUUACAAAGCGUUUGAUCAGGAAUACACAACAAACGCAACACUUAUGAAGCGUUUGUGCGUGCUAAAAUCCCCUAGUAGAUUAGCACCAUGAAACUAAUUUAUAUGCUGGAUACAACCUAUAAGAACUACAACAUGCUUUUGUACAGAUUACAAAACUGGAAAAUUCCAUAACAAAAGAAUUAUAUCAACAAAGAAUCACUACACUGAAAAUUUACUUGAGUAAGUAUACCAUCAGCAAAAAAAUACUAUAUAGAUGAAAUACACAAUUGGGUGAACUAAGAAUACAAAACCCUAUAUAGAUGAAAUACACAAACAAAAAAGAGAUAUGUAUAAGUUGAUGCAUUCGUGAGGUGCUUCUUUGUUUAUGUUCAUCUCUUUUUCUUUAAAAAAAAUCUUCAUCUUUUUUUUGCGGGGAAACAAAUCUUCAUCUCACUUGAAGCAUUUCUAUGUAUUGCCUAACCUAAGCAACUUCACCAUCACGUAUGAUCCAUCUCCAAGUUUUCCGACAUCAGAUCUCCCAUCUAGAGAAGGUGUGAAACAUCCUAGUAGUCUUAGCUACUCACCCAUGGGUCACCGUCCUGGGACAUGAACAGCUGUGUCGCAUGCACAGCGUGAGUUCUUCACCUGCAACCACUUGAUGCAAGCCGGCAUGGAAGGCGGUCGUCAGUACCCCGAGCAGAUCAUUGUCUCUGCAUCAGAUCCUUUCGCUCCUGCCAAGAAUCCAUCAGUCACAAGUCAUGAUUAGGCAAAUUUUCAUGCCGUGGCUGUGAACUGUUCCACAUGCAUGGAUAUGCCAAUUUAGCGGAGGAAAAUUGUACCAGCUAAACUUCUCCGACAACCUUGAUCGUUUUGCACGCGUUUAAUGAGAACUCCGAUAGACAAGCACUUAAAAAGAAACAUAAAAUUUUCAUCGGCAAGGUGCCAUGGAUCCAUCCUUGGAUUGAUACUUCAUCAGAGCAAUAAUAGCAAAAAUACAAAUUCAGAACAUACCCAAUGCUGCACUAGGUAGUAAAAUGCAGAGUUUUGCCGAUGAUGACAAGUAGCCCCAUCUUUUUGAAGCUGUGGGCCCCAUAUUGAAGUCAAAGCAGGCCUUAGACCAUUUCUAGGAUAUUUAGUUAGAGUGAAUCACCACCAUGGCGCCUUAACCAUUAGGCAGAUAUCCCCUAAAGCCAUUUGUGAAACUUUGACGAGUUGACUGACCCCACUGGUUAUGUGACUGCAUCCGUCUUGAAAGACUCUUGAACAUUUGAUAGGUUGAUAUAAAUUGUUUGCUCCAACAAUCGUGCAUUAUGCCAGAAGUUCUUUACAACUAUAAUACGCUGACCAUCUUGAUGAUUUACCCUAUGACCUUUCCAAUAUGGUAUCUUCUCUAUGAACUUACUUGGCAUCUGAAACAACUCCACAUUUUCCAGAUGUAUGGGGUUCUCGAUGCUUCGGGGUAUCUCGGUGAGUUCAAGACAUAGGCCAAGCGUCAGUAGACGUAAAUCUGCAAGGCUGUCCUUUUGAAAUUCUAUGCUGGUAAGGUUAGGCAAUCCCUGUAGGUUUAGUUGUCUAAGGACUAGAAAACAACCUGCCGGAAAGGUCAAGCUACUCUCGUUGCAUGCAUUGAUGAGACUAAGGUGCAACAGACUGGGAACUGACGAGAGUAGCGCAAUUGAAUCUUCUCCAAGUUUAGAUGAAUGCAAAUGCAAAUGUAUGAGGUUGGUAAGAGAACCAAACCACGAUGGUAGCUUAUCCCUUGCCAACUUUCCAUUUACAUUGAGGGUUUUAGCUUCACUGGUGCUGGAGAAAAUGACUCCAAGUCCAAUGUUACAUUAGCAUCGGAAUUGAUUAUUCCCAAGCGCAGAAGGCAGCUCAUUUUGGAUAUUGCUAAGGGAAAAUCGAUAAGAAUUCUCUGGUCUACUCCAGAUAGCUCUAAGCUCCUCAUCUGUUCCAAGCUUUCUAAGGAUUUGACCACCUUCUGAUCAGCUUGAACAUAUUUAAGAGUCUGCAGGCAUUUGAGAUUUUCAAGCCCAUCUGGAAGAGAAACUGUUGUACCAGGUUCCGGUUCCAUAAAAUCUGUGGUUCCACGUGUAAAUAAUAUCAGGUGCUGGAGGUUCUUCCGUUUGGUUAUGAUACUUGGUAAUACCUUGAUACUGGACCAUUUGGCAUCUAAAGUGUGCAAAUCACGUAGUCUCCCCAGUUCUUUCAGUAGUUCUUCAAUGUAGGUGGAGCGUACGCCAAGGUACCACAGAUUUGGAAGAUUGGCCACUGCACUAGGCAGUUUACAUGCCUUAACGUACCAAAGAUUUAGCACAGUUAACAAUCUAAAAUGAGAAAAUAGUGCAACAUCUAGGUCUGAUCUAAGCACAUAGAAGGAGCGAAGUGAGGGCAUAUUUGGAGUUGACUGAUGGUCAUUUUUGCACUGGUAAAGUGUACGAUAACGGAUUUUCUGUUUUAAGUCCACCCCUGCACUUGUAGAUAACUGAAAGUAUCCAUCUUCUUUUGAUCUAUAUGCAACAAUCUCCCUGAUCAGGUCGUGAAUGUGUAACCGCUUUGCACGCCCAAACUCAUUUUUCAACUUGACAAGCAACAAGUUCCGUUGCACUAGCUCGUUCACGUAACCAUCCGCGACCUCCUCCAUGGAGACAUGCCCAGUUUCCACUAUCAAACCUUGUGCUAUCCACUCUCUGAUAAGAAUCUUCCUUUUGACAAAGAAAUCCAUAGGGUAUACACUGCAAUAGAGGAAACAUCUCUUCAGGCGGUAUGGUAAGUCAUUAAUACUGAAAUUCACUAUGCUCGCCACUUGCCCAAUUCCAUGGUCAUCUCUUUCAUCCCACACAAGGCUAUCAUGGACGUUCUUCCAAGCAAACUCUGUUUUCUCCUUCAACAGAAGGAGGUUUCCAACCGAUAUAAUCGCCAAUGGCAGCCCACAACAUUUUUGCAGUAUCUUGAGAGCCCAAUUCUGCAGGUGAUAUGGGCACUCCUGGUUUGCAUUUUCCCUGAAUGUGGUGCUACAAAAUACAGACCAUGCUUCAUGUUCACGGAGCGGCUGCAACAUGAUGGUCCUGUUGUCUGAUGCCAGAGCAGCCACUUCUUGAUUGUGUGUGGUGAUGACUACUCGGCUCCCGGUUUCACUGUCAAGCAAUACACUACGGAGAUGAAACCAGGCAUCCGCAUUCCAGAUAUCAUCCAGCAAGAGGAAGUACCUUUUGUGAGCUAGAUGCCCACGAAGAGCCUCGACUAGUCACCGCUAGUCCAUCUCCUGUGUGUCCCCCAGCGCAUUGUCUCGGACACCCCGAUGAAGUUCCUUGAUGAUUCUCCUCAUGAGGUCCUCAGUCGUGAAGUUCUUGGAGACGGUAACCCAUGCGGUGCAAUCGAAAUUGCAGUUUGCAGCGAUUUUCUUGUAUACGUUAGUGGCAACAGUAGUCUUGCCAACACCGCCCAUCCCGCAGACCGCGACUAUUACCCGCCACGGGUCGGUGUCCCUGAUUUUCAUCAGUAACCUUGUGUGCUCGGCAAAACCGGCAAUUUUCCCUUCCUCCACGAAGUGCGCUGCCUCCGAUAUGUUCCGGCAGAUACCGGCCACUGCAGGGGCUGAGCUUGACGCGGAUGCCUCGGCCGGCCGGAUGCCAAGCUGCUCCUUCACGGUGGACAGGGCGCGGAGCCUCUCCCUUGCCUUCCGCAUGCACCUCAGGAGGGCGAACAGGGCUGCUACGUCAGCGCAGGCACGGACGAAGCGGACGCUCGAGAGAAAGGUAUACUCGUCGGUGACGUCCUCGAGCUCGAAGCCGACGUGGCGAACCUGGUUGACCCAUGCGUCGACGAGCUCGUCAGUGCCGCGGUGGGAGUCGGCGAAGCGGAGGAAGGCAUGGAGGAGAUCGAGGUCGCGCGCGCGGCGGCUAUACCGGAGCGGAUGGAGACGAAGGAGGCGAGGAAGAUGGCCGUGCUGCGGCCCGUGCGGAGCAGCGCCACGACGACCUUGGCCGAGAGGGAUAUGGCGAGCAGCUCCGCCAUGGCUCUGCUCGUAGUAGGGUGAUACGACUUACGAGUCAUAUGAGGUUCAAAUUCAACGACCGGUCGACGCGGGUAUGGGAAUAAUUCGGAUGGUCUCGAGCGCAGACAACGGACCGGCUCAACAUUUGCGCCGGACGCAUGCUGACCACGCGAUUAAAGUCGAUCACGCGUCCAUGCGAGGCUGCAGCAUGUGUCCAUUUGGGCGGAAGGAAACAAAUAUCUCUGCCUCGCUUCUCCAUUAUCUACCCGAGUGCACUUUUCUGUAGUAGCGCGAGCUGCCUGGUACUCAUUCUAUUUCUUUUUAAUCUGCAUAUAAGAUUUGAUCAAAGUUAAAUUUUAUAAAGUUUGAUUAACUUUAUAAAAAAAUAUCAACAUCUAAAACAUUAAAGCUAUAUGGUAUGAAAUUAAUUUCAUGAUGCAUCUCACAAUAUUGAUUUCAUAUUCUGAAUCUCAAUGUUUUUUUCUAUAAAGUUAGUCAAAGUUAACAAUGUUUGACUUUGACCAAAUUUUAUAUGCAGACUAAAAAAUGGAGGGAGUACCCUAUACCAGGUGCCGUUCAUAAAGUAUUCAGUGGCACCGAGGUACGUGCAAUCGCUUUGCUCAUUAGUAAAACAACGCUCUUAACUGGAAUCCAUUUGGGCCUACUCCUCCUGACAUGCAUCGGAUUCCUAGCUGGGAGAUAUGUCCCUGUCAAAGUAUUCGACUUUUUCUAGUUGGAUCCUCUGUGCCUAUGUUCUUUAGUAAUAUCUCAUAUUGGCCACAAGAGAUCCUUGAUAGCUUCAGCCUUCACUGCACGUCCACAUGCCUGAGACAUAUUGGUGUGCUCCUAUUUAUGAGUAAGUACAUGUUACAGGAGAGUCUCUGGCUAAGGGGUUGUUUGGUUGAUGUCCUGGACAUCGUGCCUGGCAAAUUUGAGCGCCUGGCUCACGCGUGCGAAAGUGCAGCUUUGUGCCAAGCCUUGUUUGGCUUGUGACCAUGCCUGGUGGUGAAUAAUGCAUGUCACAUCAGUGUAUUUAGCUGUCUUUUCCUUCUCACAUGCAUGAUUAGUACUCCCAGGCAACACCCAGGCGUCCUUUCUCGGUUGCCUAGAUCAGGCUAGUGACUCUCUCCUACUUUCUAGACAGGCUAAUGACGCAUUGAGAUUCUUAGGCCAGGCUAGCUUCAACUUAUCCAGGCACCAACCAAACAAAGUACAGGCAGAACUUAGGCAAGCUUCAGGCCGGGCAAGUUUGCUCCAGGACAAGAACAAAACAGCCCCUAAAUCCCUGUGCAUGGAGAAGAAGACAUCUGUCUCAACCUCCGUUCUUGGAGGCCUACUUUGUGGUCUUCAGAUGCAAAUCCCGGGUAAGCAGGUCUUUAGCAUUGUUUCAGCUUUUACAAGGAGGCCAACACCCGAACUUCUACGACGAAAGUGAACUUGUAGUCCAACAAUGUUAAGAGUAUAUAUCAUCUGACAGGGUGCGCUGUCGCCGCCACCCUCAGCCCCGCCCCGCCGCGGUCGCUGCCGCUGGCCAUGGCCCCGCCUCGCUGCGGCCGCCGCCCUCGGCACCGCCCUGCCGUGGCCGCCCAGGCCCCGCCCUGCCGUCGCCGGACCUAGAUCCCAUGGUGGCUGGCGAUGUUGCCAUGCGCGCCGCACUGGCGGGCUAUGGCUCCUCCAAGUUCGCUUUUGAAUUCUUUCAUCUUGCUUCAACCUUUCUAUUAUUCAUUGUUCUAGAGUGUCUCAACAAUUCUGGCUGUGUUCCUCGUCGUCAUUCUCAGCAUUUGAAGACCAAAUAAGAGUUUUCUAAUAAAUUAUAUUCGUUCUCUUGAAGAUUCAUGGUGCUAGCUUCAUGCAUCCUCUCAGUUGUUUCGAGUCGUCAUAAAUUUCUUUCAUCACCGUCCCAAAUCUUGUCAUGAGUUGUUUUCGUUAUGGAUUCUCUGAAGCCCAUCAUUUCAGAAGAGUUAUUCAUUCUAUAAUUUUAGCUUUCAUUCUCCUAUUCUAAAUUCAAGUCUCUUCAUUCAUCUCCAAAUUCUUACUGCUACAUCAUUCAAGUAUUCUCUAGUCAUCUCGUGAUCUCUUUGUUCUCUUGUAUCUAAAUUCCCUCAAGUAUCUUCAUUCAUUUUCUAAUUCGUCCCCGGUGAUUCGUUCUCUUUUCUUCGUUCGUAUCAAAUUCUUAUGACGGUUCUUUCAAGAUUCCUCUUCCUUUUUAUCAUAUCAAUUCAUUUGUUGUUUUCAAAAUCGUACCGGUGGUCUGUUGAGUUUGUGCUAUAUCUCUCCUUAAUACUUUUCAAUGGUAAUAAGUAGUAUGCUAAAUCCAUUGCUUGUCAUCAAUUUAAUUUGAUGAAGGAUGGACAUAUACUAGUUCUAAUUCUUGUUUCCUCAAGGUAAUUCAAUUAUUUCUUUUGGAGUUUGUUCAUGAUGAAUGAAUUCAUAAUUCCAAGUGAUUUCAUCUUCUCUUUUUUGUAGUUCCAAGUUUUAUCGGUAUCUCAUCAUAGAGCUUCUUCUCUUUUCUUUAUCAGUGUUCGAAGGAAAUCAUCGCAAUGUUUCAUCUUGUUCUUUUCAACCUUCAUUUCCUUCAUAUCAUUUCUUUCAUUUCAGAGUGUCUUCCCGAAGGUUCUUCAUGGUGGUUUGUGAACGAUUUCUUUCAUUCUCGAAGUGCCCUUCAAGAUUCUCCUCGAAGUAAAGAUCUGCCAAGCUAUGCUCGGAAAUAAACAUGGUGUUCAACACAUGUUUGGUCUUGAGGAGUUCAAGCAUGUUUCAUCUUCCAUUCAAGUGUGCAAAUCCUUUCUACCUUGUCUUUCGAGCUGGUCGUAUGUCAUUAUUGACAAAUUUCCCAUCGUGUUUCAUGACUCAUAGGUUGUCAAGAAUGAGAUAUUAAACCCACCAUUUUCUCUUCGUUCAGGAGUUCCUUUCAGCCCAUCAAUCUCUUUGUUGGAGUUAUCUUGGGUUUGGUUUCACAUAAAUCCUUCCCUAAGGAAUGUUGGCAUUAUGGUGUGUAUUUGUGAUUGAGGUUUUCUCUCUAUCCUCUCGGUUAAAGAAGUUUUGCAUCUCUCUAUUGCUCUCAAGCAUCAUAUUUUCUGCAAAAGGCAGGUUUUAACCUCAGAAUUUUGGAAUGUUUCCAUAAGGCCAUUUGAAGCAUAUCUAUUGCUUGUUGACUAUUUCAACAACUCCCUUCAACUCUUCUUCACAAGGAUGCUCUUUCAUGUUUAAUUGUGUUAGAAGAUGUUGGUUUCUCCUCCGUUCUUUUUGUCCCAAGUAUCUAACUCAAAUUCUUUUUCUAAGGAAGCAUCGUGUUGGUGCACUUUCCCAAGUCCCUCGAUGUUGCCAACUUCAUGUUCUACCUAUUAUUUAUAUUUUAAUCGGAAUCUCAUCCAGGUGCUUCCAUUUUCUCAAGUUCAUGUUCUAUCCCUUGCUUCUCUUUAACUGGAGUGGUUUCAAAUUCUUUCUCAUCUUUGAUGCCAUCUGUUAUGUCUUUCCAACCUCUAGGAUUAUUUGGUCUCACUCAUUUGUCACAGAAGCAGCUUUAUUUUACCUCUUUCUCUUCCUCUUCCUGUUCUCAUUCCUAGGUCUCAGGGAGAGAUCUCUUGUAAGUGGGGGUGAUUUGUGGCAGCCCAAGACCGACGCUCCAGAUGCCUCCCACUAUUUCCCCUAUAGACACAUCAAUUAUUUGGUUGUGGCAUUAAUCGUCAUAUCAUUUGCAUUGCAUCGACACUCAGUUGCCAUCAUUUUUUCAAAACUUGCAUGCAUCCGUAGUUGCCACUUCUCUCCGCUGUCUUUGUUGAUCGUUCCGAGUCCAACCACAAACUUGCACAUGCCCCCGGCAUCGUUAAAUAAUUAUUUUCAAAGUGGGAUUAAAAUAUUCUCGUAAUGGGUGAAAAUUUUACGUGCAGUCUUAAUAUUAUGUUAGUAGACCACCUGCCAAAUUUCAUCGCAUUCGAAAGUCGUUUGGUACCCUAGCCAUUAAACUAUAGACACACUAUAUCCGGUUAAAUAUAUGAUGUUUUUGUAAUAAAACUGGUUACUGGGCUACCCGACUUCCCUCUCAUCUCGGCCCACCAAAUCUACAUAGCCCACCUAAACCUACCCUAACCCCCUCGACUCUAGAGCCUCCCGAUUGUGAUCGUAGGGCUCCAACAACCCCCCAAAACCCACAACCCUCCCCAUCCCUGCCUAUUUAAGCAACCCAUACCCUGCAUAAUUUGGAACCCUACCCCUCUUCCUCAUUUUUCAUGUGUAGCCUCUCCAUCGCCGCCACUUGUCCACCUUCUCCACCCUCGAGCCGUCGUGGCCCUGCGAGCCCAUCGUAGACCUGCUCGAACCCAUCUAGUCCCGAGCCAGCUCAUGCGCCACCGCCAUUAGUUCUCGCCUCCACCGCUCGCGCCCGUGCUCCCUUCACCCUACCGCCAGCUCUCCCUCGUGCGGGAUCUCCCGUCGACUGGGGAGUUGCCAGAGACCGCUGCCGGAACAGGCCGACCUCACCGCCUCUUCUCCUUUUUCCUCCGUCUCUCUUCCUUUACACUCUAACCCUCUCUCUCUGUUGUUGCCAUGGACGCUACCCAAGCUCGGAGGACACGCCGCCACAUCACCUUGCCGCCGCCUCCGGCCAAAUCUGGUGGCCACGACACCGCCCGAUCCGUCCAUCGAUGCCGCAGCCGCGCCGAACCCUGCCAUGGCCUCUGCUUCGCCCGCCGAUACGCCCUCGUCCCAGGAUCCACCAAGCCCUCCAAACAAACGACAUCCGGAACCGCUCCAUCCUACUUUUCCUGUGAGGUCAAAUUUUUGCCUGUCCUUAGAUUUUUUCACAUCAGAUUGCAAUUUGUGAUGGUAACUUUGUCCAUUUUGUCUAAUAGAAAUAAUCUUUCUAUGAAAAGUGAUCUACUCUCUCUGGGCUUUAUGGUGGUUGCAUUUGCAUCCUUGAUAGGAUUCAUCUACAUAUUGUAAUCUCUGUUCCAAAAGUGCAUCAAGUCAUAAUAUGUUACAUUGAUCCUUGCCACCUAUCCAUAACUCAUAUGCAUAUGACUCCUUCACGUGUUUUGCACUAUGAAAUAUUUAUUUUAAUGCCAUUCCCAUGGAUGCCAUGUCAAGUUUCUUUAGCAUGUCUAUUUCUUGCUCUUAGGUGGCUAUCAUGAUAUAAAUACAUUCCUGUUAACAGAAAGUUUCAUUUUGUGAAAAUCAUAGUAAUUAAUAAAUGCUUCCUAUGAAUUUGAGCAUAUGAAGUAAAAUGAACAUUGCAGUGUCUAAUGCAUGUACAUAUUUUUCAUAAAUAUUGAAAUUGGUUUACUUAAUGAUUAGUGCAUCUCAAUUCAGCAUCAUAAUGUUACUGUUUUGCAAAUCCCGAAUUUUCCCGAAGUCUCUAAAACAUAGCAAAACAAAGCAUUUUGCAUAACACAUAUUAAACUAACCUUGAUGCUUAUGAACCUGACCUUAUAUGAAAAGUGUAGCAUGUUAAACCAACUAUAAAUGCAGAUCCUUUUCAUACAUUUUAGCAACACCCAUAUUGAUGUUCCGUUGCUCCCAAGUAGGCAUCUUGUUGUUUUGGCAGAUUACAAUCAACACAAGUUGUUCAGGUAUGUGAUGGAUGAUGUUAUAUGUAUCCAGUUUGCUUGACAUUUUGUUCAUGUAAACAUACAUGCAUCUAAAAUUGUAAUUGUUUCAUUCUAGGCAAUGUGUUUGGUUACAACUAUGGGAACACAUUUGAUUAACUGAAGAAAUGAUGGUUGCGAUCCACUCUUUUAAGAUGUCAAAGAUUUUUGCACCAAAAAUGGCGUUCAGAUACUAAAUAUGGAUGCCAUCUUUAGUAAAUCGGGAAAAUCAAGAAAAGAUGGGACAAAAAAUGUCACUAUUGAUCAUUUUUUCCAUGUGGACACCUUCUUUGCUGUUAUAGACUCCAUCACCACAAAGGUUGAUCAUCAUUUUAACGAGGUAUCUUCAGAACUGCUCUAGAACUUCUCUUCUCUUGACCCUAGAGACUCAUUUUAUAGGUUCAAUGUGAAAAAGCUUGAGAAUCAUACAGAUUUAUCAAGAGUAUUUCUCUUAGUAUGAAUGUGAACAUAUAGAAGAUAACCUUGAGAUAUUCAUUAUUUAUACGAGAAGAAUUGAAAACAUGUCAUGCUAUUGCAAGCUUGGAUAAAAAGAUAGUUAAACUUGAACAAUACAUCAUGUUUACUAUGAUUUAUCACCUCAUUGAGUUGGCCUUGCUAGUACCAGUAGUGAUGAAAACAAUUUAAAGAGCCUUCUCAGCAACGAAAAUCCUUAAGACCGCGUUGCGCAGCAUGAUGUCUCGUGGUUGGCUUAGAUAUUCGGUAGUGUGUUACAUUAAGCGAGGAGGGAUAUUCAAAAGUCUUCAUCGCGGUAAAAUUAAGAAAGAUUUUCAGAAAGAUGGUAGGGCAUGACCAUUGCCUGGGUCUUCUAAACAUCAUUGGAAGUUUCAUUGUCCAUAUGUUUCCGAUUAACGACUAAAAUUUCUCGUUGUGUUGCAUUAGUGGGAUUUCAUAUGCCUCGUCGAGAAUAGCUAUGUUAUGAACAUGCUUGAGAUUUAUCAUAUUUGGUGAGAACUGCUAAAAAACAGGAUGAUUUGUAUGCCUGUUUAUGAAUCUCGGAGGGUUAUAAGCAAAAUUUGACACUGGUGUAUGAUAUUUUUUGUAGCUAGAUACAAUUUUUUAGUUGUUUGGAUUUACAUCUUUGAGGUUAGCUAUAGUUGGUUUUUUAGCAAAAGCUAGAUUUGGUAGAAUUUAUAAGAAUAAUAUCCCAAAUCAAGGGUAAUUAUUUUGGUAUUGAUUAACACCUAUACAUGGGCAAAAAAUGUACAAUGGUGGUCUACACGCGUCCUGUCCAUCUAUAUGACAAUGAACCCUAAAAAAAUCUCCUUUCUUUUGAAAUAAAUCAAUUUAAAAUGUAGAAGUAAUUUGACAACUAAAACAUGACCCAUGUCAACAAAAAAUUGUCGGGUUUCCGUGGUGCCUGUCAUGAUUUUAAGAUCAGCGGACCAUGCAUGUUGUCAUGAUCCAAUAUUAAUUUAUAGAUGCGAUCUUUGGACAUUUGCUCUUUUCUGUAGUCACUACUAAUUACAGGGCUUAAAAAUAUAUAUCAUUUAUGUCGUCGUUGCUCUUUUUAUACUCUAACCUCACAGAUUUCGUUUCACAUCCUAUCCUUACAAGUUUUCCUCGCCUUCGUUGUUCCUAACUAGUAAGUCCUAGACUUAGACACAAGUGGGUAAUAUUUGUCAAGCCUAGUGACACCAUGGAUACCAUGGACGUCAAGUAUCGUAAUGACUUCGUCAAGAAGGUGAGGCAGGCGACCGUGGCGUCGGCAGUGGAAGGGUGAAGUACAAGGAGUGCGGCAGGAACCAUGCGCUGGCUAGCGGUGGGCACGUUGUAGACGGUUGCGGGGAGUGAAUGUUGUUUGGGGACCUCAACCCCGCUGAUGCUUCGUCAUACAAGUGAACGACCUGCGGAUGACACCAUAGCUUCCACCGCAAAGGUGAUGACGGAGAGGUCGCCGCCACUGCUGCCCGGGCAGCAGCAGCGGCGACCUCUCCAUCAUCUUCUUGCGGUGCAAGAUGUCGUGGAAACCGCAGGCCGCCCACUUGUAGGAUGAUGCGUCAGCAGGGUUCAGGUUCCCCAACGGCAUCCACUCCCUGCAGCUGUCCACGACGCACCCACCGCUAGCUAGCGUGUGGUUCGUACCACACUCCUUGUACUUCACCCCUUCCAUCGCCGGCGCCACGACCGCGUGCUUCACCUUCUUGUCGAAGCCCUUAGGGUACUUGACAUCCAUGGCCCCCCUGGUGUCACUCGGCUUGACAAAGAUUACCCACUAGUGACUAAGGCUUGGAUUUACUAGUUAGGAUCAACGAUGGCGAGUAAAACUCGUAAGGAUAGGAUGUGAAAUGGAGUCUGUGAGUUUAGGGUAUAAAAAGAGCAACAACGACUCUAAAGAUAUAUAUUAUUAAUCUAUGUAAUUAGUAGUGACUUUAGAAAAGAGAAAAUCUCCAAAGAUCAUAGUGAUAAAAUAAUAUUGGAUCAUGACAACAUGCAUGGACCACUGAUCAUAAAAUUAAGAUGGGCACCAUGGAAACCUAGCCAUUUUUUGUUUGACCUUGCUCAUUUUUUAGCUGUCAAAUUACUCCUACAUUGUGACUAGAUUUUUUUCUGAAAAAAUAGCUUUUUUCAGGGGUCAUCGUCACAUAGAUGGACAUGACGCGUGUAGACCACCGUUGUACAUUUUUUGCCCACGUAUAGUUGUUAAACAGUACAAAAAUAAUUACCCUGGAUUUGAGAUGUUAUCCUAUAUACCUAAGAGAUCCACCCCAACUAACCUAUUUAUCUUGACAUGUAGCAUAUCCACCUCAACAUGUAUGCCCCACACGUGCCACCUUCUGGCACGUCAGCGACUCUUUACAUGGAGCGUUCAGUUACCAAUGUGCAAAAUCAACUAUCCACCUGCCUUCUUUCAAUAUCCACUUUCCAUCCAUAAGAGCAUCUCUAGCAGACCCCUUAUAAUGUCGACCUGCAAAAUGUGUUUACAGUUCGCGGAAAAACAGCUUUGCGGGCCGACGCGUAGGAUAUCCGUUUUUAGGGAUUCGCUUUGCGGGUUCUACUCGGCCGCCGUCCACACGGGCCCGUAAAUCAGUAAUUUGCAUUUCAAUUUCGGGCAUGAAAAAACAUUUCUUUGCUUCUUGACUUUCUUCAAGCGCAUUGGAUACAUAAUAAUUCACCAAAUCUUUGCUAGAAUAGCAAGACAAAAGAAAACAAGAACCACAAUUAGGCCUUGUACAAUGGGAGGUGCUUAGAGAAAUAAAUCAGGCUUUUCUUAAGCACCAGUGCUUAUUUACACAGGAUAGACGCUUAACUAAGCGCCUCUCCUGUAGAAAUAGGCACCGGUGCUUCAGAAAAACCUGGUUUAUUUUUCUAAGCAUCUGUCUAAGCACCUCCCAUUGCACAAGGCCUUAGGAGUUUUAGAAGAUAUCCAACUUCCAUAACUGCUCUCACUAGUUCGACCAACAUCUUCUCCAUGCCUUGAUUGUUGAUCUGCGGAUUCUCUAAAUUGCAUUCUUCAUUCUUCUUCUUUGAUUCUAAAGAAGUACACAUUGCUUCCCCUCUAGUUUCUUGUGUAAUUGCACAUGUAGCCGCAUCAUUAGCCUCAAUUCAGCAAACGAGUGCACGAACAUCAAUUAAGUUUCUUCCUAUCAAUAAAUCGAUCUAUUCUUCUUCCCUAUACCAAAAUGAGCAUCUGCCUUCGUACACACAUGAUCAUCUCAAUAAUCUACCGAAAAUUAAACGAAUAGGUUGACAAAGUUGAAUGAAAACAAGAACAUGCCUCGUAGUUUUCGCAUUUGAAGAAUACCCAUCCGGGGUGUUUCAGCGUGCUAGAUGUUAGCUGCAGCAUUGUUUGUGUGCAGUCAUCGCACUGUAUGAGCUGCACCGACGAGCAGGUGAGCCGCUGCGCUAGCACCGACCAGGGGUGACAGACGGCCAUGUCCUUGCCGGUAAACCGACGACGACGCCUAGAGGAUGAACCAGUACCUGCAUGCAGCGUUGGGGCUGUGCGGGGUGCUCCCUGACCAAUCCAUGGCUUGGCGCAGCCGCCGAUGGCCGGAAAUGCUAGAACUAGCUGCUACGACAAAUAGCCGUCGAUCUGCAACUUUCCGGCCAGCCGAGGCAGGAGGAAGUGGUGAGGGACAAUCUCGGGCGUGUGGCGGCCCGCCAGUGUGAUCCCGCCGGCUUGUAUGGUCGGAAUCAUUGGCGGUGGCACGGCGGAGGUGGGUGGGGAAAAGCACAGGCUGAAAUUACCCUCCCACCAACCGCUCCUGCUAUAUACAGGGCACCGAUGGGGCGAGGGGAGAAACUUUAUUUUCGCUGGUUGGGGUGGGAAUUUUGCGGGGCCCCGCUAAAAUAUUUACGGGUGUGACGCGUUUGCGGGGUCUGAUCGGACAGUUUUUCUCAUGCGGACCCAUAUUUUGAUGGUUAUUUUAUGGGUCGGGGCAUUAUACGGGUUUGCUAGAGAUGCUCUAAAUCGCGGAUGCCUAUCUCCCUCCCUCGGAAAUAAACACAAACUAAUUGACCUCUCUCCCCCAGAAAAAUUGACGCCAGUUUUCUCCUUGGCUACAGGUGCAGCACGUGGGAGCCGAUCUGUGCAUCAAGGGUCCUCCCAUGGUGUAUGAUUGUAUGUUGUAUUGCUCCUGUGCAUAGGCACAUAUAUAUGAUGUAAAAUGUGGGCCAUGGACCUCAACUAUACAAGAAACUAGGAGGCGUUCGCCACCGCACAAUACUCAGCCUUAGCACUGGAACGAGAGACCGUAGGCAGCCGCUUGGUCGACCACGAGAUAAGUGAGGGUCCAAGGUAGACACAAUAGCCCGAGGUGGAGCGACGAGUGUCAGGGAAGCCCGCCCAGUCUACAUCGGAGUAGACGGUGAGGGUAGUGUCGGCGGAGGCGUGAAGUGCGACGCCAAGAUCCAUAGUGCCACAGACAUAGUGGAGAAUCCGCUUGACAGCAGCCCAGUGAAUGCCUCGAGGAGCAUGCAUAUGAAGACACACCUGCUGCACGGCAUACUGGAUCUCCAUUCGAGUCAGAGUGAGGUACUGGAGAGAACCAACGAUAGACCGACAGAAAGCAGCAUUUGAAGCAGGAGAACCACCCGUGGCAGAAAGCUUGGCCUUCGUUCGACACGCGUGGCAGCGGGCUUGCAGUUAAGCAUGCUGGCACGCUCUAGGAGCUCAUGAGGGUACUUCUUCUGAUGAAGGAAGAAGCCAUCCGGAUGGCGCACCACCUCGACACCGAGGAAGUAGUGAAAAUGACCCAAGUCCUUGAUGGUGAACUCAGCGCGAAGAUGAGCCGUGAGCUGACAGAGGAGACCAGUCGUACACGCCAUCAGGAUGAUGUCAUCAACAUAGAGCAGCAAGUAGGCCGUGUCAGAGCCCUAAUGAUAGACGAAGAGCGAGGCGUCCGAGCGGGUAGAGUGGAACGCAAGCUGGUGGAGAAAUAUAAUGUUGGUCUGGGCCGCUUCAUCAACCAAUACCGCUGAAUCAAAGUAAGACGUUGGUGGUAAGCAAUAUGACUAUUAUCACCCAGAACUCUUUGUGUUCUACUCGUGCAUAAAACAUCUACACAUAGACAUGGCUCGGAUGCCACUAUUGGAUAACAUAGUAUUUCAAAACUUUCCUACGAUCAUGCAAGAUUUGUCUAGGAGAUGCAUAGCAAUGAGACAUGAGAGUGUGUCCAUGUACCCUUGUAGACCCAAAGCGGAAGCGUUUAGUAACGUGGUUGAUGUAGUCGAGCGUCUUUGCGAUCCAACCGAUCCAACCGAUCCAAGUACCAAACGUAUGACACCUCCGUGUUCAGCAUACGUUCAGCUCGAUGACGUCCAUCGUGCUCUUGAUCCAGUUGAGGAUGAGGGUAAGUUCCGUUAGCAUGACGGCGUGGCAACGGUGAUGAUGAUGUUACCUGCGCAGGGCUUCGCCUAAGCACUAGAACGAUAUGAUCGAGGUGUCUAACUGUGGAGGGGGGCACUGCACACGACUAAGGAAAAACUUUGUAUGUUCUAGGGUGCCCCCUGCCCCCGUAUAUAAAUGAGGGAGGGGACGGCCGGCCAGCCAGGCUAGGCGCGCUAGGAGAAGGGGAAUCCUACUAGGACUCCAAGUCCUAGUAGGUUUCCACCUAAAGGAGAAGGGGGAAGGAAGGGAGAGGGGGGCCGCGCCCCCAACCCCUUGUCCAAUUCGGACUGGGCUUGGGGGGGAGGGGGCGCCACCUCCUGGCCACUGCCUAUCCUUCCCACUCGGGCCCACUAACGCCUAACAACUCUCUAAGGGGUUCCGGUAACUUCUCGGUACUCCAAAAAAUACCCGAAUUUUUCCAGAACCAUUCUGAUGUGUGAAUAUAGACGCCCAAUAUAUCAAUCUUUAUGUAUCAACCAUUUCAAUACUCCUCGUCACGUUUGUGAUCUCAUCCGGGACUCCGAACAAACUUUGGUCAUUGUCGUGGAAAGGUCACGGGAAAUGUCCUAGCAAAAGGACAUAGUCGUGGAGCCAUCACAACUAGGAAGCUUGAAGGGGUUAAAACAGGACAAAGGACACGAGAGUUUAUACUCGUUCGGCCCCUUGCGGUGAAGGUAAACGCCUAAUCUAGUUGAGGUGGUAUUUCUUAUGUCUCGAUUACCAGGGAGCGAAAUACGCUUGACCUAGAUCUCGAUCUGAUCUUACUUGUCCUGAACCGCCACCGAGUCGUCCCUUUAUAUACAGAGGUCGACGCCCAGCGGCCCAUAGAGUCCCGGCCGACUCAUAAAUAGUAUCCGGCUUGAUGACUAUCUAUUGUUGCCUUACAAUACAAGUCGUACAUACAUGGUGGUUUAUCUCUAUAGGCCUUAAGUGCCUUUGGGCCUUGGGCCCUUAGCUGAACCGCCAUCUUCAAAUAUCUUCGUGGGCUUCAUAAUGAUGAAUCGCCAUAGGUAUGACCCUGCCCCUCCUGGGAAAAAAAAGAAAAGGCCCAAAGAAAAAAAGAGGCCAUAAAAAGAUAAAAAAGAGAAAAGGCCCAAAUAAACAAAAAAUGAUAGAAAAAGAGAGAAAGGGUGUCUGUGUCAAAACCGGCGGAUCUCGGGUAGGGGGUCCCAAGCAGUGCGUCUUAGGAUCAAUGGUAACAGGAGGCAAGGGACACAAUGUUUACCCAGGUUCGGGCCCUCUCGAUGGAGGUAAAACCCUACGUCCUGCUUGAUUGAUAUUGAUGAUGUGGGUAUUACAAGAGUUGAUCUACCACGAGAUCAGAGAGGCUAAACCCUAGAAGCUAGCCUAUGGUAUGAUUGUUGUUGUAUAUGUCUAUCGACUAGCCUGGCCUCGGUUUAUAUAAUGCACCAGAGGCCUAGGAUAACAAGAGUCCUAGCCGAAUACGCCGGUGGGGGAGGAGUCCUUGUCUUGAUCGCCAAGUCUUGUUGAUUCUUCCUUGUAUGCGGCAGCUGUCUGGACCGGCCCAUGAGUAUACGGCCAUGAGGGUCCUCGGCCCAAUCCAACUGAUCGGGAGACGACGCGUUGAGUACCCCCUAGUCCAGGACACCGUCAGUAGCCCCCUGAACCGGUCUUCAAGUUAGGGACGUUCCUCAAUUCUUCCGAACUGUUCUUCAUCUUCGGUUGUCGGUCUUGAAAACUGGUUCAACAAAUCUUCUCAUAUUCUAUCUUGAGGAUCGCCGAAAUGCAUUCGACGAGUUUAUGCGUUGGGUAUCCGAGGAGCCCCUUUAAGUUUACGGCCUUUAUCAAUGCCUUGUUAUUCUUAUGCGUUGGGUUUGAAGUUGUUCUCGGGUGGCAACGUCCUCUUGCGUUCGAGCUCCAACGCCGGACUGCAUUCGAGGUAUCUUUUGCAGCCGAGCACCAAUGUCGGACUGCUUCCCAGCUCUAACGCUGGACUAUGUAUCCGAGCUCCAACGCCGGACUAUAUCCAAGCUCCAACGCCGGACUAUGUAUCCGAGCUCCAACACCGGACUUUAUCCGAGGUGUCAUAAAUCGCCUUGGUUCAAAGAAGUUUGAAGGAGUUUAACCGAGAUUAAUGCCGGAAAUGCCCUCUAAGGAGCCAGCCACUUGUAUCCGAGCUAUAUGUUGAACUGCUUCCGAGGUGGUUAAGCACCUCGGUCAUGGGCUGAUUUUUGGUCAAUGUUUUUUAUUGAUGUAAUUUAUUCUCUAACGAGAUAUAUAGCAAGUAGCCCUCAAGGUAUGUAUCGGUCUAAAACCCGGGAUGCACCUGAAGGAUGACAUAAGACCGCUGAUCCCCGUAGCCGCUGAGACUCAGGUUGAUUUGCAAAAUCGGUCUGAGGAUCAAGUCCUAGCUCGGAAGAAUACUUCAGGACACAAAAAGCGGCAUGCUCAGUCCUCGAGACUCAGGUUGGGUGCGGCCGACCAACCUGAGGAUCAAAAUCUCCUCGGAAACUGUAUUGCACUUAGGAUUUUCUGCAUAGAACAAGCAAUGCAGUAGCCCACGAGACACUGGUCGGGUGGCAACACUAGAUCAGGGGAUCAAUGUGCCCCUUUAAUAUUUGUAAAUAAUAAGCCCGAAGCCCAGUAGCCUCCGAGCCUUAAUGCGGGCACGAGCGGCCGAAUUAAGGAUCAAUAUCCAUAGUAAAAUCACAAAUUAUGUGUAAUGACUCAAUGUAUCCAAGUACUUUAUGUCAUUAAUGCUCGAAUCCGCAUUGUACAAAACUUUGUUGACCGACCAUGAGCUUCAACAUCCUCGGCCGGUAGCCGAGGAGUGUUUGUCCUACUUUAUAAAGCCUUUAUGAGGGCAAAGAUUUACGACAAACAAGGCAAUCUGGUCAUACGGCUUUCUAAACAAAGGUACGCAGAGAGAUAUGUUAUAUUGCUGUUUAACAGAAGAAAUGUCUUCCAAAGAAAAUAGUCCCGCUAUCGGUUCCUUUCUUUGGGUUGUCAUGCUAAGCAUGAUCAUGAAACCUCAGCUCCAAUGUAAGAGCAAAAGAUCGAGGAUUUAGUUUGGGAGGCCAGUUAAUAGCCCCCGGUAGUAUUCGGCGACAGUCGAGGUCAAGCCGGAAACACUUCGGCCAAUGUUAUGAAUGGCCCGUCAUUUAAUAUAGUCAUUGGAUCGCUGACCAGUUUACACCUAUUGUGACAGUCAGUUUUCGACUUUCUCCACUUAGGUGCUUGACCAUGCGAGCUGGAAGCACAAUCGCAGUGGUUCUCCCUUUGCACACCUAGCCGAACAAAGCAGAACGUAGGAGGCAAGCGCGGGAGCCGGGCAACCCAACUAUUAACCGAAGACACAAUUCGAAGCUGAUGCAUAUAUAGCAAUAUCCGAGAAUGUUUUUGCCGAAUCUCUAAAGAUGUCCGGCGUUGCACUGCGAGACUUGCACUGAAAACACACAAAUAGUUAAGAGUGCCAAAAGCUUGGAAAACCAAAAAACGUCAGUAAAAACAUGACGUGCAAACAAGAUCAAGUGUUCGGUGCCAAUCCGAAAAUUGGACUUUAGAAAAAAAGUGCUUCUGCUGUGCUUUAACUUUGCAACGACUAAGAAGAAAAACACUUAGUAUGAAACGUCUCAAAUAAACAUAAGAGCCCCCAAGCGACUUGGGUAAAAGUUGACUAUAAAAUAUAAGGUGACAUGUAGAAUGCCUUCUAGCCGGCUUGUAGAUCGUUUGUCGUAGCGGACCUUUUUGCUUCAACCUCUGGACCCAAUAGUCCGGAGUGUGUCCGAAUACCCUCGCGGUUAUAAAAACCGGGACAUGCGUGGAGACCAGGCAGAGGGUCAUUAGUGCUUUAUCAGACAAGUGCCCAACUAGUUAUGUUAUAUUACAUGGUUAGUAAGAAACAUCUUCCAGGGAGAAUAGUUCUGUUAGGGGUUCCUUUCCCUGGGAGGCAUGCCCUAAAGUGCAUGUUCUGUCACAUCCCUGGUCCUGUUAUGCACUAGGCUAGACCUCAUGUGAGCAUCAUGUUUUAAUUCAAAUGAAAUUUGAAUUGAGGAAUUUUUCAAAGCCUCAGAAACCUUCUAAAAAUGAUCAACAUUAAAAUCUUCGCAAAGAAGCCCAAGAAAAUGUUCCUCUUAGUCUCUGAAAAUAUUGCAAAGAGGUAAAACUCAAAACAAUAUUUUUGGUAUCUCAGAGUUAAUUAUUUUGGGCCUUUGAAUUAAAUAAAUAGCUAUUUGCAUUGGAUAUACAUAUUAUAUAUAAAUAAUAUAUGUCCAAUAAUUACUGGAACAUUUUAUGUGGUUUGGUAUAUUUUAGUUCUAGCCACAUAAUUAUUUUCAGGAUUUUAUAAAAUGGUUUAGUAUUUUUACUAAACCAAAACAAAACAGAAGAAAAAUAUGAAACAGAACAGAACUUACCAGGCGCCACUUACCUGGCCCAGCUCCAUCUGGCCGGCCCAGCCCACCUCCUCCCCCUUGUCCUCUUCCUCCUCUGCCAGGAGGACGAACAGAGGCGAGGCGUGGCGCGCGCCCGAGAGGCCUCGGCCACCUCCUGCUUCCCCCUGGCCACCUCCUGCCUGGUUGCCUCCCUCCUCGACGCCUGGAGACGCCACGCGCCUCCCCGACCCCCUCCCACUUCUCCCUCGCUCUCUGGACCUCCCUCCCCCUCGCUCCCCCUCGCUCCUCUGCUCCCCCUCCCGCGACCGAAUGGAGCCCGUCGCCGCCGACCAGCGCUCGCGCGGCCACAGCCACCGUCUCGCCUCCCCGACGCCUCCCAAAGCUCCGCUGUUCCGCCCCCGUCCUCCUCGUCGUCUCACGCGACCAGAAGGGCCCCGAGCAGCCGCCAUCGCCAUCGUCUCAAGCUUCGGCCCCGGCGCCCUUCUCCGUCGAUUCGGCCACUCCGGCGCGCCCCCGAGCCCACUAACCCUCCCUGCAGCUUCGCGGUGAGCCGCUGACCCGUUUCCCUCUUCUUCCCGUGCCGUUUGGCCGCUCUAGCCAUUGCUUCCACCGGAUCUGAGAGCUCGCCGCCGCCGUGCCUCGUCACCGUCGUGGCCAGAGCCACCGUGGCUCAAAGCCGGGCACACCACCGUGCUCCAAACCUCAACAGGUGCACGUAGAACCCACCAGCUUCCCCUCCCGAGCACCACAACGCCAAACCCGCAGGUGCCCGAACUCCGGCCGCCGCCUUGGAGCUCGCCGCCGUCGACUCAGGCCACCCCAGCUCCUCCCGUUCGCUCCAUUAGAUGCGCUGCUUUGCCAGCUAGCCGUAGCCGCAAACCACGAGUAAAACGGUGCCCUGUAGUGCAAACCCGACGCGGACGCCGCCGCGAUCUGAGGUUGCCGGCGGUUAAACGCCGGCAGCUGACGUGGCGCUGAUUUAGUUAGCACUAAUGACCACGCUAAACACCCCCCACAGCCACUGAUAGUGGGCCCCACCCCUGGUCAAACCCCAGUCAGCGCUGGGUUUGACCGGGAUUAGUUCCUGUGUCACUGAUGUGUGGCCCCCACACGUCAGGUUUGACCUGGGGCGCCCAGUUGACCCUGCUGACGUCACUGUGACAUGGUGUUGACGCCAUAAUCAUUUCUGGAUUUAAUAUUAUUCAGGAAAUUCCAGAAAAUGCCUAAAACUUCUAAAAAUCAUAGAAAAUUAACCGUAACUCCAAAUUAAAUAAAUUAUAUAUGAAAAAUUAUCAGAAAAAUUCAAGGAAUCCAUCUGUACCAUUUUCAUGCAUGUCAGAACAACUUAUAGCUGCUGUUUAGCACAAAUCAAUUAAAUGGCAUUUGAAUAAUCACAUAUGGAGUUUGAAUUUGAAUAUUAUAUUCAAACCAACUUCAUUUAAUCUAUUGCUAGUUGCAUUAGCUCAAAGCACAUUCAUAUUGCCAUGUCAUGAGCAUGCAUCAUAUUGUGCAUUGCAUUGAUUGUGUUCCUUUCUGUGUUGCCGGUAUUUGUCCCCUCUCGAUAGAUGUGAUACCGAUGAUGUGAUCGUUGACACUGAUGAAGACUCAAUGUUAUCUUCAGAAGUGCCAGGCAAGCAAACCCCCUUGUUCAUUCCGAUAAAAUCCCACUCUCUCGCUCCUGCUCUCUUUUACUGCAUUAGGACAACAUCGAUUCAUCUGUUACUUGCUGCGGUAGCUGAACCUCUUUGUCCUUUGCAUGACCUGUCAUUGCCACAGUAAAUAGAUGAAACCCACUAGCAUGAGUAGGAGUUGUUUGAGCCCUGUUGUGCCUACUCAUUCAUGCUUGUUUGUCAUGCCUGCUACUGCUUAGAGUCGAGUCAGGUCUGAUUCAUCCGGGAUGAAUCAGAGGUGUGUGAACAUGUCCUACGGUGUGUGAGCUAAGCGUGUGAACACGAAUUGGUAAAGGUAGCGGUGAGAGGCCAUGUAGGAGUACAUGGUGGGUUGUCUCAUUGCAGCCGUCCUUAGGAACUGAGUUCUGUGUUUGUGAUCCAUGAUUCAGCUACUACCACGCAUUGGGCCCGAAACCAAUGGACCCUCUCGGCUUCUUGAUCACCCUUGUCCUCUGUCCAGGAGUUGCAAGUAGUUUCUGGUGUUUGUAGUAUGCUGGAGGCCGUGGGCAGCGCUGACCGUAGGGGUGGCCUGUGAUGCGGUAGGCACGUGGCACGGUGUACCGGGUGCCCGUUUGGUGUCUCGGGAACCCUGUUCACAUCGUUUGGGGCUGUGAGCGAAACUCCGGCCGGAUCUCCUCAUGGAUGGAACCGGAAUAGGCGAUAAACCUGGACUAGAGACUUGAGUGUUUAGGCAGGCCGUGGCCGACACCCACGUUGGGCUUCCGCUUGAAGGUUGCCGAGUACAUGUCGUGUAAACGGCGGUAAGUGGUGGGAGCGUGUGUGAAGAAGUACACCCCUGCAGGGUUAACAUCAUCUAUUCGAAUAGCCGUGUCCGCGGAAAAGGACUUCUGGGUUGCUUAUAUCAGUUCAUUGACAAGUGAAAGUGGAUACUCUAAAAUACGCAAGAUAAGCGUGAGUGCUAUGGACGGCGUUCUCGUAGGGAGACGGGAGCGGAUCCAUAGUGGUGUAUUGAUAUGGUGAAUAUGUGGACUCGCGUGCGCCACCUGAAGAGUUACUUGCAAUCAUAGUUUAGGUUAGCCACUGAGUCAAAGCUGGCUUGCUGCAGUUAAACUCCACCAUCCCCUUUGUUGAUAAUGAUGCAUAUGUAGUUAGCUCUGAUGUAAGUCUUGCUGGGUACAUUUGUACUCACGUUUGCCUAUUUUAUGUUUUGCAGAGAGACUUCGGUCUCGCUAGUAGUUCCGCGUGGACUUCGACGUUUAGCUUGAUACCUCAGCUACGAUCUUGUGCCCUCGACAGGAUCUGAUAGAUAGUCAGGCUUCUCAGCCUUUUUCAUUUAUAGAUGUCUGUACUCAGACAUGAUAGCUUCCGCUUGUGCUUUGACUUGUAUGCUCUGAUUGUUGGGUCAUGAGACCCAUGUUUGUAAUAUCUCGCUCCUCGGAGCCUAAUGAAUAAAUUACUUGAGUCGUAGAGUCAUGUUGUGAUGCCAUGUUGUAUUUGCACAUAUCGAGCAUAUUGUGUGUAUGUUAUUGAAAUGCUUGGUAUGUGUGGGAUCUGACCAUCUAGUUGUUUAUCUUUAGUAGCCUCUCUUACCGGGAAAUGUCUCCUAGUGUUUCCACCGAGCCAUGGUAGCUUGUUACUGCUCUGGAACACUUAGGCUGGCCGGCAUGUGUCCUUCUUCAUUCCUGUGUCUGUCCCUUCAGGGAAAUGUCACGCGAUGAAUACCGGAGUCCUGUUAGCCCGCUACAGCCCGGUUCACCGGAGUCCUACUAGCCCAGUGCUACAGCCUGGAUUUACUCGCUGAUGACCGACACGUUCGAUGCUGGGUCAUGGAUGCCUGUCCCUGUAAGUUUGUGCCACUUUGGGUUUACAACUAGCCAUGUCAGCCCGGGCUCUUUAUCAUAUAGAUGCUAGCGACACUGUCAUAUACGUGUGCCAAAAGGCGCAAACGGUCCUGGGUAAAGGUAAGGCGACACCCGUGGGAAUACCGUGCGUGAGGCCGCAAAGUGAUAUGAGGUGUUACAUGCUAGAUCGAUGUGGCAUUGAGUCGGGGUCCUGACAGCGUUGGUAUCAGAGCUUGACUGCCUGUAGGAUUACCAAGCCAAACUGGUCGAUGUUGAGUCUAGAAAUUCUUUAGUUAUAUGUAGGGGAAUUGAUUGUGGGAUGGAAUGUAAGGCUCUUUUUAUUCCUUAUACCUUAUGCCCUUCUGAUCUGAGUCAUCUUAUCAUUCCUACAGGGUUAAGGAACUAGGCUUUCUCUUCUUUCUAUCAGGAUCACGUGUUAUUAAUCCGUAGACUUAUAGAAUUGUUGGACUUAAGCCUCGUUUCAGUUCCUAUUACUUCUGUAUGUUAAUUGUUGAUCUCGGAACCUUGAUAUUGUGCUUCUGAGUGGUUAUGCCACCAUUUUGUGAAUGUCUCAAAUCUUUUCUGAGCAUUUACAGCCGUUAUGCUGUCCGAGUCAUCCCAGGUUUCUAAAUAGUUUGAAGCAAUUUGCAAAUUCCUUCCUCCUGUUUCGAUGUUCCUUUGGGCCAGAUUAACCACACUAAUCGGUGAGUUGAGGUACUUUAUUGCCUUGACAUAUAUGUUGGAGCUGGUAUUAUGACCCUAGGUGUCUUAGGGGAUCAUCUAGUAAUUUAGCCAUGAUUUGUGUCCCAGUGUGAUGAUUCUGGCCUUUAUCCUUGGAAGCAUCCCGUGAUGCCACUUAGUAGUAGGUAUUCUACUCCUGGGUUUUGAACCCGAGAUUCACCCUACUUGCUUCAUGUUGAUAGUUUUGCUCGUUCCUUUAGGUUAUUAGUAAACUUGUGAUAGUCCUCGAAGUUCGUGGUAUUUCCUUCUUCCAAAUACUAUGAACCACUUUAUGGCAGAUAUUUAUUGGAUCAAAAGAUCACAAUUAGAGUACUCUUGAGGAGUUCUCCAUUCAUAAAUCGUGACUCUGCCAGUCCUACCUCUCUGCAUGGGUUAUCCGGAAGAAACAUGUUGAACUUGGUUCGGCAUACUAAUCUAUGCAUCCACAACUCAGAAAAACAUAUGUUCCUUUGGGUUGUCCCUCUUUAGUUGUCUUCUGACCCUCGUCUAUCAAUUGAUAGUCAAGAUUAUGUGUGCAUUCGUGUUAUCGAUGCUUAUUAUUCUUGUGGUCCGUCGAGCCAUUCUAUUCUGGAAUGACUAGGAGAAACAAACUCCAGUACCUCUUCCAUAUUCAGGAUUGGGUCAAAGAAGUUGUGCUCCGCAGAACAAAUUGCUAAUCCAGCUUUUGCUCUGUUCUACCUUGGAGUAUUACCAUCUUUUAUAUCAGGAUUGUUAUAGGAAUUACACACCAUCCUAUGAACUAUUGGUACAGUGAUACUUCUCGCCAUCAUUACUCAUUCCUCGGUUCCGUGUGGUUAUAACCGGAAUGUCGACAAGUGAAUCGUGAUGUGUGAAAUCAAUACUCCUAGCAACCUUGUUGCUUGGUAGUUAAAUGGACAAUAACCUCAUUCUUAACGUGUUUGUUCUUGAAUCAUCAUUCUAAGAUUUAUCGUGCUACCUUGUCCAUCUUCCUGGUGCACAUUUCGAUUGAUGAGUUAGGAUUUUGUCAAGUCCUCGCUCAUUUGAUCAUAUUGUCUUGCCCUGUAAGGCAAGAUUGUUCUCGAGCUUAGUAACAUACCGGUGGUUCGUGACUUUCCAAAUAUCUUCUUGGAAGCGUUACCGGGUUAUUUCCUGACUGUUAUGUUGGGCUCGUGAUCAAGUUGGUUUCUUGUGAACCACCCUUUCUCCAAGAAUCUGUGUUGGAUAUCCCGGAGCUAGUUGGUUAAGCUAGACAACAACUUGGAGAGUUGGAAGAUAAAAGCUUGCCUGACUUAGUUCGUUCCAAAGGGAUAUUCUAGUGUAGUGUGUGUUGAAGAACGAUGAUAUCUUCAUCGAUUGGUCCCUAUGAUCAGUUGCUGGACCUAUUGUCUUAUCAAUCCUUUGAUUUGAGUGUGGACUAUCGUCAAAUCAAAUCAGUACCAACGAUGCUCGUAAUGUUGUCUUACUCGUGGUUGAUCCCUCGAGCAUACACCCUUACAUCUUUGGUCUGACCAAUGCUAUCACUUGUUUACUUAACUAUGGAAUUCCUUUUAAAAGGAAACCCAGAUGAAUUGUUGUUGAGCCCAUUGACAACAUCCUUAUCUCCUCCAUGGUCUUGUGGGACAACAAGUUAGUGUUGGAAACUUUUGAAGCAUUUUCUUCAUGCUAGCUCAUGAAGUAUUUGUUUGAUGAAAGGAGUGACUUCCUCUUAUACACGUGCAUUUGGUGAAAGUUGCCGCCGUGAAUUUGAGAAAGUUAAUUUUGCUUCCUAUGGAAUCAUCCCAAGUCAGUCAUGCAUAUGUGCGAAGUAUUCUAUGGUUUGGAGACUUGCAACCUUCAUUCCAUAUGUGUUCCGAGCACACCAAGCCACUGAUUGAGUUGUUCAAGGAGAAGAAGUUCCUUCUUAAGAGCAUGCCUUAUGCAAGGACUUCAAUAUCCUCGAUUAUGGUUCCCCACCUGAACUCGGUAGUGUUUUGUUGUAAGACUACCAUGUGAUAAUGUUUUGUCUAGGACAACGUGUUCACAUGUUUGUAGCAGAACCAGCUCAUGUUUUGGAGCUUGCUAUCGUAGUUCAUUCCCUGAGAAUCUCGCAACGUCAUCUCGUCGAUUUGUGUUGCAAACUUUCAUUUUUCUUCCUAGACUCGAUGAGUCUGGAAUAUCCUGACACCAACCAGAUCUGAGUCUUAGGCAGAUAUGAUGGUUGGAACAUUUCCCAAGAACUAUAAUAUUGGUCCCUCGAUAACCGGUAAAGUGGAUGUCGUGGCCAACACACCCAGCCGAAGGACCUAUUAUUGUAGUAUCUUGAUUGAAGUAGUUGGCCACCUUCCCAUAAGGACUUCGUAGGAUUUACUCCUUAGAUGUUCCUUAUGGACUUUCUUUUGUGCUUCCGAAGUCCGACCUUUUACUUGAUGUUCUGGGAAUCAAACCAUUUUAAUUAAUGGGUUGCACUAGAACAUCAAGGAGAACAUUAGAAGCGGAGUGCUAAAUGUCUCUUGGUCGAUCAUCCAGAUUUUAUUUCCUUGGCCCCGCCAAGGGUGAAAUCUGAGGAAGUGUUAUCUUCCUUUGCAUCUGCAUCGUCCAUCGUUGUUCAUCAUGGUGGUAUGUUGUGUUGCCAGGAUCCUUGACACGGAUGUUUGUAAAACCUUGAUGAAUAUGGAAAUGCUCAAGUUCUUGAGAGCACGCACAAGCGCUAGGUAUUAUCAUCGACACUAAUUGGGAUGCUCUCAGUAUCCUCGGCAAUGCUAUGAUCUUUUCAACCAGCGAAUUCACACUCUAUUGUUGGGUUCUUCCCCAGUUAACCGAAUCAUUCCCAGCAUUUGCAUUUUGUUCCCAGCUUGCACCGCCAUUGUGCCAUUCUACCAUGGGUCUCUUCCAUUUCCGGUGGUAAGCAAAUUCAUCCAUUACGUUGUCUUCAACAAGGUAAUCCACAUCAUCCAGUCCGAGUAUGCCAUUCUACCGACCCCCUCCAAACGAUCGUUGUGAAUUGCCUUAGGCUGGUACGAAGAGUUUCAAUGAUCUCUGAAUCAAAAGUAAUUCUUUUUGCCACUUAAGGUAAUAAUCUACGAAUCACCCUACUCCAGGAUGUUUCGUCGUGGUAUCAUGGCAACUCAACUCCUCGCUACGUUGACAAUCGUUUACCACCUUCUUAGGUGUGCAAUUGUUGUCUACCUAGUGAACCUUCGUCAUCCGUUUCUUUCCACCCCUCUUGAUGUGUAUCUCGUGUCUCAACCCGAGAGAUGGUGCUAUGUCUCAUUCCGUGAGUUAAUCCUGAGUUGUUCGACCUUCGAGAAGAACCAUUCUUUUAGGGUCUUUCCUUUCCUCUCGUUGUCAUGUUAGUUGGAGUUCUCAGAGCAAGACUUCGAGACAAUGAUGGUGAUCGAAUCAACGCUCUUAUGAAGUGCACCUUGGAUCGUGAAGAUUAUACUAGUUGCGUUUCCUUUUCACCUUACCCUACGCUUGAAUCUCGGGAGGAGAUUUUUGUUUAGUGGGGGUGAGUUGUCACAUCCCUGGUCCUGUUAUGCACUAGGCUAGACCUCAUGUGAGCAUCAUGUUUUAAUUCAAAUGAAAUUUGAAUUGAGGAAUUUUUCAAAGCCUCAGAAACCUUCUAAAAAUGAUCAACAUUAAAAUCUUCUCAAAGAAGCCCAAGAAAAUGUUCCUCUUAGUCUCUGAAAAUAUUGCAAAGAGGUAAAACUCAAAACAAUAUUUUUGGUAUCUCAGAGUUAAUUAUUUUGGGCCUUUGAAUUAAAUAAAUAGCUAUUUGCAUUGGAUAUAUAUAUUAUAUAUAAAUAAUAUAUGUCCAAUAAUUACUGGAACAUUUUAUGUGGUUUGGUAUAUUUUAGUUCUAGCCACAUAAUUAUUUUCAGGAUUUUAUAAAAUGGUUUAGUAUUUUUACUAAACCAAAACAAAAUAGAAGAAAAAUAUGAAACAGAACAGAACUUACCUGGCGCCACUUACCUGGCCCAGCUCCAUCUGGCCGGCCCAGCCCACCUCCUCCCCCUUGUCCUCUUCCUCCUCUGCCAGGAGGACGAACAGAGGCGAGGCGUGGCGCGCGCCCGAGAGGCCUCGGCCACCUCCUGCUUCCCCCUGGCCACCUCCUGCCUGGUUGCCUCCCUCCUCGACGCCCGGAGACGCCACGCGCCUCCCCGACCCCCUCCCACUUCUCCCUCGCUCUCUGGACCUCCCUCCCCCUUGCUCCCCCUCGCUCCUCUGCUCCCCCUCCCGCGACCGAAUGGAGCCCGACGCCGCCGACCAGCGCUCGCGUGGCCACAGCCACCGUCUCGCCUCCCCGACGCCUCCCAAAGCUCCGCUGUUCCGCCCCCGUCCUCCUCGUUGUCUCACGCGACCAGAAGGGCCCCGAGCAGCCGCCAUCGCCAUCGUCUUCAAGCUUCGGCCCCGGCGCCCUUCUCCGUCGAUUCGGCCACUCCGGCGCGCCCCCGAGCCCACUAACCCUCCCUGCAGCUUCGCGGUGAGCCGCUGACCCAUUUCCCUCUUCUUCCCAUGCCGUUUGGCCGCUCUAGCCAUUGCUUCCGCCGGAUCCGAGAGCUCGCCGCCGCCGUGCCUCGUCACCGUCGUGGCCAGAGCCACCGUGGCUCAAAGCCGGGCACACCACCGUGCUCCAAACCUCACCAGGAGCACGUAGAACCCACCAGCUUCCCCUCCCGAGCACCACAACGCCAAACCCGCAGGUGCCCGAACUCCGGCCGCCGCCUUGGAGCUCGCCGCCGUCGACUCAGGCCACCCCAGCUCCUCCCGUUCACUCCAUUAGAUGCGCUGCUUUGCCAGCUAGCCGUAGCCGCAAACCACGAGUCAAACGGUGCCCUGUAGCGCAAACCCGACGCGGACGCCGCCGCGAUCUGAGGUUGCCGGCGGUUAAACGCCGACAGCUGACGUGGCGCUGAUUUAGUUAGCACUAAUGACCACGCUAAACACCCCCCACAGCCACUGACAGUGGGCCCCACCCCUGGUCAAACCCCAGUCAGCGCUGGGUUUGACCGGGAUUAGUUCCUGUGUCACUGACGUGUGCCCCCACACGUCAGGUUUGACCUGGGGCGCCCAGUUGACCCUGCUGACGUCACUGUGACGUGGUGCUGACGCCAUAAUCAUUUCUGGAUUUAAUAUUAUUCAGGAAAUUCCAGAAAAUGCCUAAAACUUCUAAAAAUCAUAGAAAAUUAACCGUAACUCCAAAUUAAAUAAAUUAUAUAUGAAAAAUUAUCAGAAAAAUUCAAGGAAUCCAUCUGUACCAUUUUCAUGCAUGUCAGAACAACUUAUAGCUGCUGUUUAGCACAAAUCAAUUAAAUGGCAUUUGAAUAAUCACAUAUGGAGUUUGAAUUUGAAUAUUAUAUUCAAACCAACUUCAUUUAAUCUGUUGCUAGUUGCAUUAGAUCAAAACACAUUCAUAUUGCCAUGUCAUGAGCAUGCAUCAUAUUGUGCAUUGCAUUGAUUGUGUUCCUUUCUGUGUUGCCGGUAUUUGUCCCCUCUCGAUAGACGUGAUACCGAUGAUGUGAUCGUUGACACUGAUGAAGACUCAAUGUUAUCUUCAGAAGUGCCAGGCAAGCAAACCCCCUUGUUCAUUCCGAUAAAAUCCCACUCUCUCGCUCCUGCUCUCUUUUACUGCAUUAGGACAACAUCGAUUCAUCUGUUACUUGCUGCAGUAGCUGAACCUCUUUGUCCUUUGCAUGACCUGUCAUUGCCACAGUAAAUAGAUGAAACCCACUAGCAUGAGUAGGAGUUGUUUGAGCCCUGUUGUGCCUACUCAUUCAUGCUUGUUUGUCAUGCCUGCUACUGCUUAGAGUCGAGUCAGGUCUGAUUCAUCCGGGAUGAAUUAGAGGUGUGUGAACAUGUCCUACGGUGUGUGAGCUAAGCGUGUGAACACGAAUUGGUAAAGGUAGCGGUGAGAGGCCAUGUAGGAGUACAUGGUGGGUUGUCUCAUUGCAGCCGUCCUCAGGAACUGAGUUCUGUGUUUGUGAUCCAUGAUUCAGCUACUACCACGCAUUGGGCCCGAAACCAAUGGACCCUCUCGGCUUCUUGAUCACCCUUGUCCUCUGUCCAGGAGUUGCAAGUAGUUUCUGGUGUUUGUAGUAUGCUGGAGGCCGUGGGCAGCGCUGACCGUAGGGGUGGGCUGUGAUGCAGUAGGCACGUGGCACGGUGUACCGGGCGCCCGUUUGGUGUCUCGGGAACCCUGUUCACAUCGUUUGGGGCUGUGAGCGAAACUCCGGCCGGAUCUCCUCAUGGAUGGAACCCGAAUAGGCGAUAAACCUGGACUAGAGACUUGAGUGUUUAGGCAGGCCGUGGCCGACACCCACGUUGGGCUUCCGCUUGAAGGUUGCCGAGUACAUGUCGUGUAAACGGCGGUAAGUGGUGGGAGCGUGGGUGAAGAAGUACACCCCUGCAGGGUUAACAUCAUCUAUUCGAAUAGCCGUGUCCGCGGAAAAGGACUUCUGGGUUGCUUAUAUCAGUUCAUAGACAAGGGAAAGUGGAUACUCUAAAAUACGCAAGAUAAGCGUGAGUGCUAUGGACGGCGUUCUCGUAGGGAGACGGGAGCGGAUCCAUAGUGGUGUAUUGAUAUGGUGAAUAUGUGGACUCGUGUGCGCCACCUGAAGAGUUACUUGCAAUCAUAGUUUAGGUUAGCCACUGAGUCAAAGCUGGCUUGCUGCAGUUAAACUCCACCAUCCCCUUUGUUGAUAAUGAUGCAUAUGUAGUUAGCUCUGAUGUAAGUCUUGCUGGGUACAUUUGUACUCACGUUUGCCUAUUUUAUGUUUUGCAGAGAGACUUCGGUCUCGCUAGUAGUUCCGCGUGGACUUCGACGUUUAGCUUGAUACCUCAGCUAUGAUCUUGUGCCCUCGGCAGGAUCUGAUAGAUAGUCAGGCUUCUCAGCCUUUUUCAUUUAUAGAUGUCUGUACUCAGACAUGAUAGCUUCCGCUUGUGCUUUGACUUGUAUGCUCUGAUUGUUGGGUCAUGAGACCCAUGUUUGUAAUAUCUCGCUCCUCGGAGCCUAAUGAAUAAAUUACUUGAGUCGUAGAGUCAUGUUGUGAUGCCAUGUUGUAUUUGCACAUAUCGAGCAUACUGUGUGUAUGUUAUUGAAAUGCUUGGUAUGUGUGGGAUCUGACCAUCUAGUUGUUUAUCUUUAGUAGCCUCUCUUACCGGGAAAUGUCUCCUAGUGUUUCCACCGAGCCAUGGUAGCUUGUUACUGCUCCGGAACACUUAGGCUGGCCGGCAUGUGUCCUUCUUCGUUCCUGUGUCUGUCCCUUCAGGGAAAUGUCACGCGAUGAAUACCGGAGUCCUGUUAGCCCGCUACACCCCGGUUCACCGGAGUCCUGCUAGCCCAGUGCUACAGCCUGGAUUCACUCGCUGAUGACCGACACGUUCGAUGCUGGGUCAUGGAUGCCUGUCCCUGUAAGUUUGUGCCACUUUGGGUUUACAACUAGCCAUGUCAGCCCGGGCUCUUUAUCAUAUAGAUGAUAGCGACACUGUCAUAUACGUGUGCCAAAAGGCGCAAACGGUCCCGGGUAAAGGUAAGGCGACACCCGUGGGAAUACCGUGCGUGAGGCCGCAAAGUGAUAUGAGGUGUUACAUGCUAGAUCGAUGUGGCAUCGAGUCGGGGUCCUGACAUGCUCGAACUGCGAAAAGAGCAGAAAAACAUCUGGGGGCAGGUAAAUAAAUAGGUAAGAAAUCAUCUUUUAGUUCACCGACCGAGUAUUCCCUUAAGAACGCUAGCUUUCGGCUUCACCCAGUCUGAGGUACACAUCCGGCUGACCCGGCAGUAACAAUCGCAGAGGUGCUCCCUUUACCACCUAGCCGAACAAUCGGGAACAUAGGGGUAAGCACAGGAGCCAGGCAACCCAGCAUGGCCAAAGCUUAAGUCAUAUCGAUGCAUAUAAUGGUGAAUCGGAAGUGUGACACAUGUGUUGGGCAUAAAGCCCGUAUUAAUAAGCUUCUGUUAAAGAAGCCCCCAGGUAUAAUGAGCGCGGGUUGCGCGUCAAGUGUGUGCGAACAAAGUUUCGACAAGGAAAAUUUUUACAAGCAAUUUUCUUACAAAAAAGUAUAAUUCUUGGUCGAACCGAACACAAGUUAGAAAUUUAAAACUUUGAGCAUGAAGGAAACUUAGCUGGUUAAUGUGUUCGGUAUUGACGAAGUGGUCCGAGCUUGAUGCGGGACAAGGUUCCAUCCCCCAAGCUGGUCCCGAGGUGGCGGAGCAAGGAGCUCGGCACUCCGAAGAGGUGACAUAGCACGGUCAAUGCAGGACGGCAGAGUGAUGCCGAAGUCCCCGACAUGGGGUAAUGAAGUGUUGACAAAGCCCCCCGUCUAGCCGAGGUGACGUCAAAGGAUAUAGUCCGGCUGAAUCAUUUUCCUGUGCACAAAAAAUAGUACAGACCGGGGAUAAUAGUAAUAAUAGGAAUUAAAAAAUGUUGCAUAAUAAAUAAUUUAUGCAAAGUGAGUAGUAAAAGAAAUAUGGCAUGGCGCCGAAGUCGAUGUCGAUGCAGGUCGUCAGCGUAAUGCAAUAAAGGCGUGGCAAAGCCUGGAUUCACAGGUCGGACCGAGUUCCGGAUGCGGCGUUCGCCGGACUGUGUACGGAAACUGACCGAACCAUCAUGCGACCGUCGAUAAUGCGGCCACCAUUUGAUAGCCCUGUGUACAUAUGCUGGACUAACAAGAGUAAUAAUUCCUUGGGAAAAAUUUAACCCAAACAAGCAAAAAGAAAUACUAGGAUUAAUAACACCUGGUUUAUUUGUUGUAGCAAUCCGAAGGAAGGUGAUUCCCAAAAUUGGGACUCUAUCCGCGCACCCAUGCCUGGUCGGCUAGUGACGCCGAAGUGUCCGGAGUAGGUUGAUGAAGAGAUGGCGAAGCCCCUGGUCCAGCCGAGAUGUCGAAGUAGGUCGGCGUGAUGGACACCAGCUUGAAGAAGCAAUAGUGCGGCCCUGCCGAUGCAGGUCAUGACGUGGUCGAUGUCGGCUUGAUGAAGCGACCGUGCGGGGAUGCCGGUAUGCCCGCUCCGUGUAAUCCAUGGGGCGGCGAUGUUGGUGAUGAUUUAUCCUUCGCGAUGCCGGACUCUUGUUCGGCUUGCCAAGAUGAUGAUCCGAAGAAGUUGAGCUUGGCUCAACAAAGUGACGACGUGUCUAGCGCAGGUCGACAGCCGUGGAGCAAUAUUGCCGGACUGGUUUGACUCUAGCAUGAUGUUAAAGAUCAUGUUCAAAAGAUCUUAAAGUUAGUGGGAUGUGUUCGGGAACAAAACACAAUACCCCAUACAAAAUUUCCUUCAAAAAGGAUGUCCGAAAUCCCGUUCAUAAAAAAGACGAACUCGGGUCGGAUUCGUUUUCGCGCAGAAAACAGAUCCAAAAAGUGAUGCACUAAUCGGAAGUUUCCUGGAGUUUGGACGGUUGGAUGGAGCUGAAUUUUUGGCAGGUGGUAGAUAAGGGAAUUCCGCAGCAAAUCAAUGGUUGGAUCCUCCAAAGGACAUCCGAGCUAGACGUUGGAUACCACACCCUAAACUCGUUCGGAUUCUCGUCCAGAUUCAACAGGGAUCCGGUAUAUCGGAGAUUGCCGGAGAUUCCUCCAUCGGAACUCGAUGAAAUUUUUGCAGGGUUGUUGUAGACUUGAUUCCGCAUAAUUCCAACGAAGUAAUCGUUUAGGCGACACUCGAGGAGGCGGUGACAGCGGAUACAAGUUUGUUGUCCAGAAAAACAGCACGGUCGCCUGAGGGCAAUGUUGAUGUUGAGCCCCCGAGCUCCAUGGAUGACUCCUCCAUGAUCUUGAUAGAGAUCGGAGUUGGUGUUGAUGAAGGCCUUCAUCCGAACAUGACGAUCGGAGGUAGGGUGUAGUCCUCGGUCAAGCCAAGGUGACCAGUCGAGCUGGUGACGAAGAAGCCGACGUCGCAGUCGACCUAAAGUCGAGCCAUUGAUCCUUUCGCCGAUCACACAGCGGAACUCUCAAUGAAAGCACCAAUGUCGGUGUCAAAACCGGCGGAUCUCGGGUAGGGGGUCCCAAGAAGUGCGUCUUAGGAUCAAUGGUAACAGGAGGCAAGGGACACAAUGUUUACCCAGGUUCGGGCCCUCUCAAUGGAGGUAAAACCCUACGUCCUGCUUGAUUGAUAUUGAUGAUGUGGGUAUUACAAGAGUUGAUCUACCACGAGAUCAGAGAGGCUAAACCCUAGAAGCUAGCCUAUGGUAUGAUUGUUGUUGUAUAUGUCUAUCGACUAGCCUGGCCCCGGUUUAUAUAAUGCACCAGAGGCCUAGGAUAACAAGAGUCCUAGGCGAAUACGCCGGUGUGGGAGGAGUCCUUGUCUUGAUCGCCAAGUCUUGUUGAUUCUUCCUUGUAUGCGGCAGCUGUCCGGACCGGCCCAUGAGUAUACGGUCAUGGGGGUCCUCGGCCCAAUCCAACUGAUUGGGAGACGACGCGUUGAGUACCCCCUAGUCCAGGACACCGUCAAAGGGCAAUGCUACUAUCCUUAUACCACACUUUUACUUCAAAGUAGCACCAUGAUCUUCAUGAUACAGAGUCUCCUAUAUUGUCACUUUCAUAUACUAGUGGUAAUUUUUUAUUAUAGAACUUGGCUUGUAUAUUCCAAUGAUGGGCUUCCUCAAAAGUGCCCUAGGUCUUCGUGAGCAAGCAAGUUGGAUGCACACCCACUUAGUCUUCCUGUUGAGCUUUCAUACACUUAUAGCUCUAGUUCAUCCGUUUCAUGGCAAUCCUUACUCUAUCACAUUGAUAUCUAUUAAUGGACAUCUCCAUAGCCCGGUGAUACGCCUAGUUGAUGUGAGACUAACUUCUCCUUGUUGUCUUUUCCACAACCACCAUUCUAUUCCAAAUAUAGUGCUAUGCCCAUGGCUCACAAUCAUGUAUUGCGUGAAGAUUGAAAAAGUUUGAGAACAUCAAAAGUAUGAAACAAUUGUUUGGCUUGUCAUCAGGGUUAUGCAUGAUUAAAUACUUUGUGCGAUGAAGAUAGAGCAUAACCAGACUAUAUGAUUUUGUAGGGAUAACUUUCUUUGGCCAUGUUAUUUUGAGAAGACAUGAUUGCUUUGUUAGUAUGCUUGAAGUAUUAUUAUAUUAUGUCAAUAUUAAACUUUUGUUUUGAAUCUUAUGGAUCUGAAUAUUCUUGCCACAAUAGAGAAGAUUAUAUUGAUAAAUAUGUUAGGUAGCAUUUACCUACUCGAGGACGAGCAGGAAUUAAGCUUGGGGAUGCUUGAUACGUCUCCAACGUAUCUAUAAUUUUGAUGUAUUCAUGCCAUGUUUAUAAUAUUUUUACAUGCUUUUGGUAUAAUUUGGUUAGAACUAACCCAGACUGACACUGUUUUCAGCAAAACUACCAUGGUGUUGUUUUUGUGAAGAAAUAAAAGUUCUCGGAAUGCGCUGAAAAUCAACGGAAUAUAAAAAAUACUAGAACUAAGAGUUACCGGAGAGGAGGCUCGUGGGGCCCACGAAGGUGGAGGGCGCGCCCACCCCCCUGGGGCACGCCCCCUGCCUCGUGGACAGCCCGUGGGUCCCCCUGACUUGUUCUCGAUGCCAAGCCCUCCUAUAAAUACCCAAACCUCCAGAAAUAAACCUAGGCCGGGAGUUCCGCCGCCGCAAGACUCUGUAGCCACCAAAAACCUAUUGCGUGCCCAUUCCGGCACACUGCCGAAGGGGGAAUCUAUCGUCGGUGGCCAUCUUCAUCAUCCCGGCACUCUCCAUGAUGAGAAGGGAGUAGUUCACCCUCGGGGCUCAGGGUAUGUACCAGUAGCUAUGUGUUUGAUCUCUCUCUCUCUCUCUCGUGUUCUUGAUUUGGCACGAUCUUGAUGUACCACGAGCUUUGCUAUUGUAGUUGGAUCUUAUGAUGUUUCUCCCCCACUAUCUCAUGUAACGGAUUGCGUUUUCCCUUUGAAGUUAUCAUAUCGGAUUGAGUGUUUAAGGAUUUGAGAACACUUUAUGUAUGUCUUGUGUGGGAUACCCAUGGUGACCAUGGGGUAUUCUAUUUAUUCACUCGAUGUCUGUUUUGGUGAUCAACUUGCGGGUUCCGUGACCUUGGGAAUCUAUGCAUAGGGGUUGGCACACGUUUUCGUCUUAACUCUCCAGUAGAAACUUUGGGGCACUCUUUGAAGUACUUUGUGCUGGUUUGAAUAAAUGAAUCUGAGAUUGUGUGAUGCAUAUCGUAUAAUCAUACCCAUAGAUACUUGAGGUAACAUUAGGAUUUUGGUUGAUGUGUGUCUUAAGGUGUUAUUUUACUACGAACUCUAGGGCUGUUUGUGACACUUAUAAGAAUAGCCCAAUGGAUUGAUCGGAAAGAAUAACUUUGAGGUGGUUUCGUACCCUACAAUAAUCUCUUCAUUUGUUUUCUGCUAUUAGUGACUUUGGAGUGACUCUUUGUUGCAUGUUGAGGGAUAGUUAUAUGAUCCAAUUAUGUGAUUGUUGUUGAGAGAACUUGCACUAGUGAAUGUAUGAACCCUAGGCCUUGUUUUUUAGCAUUGCAAUACUGUUUACGCUCACUUUUAGCACUUGUUACCUUGCUCUUUUUAUAAUUUCAGAUUACAAAAACCUAUAUCUACCAUCCAUAUUGCACUUGUAUCACCAUCUCUUCACCGAACUAGUGCACCUAUACAAUUUACCAUUGUAUUGGGUGUGUUGGGGACACAAGAGACUCUUUGUUAUUUGGUUGCAUGGUUGUUUGAGAGAGACCAUCUUCAUCCUACGGCUCCCACGGAUUGAUAAACCUUAGGUCAUCCACUUGAGGGCAAUUUUCUACUGUCAUACAAACCUCUGCACUUGGAGGCCCAACAACGUUUACAAGAAGAAGGUUGCGUAGUAGACAUCAAGCUCUUUUCUGGCGCUGUUCUUGGGGAGGUGAGUGCUUGAAAGUACAUCUUUAGAUCUUGCAGUCAAAUCUUUUUGUUUCUUGUUUUAUCACUAGUUUAUUCUAUAAAAUAAAACUACAGAAAAAAUGGAAUUGAGGUUGCCACAUAUGCUUCAUCUUUUUAAUAUCUUUCGUGAAAAUAAGGAUUGCGAUAAUUGUGCUCAAUUGCUAGAGGAAGAAUGCAUUAAAAUGUUUGGCACUAAAUUUUUGAACGAUGAGCAUGGUUGCAAUGUUGUUAGUAUGAAUUCCUUGAAUAUCCAUGAUGCUAAUGAUAUGCAAAGACACAACCUUGGGGAAGCUAUGUUUGAUGAAGAUGAUAUUUUUAGUCCCCCAAGUUUUGAUGAGAAAAUAUAUUAUGAUGAUAGAAUGCCUCCUAUCUAUGAUGAUUAUUGUGAUGACAUUUAUGCUAUCAAGAGCAAUGAUGUCCAUGAAACUUUUCAUCAUGAUUUUAAUGCUCAAAUUGAUUAUGUGAAUAAAGUAUCACAUGAUAGUUAUUUUGUUGAGUUUGCUCCCACUACUAUUCAUGAGAAUAAAUUUUCUUAUGUGGAGAGUAGUAAAAAUUCUAUGCUUGUGCAUGAUGAAAAGAGUGCUUUAUGUGAUAGUUAUAUUAUUGAAUUCAUUCAUGAUGCUACUAAAAAUUAUUAUGAGGGAGGAAUAUAUGCUUGUAGGAAUUACAAUAAUAUCAAGUUUCCUCUCUAUGUGUUGAAAAUCUUGAAGUUAUGCUUGUUUUGCCUUCCUAUGCUAGAUGAUUCUUGUCCCCAUAAGUUGUUUGCUCACAAAGUCCCUAUGCAUAGGAAGUGUGUUAGACUUAAAUGUGCUAUUCAUAUUCUUCAUGAUGCACCUAUUAUGUUUCAAUUCUUAUCUUUUGUAUGAGCAUCAUUGAAAUGAUCGUGCCUAGCUAAAAGACAAUAAAAAAAAGCGCUUGUUGGGAGACAACCCAAUAUUUAACCUUAAUGUUUUUGUGUGUUCACAUGAUUAAGCUACUGUAUUAAACAUGUUUUAUAGCUUUUGUUUCAAUAAAGUGCCAAGUAGAACCUUCGGGAAGACUUGGGUGAAAGAUAAUGCGAUCUUGCUGUAAAAAACAGAAACUUUGCGCUCACGAGAAUAAUUGUCAUUUUUAACAGAAGAGUGAUUUUAAGUUGAUUAUUUUUUAAUAAGAUUAAUAGACAAAUUAUUCACGUCCACCAAUUUAUUUCAAAAAUUUUGGAGUUACAUAAGUAUUCGGGAGUUAUAGAUUACUACACACUGUUCUAUUUUUGACAGAUUCUGUUUUUCUAUGUGUUGAUUGCUUAUUUUGAUGAAUCUAUGAGUAGUAUCGGAGGGUAUGAACCAUAGAGAAGUUGGAAUACAUUAGAUAUUACACCAAUAUGAAUUUAGAAUGAGUUCACAACAGUACAUAAGUGGUGAUUUAUUUUCUUAUACUAACAAAGCUUAUGAGUUUUCUGUUGAGUUUUGUGUUGUGAAGUUUUCAAGUUUUGGGGAAAGAUUCGAUGGACUAUGGAAUAAGGAGUGGCAAGAAACUAAGCAUGGGGAUGACCAAGGCACCCCAAGGUAAUAUUCAGGGACAACCAAGAGCCUAAGCUUUGGGAUGCCCCGGAAGGCAUCCCCUCUUUCGUCUUCGUUCAUCGGUAACUUUACUUGGAGCUAUAUUUUUAUUCACCACAUGAUAUGUGUUUUGGUUGGAGCGUCAAUUUUUUUUCUUGGUGUUUGAAUAAUAUCCCAAGAUCUGAAAUUCUUAAAUGUUAGAAGUCUUCACAUAGUUACAUAAUUAUUCAACUACUCAUUGAUCUUCACUUAUAUCUUUUGGAGUAGUUUGUCAUUUGCUUUAGUGCUUCACUUAUAUCUUUUUAGAGCAAGACGGUGGUUUUAUUUUGAAGAAAUUGUUGAAAUAUCAUGAUUUAGUUAUAUUAUUUUGAGAGUCUUAAACAGCAUGGUAAUUUUCUUAGGUUAUGAAUUUAGUCCUAAUAUGAUGGGCAUCCAAGUGGGAUAUAAUAAAAACUUUCAUAUAAAGUGCAUUGAAUACUAUGAGAAGUUUGAUUCUUUAUGAUUGUUUUGAGAUAUGAAGAUAGUGAUAUUAGAGUCAUGCUAGUGGAGUAGUUGAGAAUUUGAGAGAUACUUGUGUUAUAGUUUGUGAUUCCCAUAUCAUGCACAUAUGGUGAACCGUUAUGUGAUGAAGUCGGAGCAUGAUUUAUUUAUUGAUUGUCUUCCUUAUGAGUGGCGGUCGGGGACGAGCGAUGGUAUUUUCCUACCAAUAUAUCCCCCUAGGAGCAUGCAUGUAGUACUUUGUUUCGAUAACUAAUAGAUUUUUGCAAAAAAUAUGUGAGUUUUGUAUGACUAGUGUUGAGUCCAUAGAUUAUACGCACUCUCACCCUUCCACCAUUGCUAGCCUCUCUAGUACCGCGCAAAUUUCGCCGGUACCAUAAACCCACCACAUACCUUCCUCAAAACAGCCACCAUACCUACCUAUUAUGGCAUUUCCAUAGCCAUUCCGAGAUAUAUUUCCAUGCAAAUUUCCACCGUUCUGUUUAUUAUCACAUGCUCCAUGAUUGUCAUAUUGCCUUGCAUGAUCAUGUAGUUGACAUCGUAUUUGUGGCAAAGCCACCGUUCAUAAUUUUUCAUACAUGUCACUCUUGAAUCAUUGCAUAUCCCGAUACACCACCGGAGGCAUUCACAUAGAGUCAUAUUGAGUUCUAAGUAUCGAGUUGUAAUUCUUGAGUUUUAAGUAAAUGAAAGUGUGAUGAUCUUCAUUAUUAGAGCAUUGUCCCAGUGAGGAAAGGAUGCUGGAGACUAUGAUGCCCCCACAAGUCGGGAUGAGCCUCCGGACUAAAAAAAAGUGGCCAUAAAAAAGAAAAAAAAGAAAAAAAAUUCCCAAAUAAAAAGAUGAGAGAAAAUGAGAGAAAGGGCAAUUCUACUAUCCUUUUACCACACUUUCACUUCAAAGUAGCACCAUGAUCUUCAUCAUACAUCGUCUCCUAUGUUGUCACUUUCAUAUACUUGUGGGAAUUUUUCAUUAUAGAACUUGGCUUGUAUAUUCCAACGAUGGGCUUCCUCAAAAGUGCCCUAGGUCUUCGUGAGCAAGCAAGUUGGAUGCAACACACUUAGUCUUCUUGUUGAGCUUUCAUACACUUAUAUCUCUAGUGCAUCCGUUGCAUGGCAAUCCCUACGCACUCACAUUCAUAUCUAUUGAUGGACAUCUCCAUAGCCCGUUGAUACGCCUAGUUGAUGUGAGACUAUCUUCUCCUUGUUGUCUUCUCAAACACCACCAUUCUAUUCCACAUAUAGUGCUAUGUCCAUGGAUCACGCUCAUGUAUUGUGUGAAGAUUGAAAAAGUUUGAGAACAUCAAAAGUAUGAAACAAUUGCUUGGCUUGUCAUCGGGGUUAUGCAUGAUUAAAUACUUUGUGUGAUGAAGAUAGAGCAUAACCAGACUAUAUGAUUUUGUAGGGAUAACUUUCUUUGGCCAUGUUAUUUUGAGAAGACAUGAUUGCUUUGUUAGUAUGCUUGAAGUAUUAUUAUUUUAUGUCAAUAUUAAAUUUUUGUUUUGAAUCUUAUGGAUCUGAAUAUUCUUGCCACAAUAGAGAAGAUUACAUUGAUAAAUAUGUCAGGUAGCAUUCCACAUCAAAAUUUCUGUUUUUAUGAUUUACCUACUCAAGGACGAGCAGGAAUUAAGCUUGGGGAUGCUUGAUACGUCUCCAACGUAUCUAUAAUUUUGAUGUAUUCAUGCCAUGUUUAUAAUAUUUUUACAUGCUUUUGGUAUGAUUUUGUUAGAACUAACCCGGACUGACGCUGUUUUCAGUAGAACUACCGUGGUGUUGUUUUUGUGCAGAAAUAAAAGUUCUCAGAAUGCGCUGAAAAUCAGCGGAGAUUUUUUCUAGAAAAUAUAAAAAAUACUGGAAUUAAGAGUUACCGAAGAGGAGGCUCGUGGGGCCCAUGAUGGUGGAGGGCGCGCCCACCCCCCUGGGGCGCGCCCCCUACCUCAUAGACACCCCGUGGGUCCCCCUGACUUGUUCUCGACGCCAAACCCUCCUAUAAAUACCCAAACCUCUAGAAAUAAACCUAGGUCGGGAGUUCCGUCGCCGCAAGACUCUGUAGCCACCAAAAACCUCUUGGGAGCCCAUUCUGGCACCCUGUCGGAGGGGGAAUCCGUUACCGGUGGCCAUCUUCAUCAUCCCGGUGCUCUCCAUGACGAGGAGGGAGUAGUUAAUCCUCGGGGCUCAGGGUAUGUACCAGUAGCUAUGUGUUUGAUCUCUCUUUCUCUCUCUCUCGUGUUCUUUACUGGGCACGAUCUUUAUGUACUGCGAGCUUUGCUAUUGUAGUUGGAUCUUAUGAUGUUUCUCCCCCUCUAUUUCUUGUAAUGCAUUCAUCUUUCCUUUUGAAGUUAUCUUAUCGGAUUGAGUCUUUAAGGAUUUGAGAACACUUUUUGUAUGUCUUGCGUGGGAUACCCGUGGUGACAAUAGGGUAUUCUAUUGAUUCACUUGAUGUAUGUUUUGGUGAUCAACUUGCAGGUUCCAUGACCUUGGGAAUCUAUGCAUAGGGGUUGACACAUGUUUUCGUAUUGACUCUCCGGUAGAAACUUUGGGGCACUCUUUGAAGUACUUUGUGUUGGUUUGAAUAGAUGAAUCUGAGAUUGUGUGAUGCAUAUCGUAUAAUCAUACCCACGGAUAUUUGAGGUGACAUUAAAGUAUCUAGGUGACAUUAGGGUUUUGGUUGAUGUGUGUCUUAAGGUGUUAUUUUACUACAAACUCUAGGGCUGUUUGUGACACUUAUAGGAAUAGCCCAAUGGAUUGAUCAGAAAGAAUAACUUUGAGGUGGUUUCGUACCCUACAAUAAUCUCUUCGUUUGUUCUCCGCUAUUAGUGACUUUGGAGUGACUCUUUGUUGCAUGUUGAGGGAUAGUUAUAUGAUCCAAUUAUGUUAUUAUUGUCGAGAGAACUUGCACUAGUGAAAGUAUGAACCCUUGGCCUUGUUUCCUAGCCUUUGUUGGAAAAGGCAGUGCCUAGGAGGCGCUUAGGCAUGCCUAGGCGCUAGGCAAUAACCAAACGCCUUGCCUAGGGCAUAAAUGGAGAUCUAGGCACGACAAGGAAGGAAUUGCCUACCCAAGCAAAAAAUCAUUCCACAUACUGCACAGAUAUGCCAAACGGGUUAUAUUACAAUGGCAGUAGAUAGUAAUUAACUUAUUUAUAUGUCCUAAACUAAUAUCAACACCCACAUAAUAAUCAUAAAUACACUAUGAAUAAAAACUAUAUUACCGCCUAGGUCACGCCUAGGGCGCUUAGGCACCGCCUAGGCACAAGGCGAAGGCCAACCGCCUCGCUUACGCCUACCGCUUUUUCCAACCUCCUAGCAUUGCAAUACUGUUUAGGCUCACUUUUACCACUUGUUACCUUGCUGUUUUUAUAAUUUCAGAUUACAAAAACCUAUAUCUACCAUCCAUAUUGCACUUGUAUCACCAUCUCUUCACCGAACUAGUGCACCUAUACAAUUUACCAUUGUAUUGGGUGUGUUGGGGACACAAGAGACUCUUUGUUAUUAGGUUGCAGGGUUGUUUGAGAGAGACCAUCUACAUUCUAUGCCUCCCACGGAUUGAUAAACCUUAGGUUAUCCACUUGACAGAAAUUUGCUACUUUCAUACAAACCUCUGCACUUGGAGGCCCAACAACGUCUACAAGAAGAAGGUUGCUUAGUAGACAUCACACACCAUAAAAAAUGGAGACUGGAGCUCUAGAUAAAAUAUGGAUGACUGAAAGGAACCGGUGAACAUGACUAAAACACACCAUAAAAUAGAAAAGAAUUACCAAAUGAUGGACUAUGUUACCGGUCAAAUAGAGCAAACAUCUUAAUAUGGCCAUGUAUAAACCGAGAAACUCAGGGCUUGGGUUAUUGCAUUAUUUUUACCAUGUGGGUCGCUCCUGAAUUUCCAUGUAAUUGAUGUCCAGAGUCAAAUCACAUGAUAAGGAUAAAACAUGAGCAGUAUCCUAGUCGUAAUAAAAACAUGACCCCAGACUUGCAACUGGCUGUGACUAUACAAACUAAAAAAGGGAAAAGGGCCCGAGUUGCAAGUCAAAUGUUGGCUUGCAACUGGGCCCCACUCUUGUAUUGUGAAUCCAUGGUCAACUUUAAAUUAGUGUGCUUAUAUAAACUAAAAAACACAAAUGCCCCCCCUGAGCUGCGGGUACGGGGUCAACUUGCAACUAGGGUGCCUGUACACACUACAAAAAACAUGAAAAGGCCCUAGAGUUGCAAGUCUAGGAUCAACUUGCAACUAGUCACGACUAUACAACUAUAAAGGGAAAGGGGCCUAGUUACAAGUCGAAUGUUGAUUUGCAACUGGGCCCCACUCCCCGAGUUGCGAGGCCGGGGUCAACUUUGAAAAUAGGGUGCUUAUACAAACUACGAAAAUCAUAAAUGGCCCCGUGGGUUGCGUGUUCAGGGUCAACAUGCAACUAGGGUGUCUAUACACACUACAAAAACAUAAAAAUAGCCCAGAAAUUGCAAGUCUAGGGUCAACUUGCAACUUUUCAUGACUAUACAACUAUAAAAGGGAAAAAGGCCCAGUUGCAAGUUGAUAGUUGAUUUGCAACUGGGCCCCGCUCCCUAAUUUGUGAGUCUAAGGUCAACUUUAAACUAGGGUUAUUAUACAAACUACAAAAAACAUAUAUGCCCCCCCUGAGUUGUGAUUUCGGUGUCAACUUGCAACUAGUCACGGCUAUAUACAACUAUGAAGGGAAAAGGGUGGACUUGCAACUAGGGCAACUCCCUAGAGUUGCAAGUCAGGGAUCACCUUGCAACUAGUCACGACUAUACAAUUAUAAAGAGAAAGGGGCCCAGUUGCAAGUCGAAUGUUGAUUUACAACUGGGCCCCACUUCCCGAGUUGCGAGUCCAGGGUUAACUUGAAACUAGGGUGCUUAUACAAACUACUAAAAACAUAAAUGCCCCCCCCCGAGUUGCGAGUCCAGGUGAUGAGGAUACAUACCAGGGAUAGGGUGAUAGCCCCGACUUAUACGUCCUACCCAAGGUCACUACCCUAGAAGAUAAGAAGCUCAAGAGGCAACGAAGAACCGCCAGUGAAAGGUGUCGAGUGCAAUCCACUCGACUAAUCAUAUCACUCGGAUACCCCUCCUACUUGUUGUCACUCAACCAUACAAGGAAUCACUCGACCUACCGAAGAUCAGGGGUCACUCAGCACUGCAAAGGUCAGGCAUUCAAUCCGUAGUCUUUAAGGUCAUUAAUAGCACUUAAGACUGGCGUUAUCAGUAACGCCCCUACUUUAUGUACAUUAAGCCCCUUGUAAUGGAGGAUGGUUGGGGUCCUGGCGCGCUCUAUAUAAGCCACCCCCUCCUCUAGGACAAGGGUUGGCACCCCCUGUAACAUGACACACAUAUAAUGCAGUCGACCACCUCCGGGCACGAAGACGUAGGGCUAUUACUUCCUCCGAGAAGGGCCUGAACUCGUAAAUCUCAUGUGUACACCUUCACCAUAGCUAAGAUCUUGCCUCUCCAUACCUACCCCCCCUUCUACUGUCAGCCUUAGCACCACGAUAGUUGGCGCCCACCGUGGGGCAGGUGUCUUAGCAACUUGUUGGUGAAGUUGCAAUUUUUCCGAUCCCCAUCAUCAUGGUUUCCGGUGGAGGUUUGGCUAAGGGGCGCGAGAUCUGUCUCGGCACACUCGUUUUCAUCGGUGACGACUCCACUUGGGUUCAACAAGCUACCCUUGAUGUCGAGGCGCUCCCCGUCCGGGGGGCGACGCACUUUCGCGCGUGCAUUCGUGGCGUCCUUCUCCGGCAGCCGCCGACUCAGUAUCAGUCGGCUCCAAUGAUGUCGUCUCCCUCCGCUUUCGCCGCCGCAAGAAAUCCGGUCGGUCGCGGCUCCAACGGUGGGUAAAACACGCAGUGGCUCGACAUUCGGCCACCCAUCAAGUCACGGCAAUUGAGCCCGAUGAAACUCUCUAUAGCCUGUUCGAUCUAUCGACUGGCUCCAUUGAGACCGCAUCCGAGCGCGAUAGCAGCGAUCCUGCGGCUGAAGUCUUGAUGGUUGAUUGACCACAUAGUCCACCUGGUUUCCACCAUGAAGACGGCGGGGAUGGGCACGGUGAUCUGUCGCGCGUCCACGAGGAGUACCAUCCCAAACCCCUCUCUUCACAGGAGAUAGAAGAACUUCGUUGCCGCAACAUGGAUGCACUCCACACACCCAUCGUUGGAGAAACCCCUGAGUCUCGGGCCUUGGAAGCGGUGCGUUUGGCUAAUUUGGCUGAGCACACUCGACUGGAAAACCUCCAGCACGCUCUCGAAGAGCGUGCUCGGGAACGGAUUCCCGAGUCCAGUCGAUGACAGUUUUUCCCUCCUCCACCUAAGGUAUACCGCACUUCGAUUCAAAAUCUCACAGCUGCAGCCUGAAUAGCAGAGGCAAUUCAACCUUCCCAAUCAGAGGCUGGCAGAGGUUUGAUGCAGAUCCGGGCCUUACUCCGGGCAGCAGGAGAGUUGAACACAAAGGUGUCUCAGUCGCGGGAUAGGAUUCAUAGCAGAUCCGUGGUGGCAGAUACUGUCCAGUCGGCCCACAGUCCAAGAUCGCCCCUGUGGCGUGAGGGCUGUGGGCAGUACGAUCACCGACUCAUCCGCGACAACCGUCGUCGGAUGCCCACACCUCCUCCGAGGAGUACAUCAUAUGUGCCUUGGCAGUACGAUGACAAACGCCUUCAUAAUGGUGAACAUAGAGCACCAGUCGACCCAAGGGAGCCAGGCUCUGAUGCAAGAUCUAUUCUCAUUCAGGGUUUAGUUAACCGGAACAGAGCGCAGAGGGAAGACCUUGGCAGAGAUCACCCGACUGGCAACAGGGUUCAUGUUUCAGGUCCAGAGUGUUUCAGGAGAGCCAUCAGGGCCGCAGUAAUUCCCCCCAACUUCAGAUUGGCAACUGGAGUUAGCAAGUUCACUGGGGAGUCCAAUCCUGAAACUUGGCUUGAAGACUACCGAGUGGCUGUGCAGAUUGGUGGUGGGAAUGAUGAAGUGGCAAUGAAGCAUCUCCCUCUAAUGUUGGAAGGAUCAGCCAGAGCGUGGUUGACUCAAUUAGCCCCGAACAAUAUAUACAGUUGGGAAGAACAUGCUCGAGUGUUCGUCAGAACUUUUGAGGGCAGUAGCAAGCGGCCAGCGGGGUUGACAAAAUUGCAGCAUUGAAUGCAGAAACCGAGUGAGACUCUGAGGGAUUUCAUUCAGAGGUGGACCACUUUGCAUCACACAGUGGAGAAUGUAUUUGAACAUCAAGUAAUGUGUGCCUUCAAAGAAGGCGUUAAAUACCGAGAACUGGUCCUGAAGUUCGGUCGGACUGGGGAUAUGACUCUGACUCGGAUGAUGGAGAUAGCCACCAGGUACGCGAACAGAGAAGAAGAAGAUCGACUUCGCAGCGGAAAGGGCAAACUGGUCGGCCAGGACGCCGGCGGAAUCAGUUCCAGUCGGAAACAAAAACGAAAGGCCGAGCCCGCCGCACCCGGCAAAAUUGCGGCAGUGGAUCAAGGAAAGUUUAAAGGAAAACCUAAGGGACCCUAGACCCCUAAGAAGGUAAAGGACCAAGCAGGAAAUGAUGUGUUGUAUUUGUCGUGUCACAUUCACACGAAGAAGGAUAAAGAGGGUAAUCUGAUUUAUCCUAGACACACCACUCGACAGUGUCGACUCCUGAUCUAGCAGUUCCGAGAGAAUCAACCCAAUGAAAAGGGAAAAGAGACAGACAGAGACGAGGAUCAAGUAGAGGAUGAUGGUUAUCCCAAAGUCAAUUCCACCCUAAUGAUUUUUGCUGAUGUUGAGAGCAAGAGUCGAUUGAAAGUUAUCAACAAAGAAGUGAAUAUGGUCGCCCCAGCAAUGACGAGUACAUACAUGAAAUGGUCCCAAACAACCAUCACAUUCGACCAGCCUGAUCACCCUGCGCGUAUAGCCACCCCUGGGAGGCAAGCGUUGGUGGUCGACCCAGUGGUCGAAGGCACUCGACUGAUCAAAGUGCUAAUGGAUGGUGGUAGCGGCCUGAAUAUCCUUUAUGCUGAAACCUUGAAGGGGAUGGGCAUUCCGAUGUCCAAACUUAGCGAGAGCAAUAUGAGUUUCCAUGGCGUUAUCCCUGGAAAGAAAGCCGAUCUCUCAGCCAGAUCGCCCUUGACGUGGUUUUCGGUGAUUCCAAGAAUUACCGUAAGGAAAAGUUGACAUUUGAAGUUGUGGAUUUCCAAAGUCCUUAUCAUGCCAUUCUAGGUAGGCCUGCCUACACACGUUUUAUGGCUCGACCAUGUUACAUGUACCUCAAGUUGAAGAUGCCUGGUCCUAGAGGUGAGAUCACAAUUACUGGCAAUCGGCAAAAGGCGGAGGAAUUCUUCCAGAAGGGUUCCAAAAUUGCCGAUGCGCAAAAGGCAACAGUUGAAUUUCAAGAAUAUCAGAAGAAUGCAGAUCUGAGCGAUUUACUCCAAACUAAGAUACCUGCCACAGAUUCUGCAUUUCAGUCGUCCGGUGAAAUGAAACCGAUUCAUAUUCACCCAACCUAUUCCAAUGCCGCACCGACUCAUAUCUCAACAGCACUCGACAGCAAAUAGGAAGAAGCGCUCAUCCAGUUCCUCCGUGAGAACUGGGACAUCUUCACAUGGAAACCUUCUGACAUGCCGGGUGUACCCAGGGGACUUGCUGAGCACCGUUUGCGCGUCGAUCCCAAGAUAAAACCCGUCCAAGAGCAUCUUCGGCGGUCCGUCGUAUAGAAGAGAAAGGCAAUUGGUGAGGAAGUGGCUCGGCUCCUAGCAGAAGAGUUCAUCCGAGAGAUCUGCCACUCCGAGUGGCUUGCCAAUGUGGUCAUGGUUCCUAAGAAGUAUGAUUCACUCCUUAUGUGCAUCGAUUUCUAGCAUAUCAAUCAGGCCUGCCCUAAAGAUCAUUCCCUCUCCCCCGCAUCGAUCAAAUUGUUGACUCGACCGUGGGGUACGAGCGCUUGUCUUUUUUAGAUGCAUAUUCCGAGUAUCAUAAGAUCCGACUGUAUGGUCCCGAUGAAAUAAAAAUGGCUUUCAUCACCCCAUUUAGGUGCUUUUGCUAUGUCACCAUGCCAUUUGGUCUUAAAAAUGCCGGAGCCACAUUCAUGAGAAUGAUUCAGAAGUUCCUGCUCACUCAAAUCAGUCGGAAUGUGGAAGCGUACAUGGAUGACAUUGUGGUCAAGUCACAUAAAGGUUCCGACAUACUGAUUGACCUCACAGAAACCUUUGCCAAUCUAAGAAGGUAUGAUAUCAAGCUUAAUCCAUCAAAGUGCACAUUCGGAGUUCAAGGUGGGAAGUUACUUGGUUUCCUCGUUUCCUAAUGAGGGAUCGACGCAAAUCCAGAAAAAGUUGAUGCCAUCCUCCGAAUGAAUUGCCCUGGGUGUGUGCAUGACGUUCAGAAGCUUACUGGUUGUUUGUCCGCCUUGAGUCGAUUCAUUUCUCAUAAAAGGCCUUACCUCUUUACCGAUUGAUGAAGAAAUCUGAUAAGUUCGAGUGGACUGAGGAAGCUGACGCAGCGUUUGCAGAGCUCAAAGCCCUGCUUUCCACCCAGCCGGUGCUUGCUGCUCUAAUUAGCAAAGAGCCUUUACUGCUUUAUAUUGCAGCCAUUGGAAAAGUUGUCAGUACAGUACUCAUGGUCGAGCGGGAAGAAGAAGGAAAGGCUUACAAAGUUCAACGCCCAGUAUAUUAUCUCUCUAAAGUUUUGACUCCAUCCAAGCAACGAUAUCCACCUUAUCAGAAGCUUGUCUAUGGAAUCUACAUGACCAUGAACAAGGUUGCACACUAUUUCUCUAACCACUCCAUUACAGUCAUCAGAAACGCACCAUUAUCUGAAAUUCUGAACAAUAGAGAUGCAACUGGUCGAAUGACAAAAUGGGCGAUUGAACUCCUUCCAUUGGAUAUCAAGUUUGAGGCAAAGAAAGCUAUCAAGUCCCAAGCAAUCGCGGAUUUCCUUGCGGAGUGGAUUGAGAAGCAACAGCCAACUCAAGUUCACUCGAAGCAUUGGACCAUGUUCUUCGAUGGAUCCAAGAUGCUGAACGGUUCCGGUGCUGGGGUAGUGUUGGUAUCCCCCUGUGCGGACAAGCUUAACUAUGUUCUCCAAAAUCAUUUUGACUCUUACAACAAUGAAGCUGAAUAUGAAGCACUUUUGUACGGGUUACAUAUGGCCAUUUCAGUCUACGUCCGUCGCCUUAUGGUCUACGGUGACUCGGAUUUGGUGGUUAAUCAAGUGAUGAAGGAAUGGGAUGUCAGGAGCCCAGCCAUGACUGGUUAUUGCAAUGCAGUAAGAAAGAUGGAAAAUAAGUUUUAGUGGUUGGAGCUACCCCGACUGAAAAAUCAAGCUGCAGAUGAAUUGGCAGAGAUAGGAUCCAAGAGAGAGACCAUCCCUAGCAAUUUGUUUUUGGAACAUAUUCACUCGCCUUCAGUUUAGGAAGAUCCCUUCACUUAAGAGCCCCCACAGCCUAAGAGUGCCAUAGAUCCGACUGAAGUCGAAGUCCCAGCCGUGGUCGACUUGAUCAUGGAGGUUUUGGUCAUCACUCCUGACUGGACAGUACCAUACAUUGCAUACAUUCUUAGGAAAGAACUUCCAGAAGAUGAAGAAGAGGCUCGACAGAUCGUCCGAGGAUCCAAAGCCUUUACGGUGAUAAGAGGACAGUUGUUCACAGAAAGUGUAACUGGAGUCAGCCAGAAAUGCAUCACACCAGAAGAAGGCCGAAUGAUCUUCAAUGAUAUUCACUUGGGGACCUGUGGUCACCAUGUGUCCUCUCGGACCAUCGUGGCCAAAGCAUACCGGGCCGGAUUUUACUGGCCGCAUGCAAACGAGAUGGCGAAUGAAAUAGUAGACAAAUGUAAAUGUUGUCAGUUUUACUCCAACAUGUCCCAUAAGCCUGCAUCAGCUCUGAAGACUAUUCCACUCGUCUGGCCUUUCGCUGUCUGGGGAUUGGACAAGGUUGGACCUCUGAGGACCGGUAGGAGUGGGUUUACCCAUGUGCUAGUAGCAGUCGACAAAUUUACCAAAUGGAUCGAAGCCAAGCCCAUUAAAAACCUUGUAGCGAGUACGGCUGUGAGUUUCAUUAGAGAAUUAAUAUUCAGAUAUGGUGUUCUGCACAGCAUCAUCACGGAUAACGGGUCAAACUUUGAUUCUGAUGAGUUCGGAGCCUUUUGUGCUUCCCAAGGCACGAGGGUCAAUUAUGCUUCAGUAGCCCAUCCUCAGUCGAAUGGGCAGGCUGAAAGAGCGAAUGGUUUGAUUCUCAGAGGACUGAAACCCCGAUUGAUGCGUGACCUCAAGCAUGCAGCAGGUGCCUGGGUCGAUGAACUUCCAUUAGUACUUUGGGGAUUAAGGACAACUCUUAAUCAGUCUACUGGAAGAACUCCAUUCUUCUUAGUCUAUGAAGCUGAAGCCGUACUCCCGAGUGAUCUACUCCACAAUGCACCCCGAGUCGAGCUCUUCUCAGAAGUAGAAGCGGAACAGGCUCGGCAAGAUGAAGUCGAUCUCCUGGAAGAAGAAAGAGAGAUGGCCUUGAUCCGGUCGACCAUUUAUCAACAAGACCCGCGUCGAUUCCAUGCCAGAAACGUAAGGGGUCGGGCAUUACAGGAAGGAGACUUGGUUCUUCGAGUGGACCAGCAGAAACCACACAAGCUCGCUCCUGCUUGGGAGGGCCCCUUCAUCAUCACCAAAGUGCUCCACAACGGAGCAUAUCGUCUUUUCAACGUCGAGCACAAUAAAGAUGAGCCACGCGCCUGGGAUGCGGAACUGCUUCGUCCCUUUUACUCUUAAGCAUUCAGACUGUUGAGAUGUAAUAAGAAAUACCUUUUAGUUUGAUUAUCAAGGACAUGAUUUUACAGUCUUCCGAAUGAUUGUUGUUCAUUUUUUGACAUGUUCUAAAAUCCCCCAGUGGGUGCCUUAGCUGCGAAUCCAUUUCGCCUAAGUUGAAAAGAAAAAUCCUACCGAGUGGUAAGCCAGCCUCUCACUCGGGGGCUUAGCUGCGAAUCCGUUUCGCCUAAGUGUUAAAAAAAUCCUGCCGAGUGGUGAGCAAUCCUCUCACUCGGGGGCUUAGAUGUAGUCCAGCACUCGCCUAAGUGUUAAAAAAUCUUACCGACUGGUGAGCCAGCCUCUCACUCGGAGGCUUAGCUGCAGUCCAGUACUUGCCUUAGUGUUAAAAAUCCUACCGAGUGGUGAGCCAGCCUCUCACUCAGAGGCUUAGCUGCAGUCCAGUACUUGCCUAAGUUUAAAAGAUCCUACUGAAUGGUACGGGUCGACCACGACCCUUCCCCCCGGGGCUGCACUAUCAAGAAGAAGGACGAGAUUGUGCGCACUGCUUAGCUGCAGUCCAGUACUCGCCUAAGUAUAAAAAAUCCUACCAAGUGGCGAGCAAUCCUCUCACUCGGGCGCUUAGCUGCAGUCCAGUACUCGCCUAAGUAUAAAACAUCCUAUCGAGUGGCGAGCUAUCCUCUCACUCGGGGGCUUAGCUGCAGUCCAGCACUCGCCUAAGUAUAAAAAUCCUCCCGAGUGGCGAGCAGUGCUCUCACUCGGGGGCUUAGCUGCAGUCCAACACUCGCCUAAGUAUAAAAAAUCCUACAGAGUGGCGAGCAGUCCUCUCACUCGGGGGCUUAGCUACAGUCUAGUACUCGCCAAAGUAUAAAAAAUCCUACCGAGUGGCGAGCAAUCCUCUCACUCGGGGGCUUAGCUGCAGUCCAGUACUAGCCUAUGUAUAAAAAAUCCUAUCAAGUGGCGAGCAAUCCUCUCACUCGGAGGCUUGGUUGCAGCCCAGUACUCGCCUAAAUUUGAAAAACCAAGCCGAGUAGUACGAGUCGACCAUGACCCCUCCCCUCGGGUCUACACAGUCAAGAAGAAGGACGAGAUUGCAUGCAUUGCCGUGGCGAACUGACGCCAGGGCGAGCUGCUUUCAGGGAUGUCAAGACCAUUGCUGAAUGCCUCGCUGAUGAGCUAAUCAAUGCCACCAAAGGCCCAUCCAACAGCUAGCUGCUUUUAGGGACGUCAAGACCAUUGUCGAGUGCCUCGCUAAUAAGCUGAUCAAUACCGCUCAAGCCUCGUCCAAUUGGUCGAUGUGGCCUCUUCCUCGGAAGCUGCAUCGAGAGUACAAACACUAAUCCGAGUGAAGAGCAAGUCCCCGCUCAAAGACAAACACAACAUAUUCAAAGAUAAGCCAAGUUCAGAUAAAUCCAAAGGUUUCUAAUGGCGAAUUAAAAGUACUUGGGCGUCAGGCCCAAAGGAGUUUCAAUGAUUACAAAUUAACUCGGCAUUCCGAGGCAAAUAAAGGUGAAGCAUAAUGUUUUUUUGAUCACUCGACGGGAGAAGGGAUGGCUGGAUCGCAGAAGCUGUUAAGGUCAAUGCUAUCCGCAAUGUGAGUGGCAGCCUCAAGGAAGGUGUCCAUGAUGGACUGAAAAGUGUGCUUCUUAGUAUUCGCAACCUUGAGAGCCGCCUACUUGUCUUCCCUGGCAUCCUUGCAGUGCACUCGAACCAGUGACAGGGUGAUCUCAGCGCCACAGCGAGCGGAUGACUUCUUCCACUCCUGCACUUGACCAGGAAUCUGAUUGAGUCGAAUCAUCAGCGACUCGAGGUCUUGAGAAAGUUCUGCCUAAGGCCAGAGUUCAGCGUCCACCCAGGUCAUUGCAGCCUUCAAUCGAGCUAGAUAGGCAACGGUGCCGUCCAACCAUGAUUCCAACCGCAACAAGUUCAAUGCAACGUCAUCCUUCACAGGAAAAUUGAUGGGGACGAGACCUUUCUCGACCUGCCCAGUUUCAGCUUCAAAAUCCCGGCAAAGUUCGGUCCCAUCACAAAAAAUAGCGAGUCGACAAUAUUACAACAUACUUCAAUCGACGACAAUUAGCCAGUCGAGCGACUGUACCUUCAAGCUUCAGAACUAGUUUCGCGGCAAGUUGUCCUAGAUAGGACUCUAACUUGCUUGUCUUAGCUCUGAGGCCUCCAACUUCAGUGGUCAGGUUCUCCUUGUCCUUCUUCAGUUGCUCGACUUCCCGAUUGGCUUCCAAGAUGGCGGUCUUCAACUUCGCGUUCUCCUCUUCUGACUUGCCGACUGAAGCCAUCUUCUUGUCCGCAAGCGUUUUCUUCUCACGUGCUUCCUUCUGAGCAGCAGCAAGAUCCUGGUCCUUCUUCUCCAAACCUUCCUUCAUUCUCUCUAAAGAAACAACACUCUUCAGACGAGCCUGAAGUUGACGGUUUUCACUAUGCAGAUCUGCUUGUGUGAAGUCACUCAGUUCAAAGAGACUGAAAGAAAAAGCAGUGAAAGAUGCGAGCUACUAAGUGGGCAAGAGUCGAUUGGUUACCUCCCAUGAUGGUCGUCUCUUCUUGAGAAGUCUUGAGUUUCUUCUUUGCGAGUUCAAGAUCAAGUUCAACGCUGAUAUGCUUCUUCUUUAACUCGGAAAGUCGAUCUCCAAGAUCACAAGACGUCUGCAGUCAGCAAGAGCGAUAUGUCAGUCGACAGAAAUAAGAGACAAUGACAGUGAAAAGUUACUCUAAGACUACUGCCGAAUCCAAUAUUCAAUAGUAGUCUCGGGGACUACACCCAGUGGGUGUACUUAGCGUGCCCCCACUGGUUCAGAUCAACACUCAGCAGAGUCUGCCUAGCGCGAGUCAAAAAAAGAGAUAAUUCUAAGACCUUAGUCGACUGCCAGCAGUCGACCGUGCUCUCGGGGACUACACCCAGUGGGUGCACUUAGCGUGCCCCCACUGGUUUAGAUAAACAGUCGACGUGCCCACACUGGUCCGGACAGAUUACUAAGAAUCAACACGUGACGACUGAUAGGAUAUAAAACAUCAUUCAAAAAGUUCCGCCGAAGUUCGCUGACCUGAACAUUGGUCUGCAGGGCGGUGCUGGCAUUAUAAGCCACCUGACUGGCCUCGUGCAUCACCUUCACCUGCUCCAUGAGAAGGUUCACCUGGUGAAGAGCCUCCCUGGCAGCACUUGGCGAAUCGUCUGGGGUCUGAUAUGCAGCGAAGAGUGAUGGCUCUAAGGGAGCCGAAGCAACUACUGGGUCAGACGAGUGGAGUUGCACUGGAGCGGUAGUAACCGGAGCAGUCGACCCCGACGGACGAUCAGUCGUCAGCGGGCUGGCAAAUGUGACGUUGGUCCGAACCGGAUCUCGGGAAUGCUCGACCACCGCCUCAAGUGCCGGCGUCGACUUAGGGACUUGAACUUCAAGUUUUCUUCUGCUUGAGCCUCCACCUCUCCUCCUCCUCUCCUGUAGAGGCACUUCCUCUUCUUCAUCAUCAGGAAGCACGACGACCUCUCGCGGAACUGCAAAGAGAGAGAAACAUUGGAAAAUCAGUAGACUGAUAGGUCUCCAAUGUAUCUACUUUUCCAAAUGUUUUUGCCCUUGUUUUGGACUCUAACUUGCAUGAUUUGAAUGAAACUAACUCGGACUGACGCUGUUUUCAGUAGAACUGCCAUGAUGUUGUUUUAUGUGUAGAAAACAAAAGUUCUCGGAAUGACAUGAAAAUCCUCGGAGAUAAGUUUCAGAAAAUAUAAAAAAUACUAGCAAAAAAUGAAGACCAGGGGGCCCACACCCUGUCCACGAGGGUGGGAGGCGUGCCCACCCCCUCUGGGCGUGCCACCUUGUCCCGUGGGCCCCCAGCAGCUCCACCGACCACAACUCCAACUCCAUAUAUUUCGUUUCACGGAGAAAAAAAAUCAAAGAUGAAGUUUCAUCGCGUUUUACGAUACGAAGCCGCCGCCAAGCCCUAAUCUCUCUCGGGAGGGCUGAUCUGGAGUCCUAUCAGGGCUCCGAAGAGGGGAAUUCGUCGCCGUCGUCGUCAUCAACCAUCACCAAUUUCAUGAUGCUCACUGCCGUGCAUGAGUAAUUCCAUCAUAGGCUUGCUGGACGGUGAUGGGUUGGAUGAGAUUUACCAUGUAAUCAAGUUAGUUUUGUUAGGGUUUGAUCCCUAGUAUCCACUAUGUUCUGAGAUUGAUGUUGCUGUGACUUUUCUAUGCUUAAUGCUUGUCACUAGGGCCCAAGUGCCAUGAUUUCAGAUCUGAACCUAUUAUGUUUUCAUGAAUAUAUGUGUGUUCUUGAUCCUAUCUUGCAAGUCUAUAGUCACCUAUUUUGUGUUAUGAUCCGACAACCCUGAAGUGACAAUAAUCGGGAUACUUCUCGGUGAUGACCGUAGUUUGAGGAGUUCAUGUAUUCACUAUGUGUUAAUGCUUUGGUCCGGUACUCUAUUAAAAGGAGGCCUUAAUAUCCCUUAGUUUCCGCUAGGACCCCGCUGCCACGGGAGGGUAGGACAAAAGAUGUCAUGCAAGUUCUUUUCCAUAAGCACGUAUGACUAUAUUCGAACUACAUGCCUACAUUACAUUGAUGAACUGGAGCUAGUUCUGUGUCACCCUAUGUUAUAGCUAUUACAUGAGGAAUCGCAUCCGACAUAAUUAUCCAUUACUGAUCCAAUGCCUACGCGCUUUUCAUAUAUUGUGAUUCGCUUAUUACUUUUCCGUUGCUACUGUUACAAUUACUACAAUACUGCUAUCAUUACUAUCUUUACCUUUACCACUGUUACCAUUACUAUCAUAAUACUUUGCUGUAGAUACUAAGUUAUCCAGGUGUGGUUGAAUUGCCAACUCAACUGCUAAUACUUAAGAAUAUUCUUUGGCUCCCCUUGUGUCGAAUCAAUAAAUUUGGGUUGAAUAGUCUACCCUCGAAAGCUGUUGCGAUCCCCUACACUUGUGGGUUAUCAAGACUAAUUUCUGGCACGGUUACCGGGGAGCACAGGUCUCACUACAAAAAAAGACACAUCCGUGACAUUUUGGGCCGAACAAUUUUUUUUCUGUCAUACAUAUGCCACUUCUAUGAUCAUAAUUGUGACAAAACCCGGUAUCAUCAUAGAUGUGGUGGGCUCCUACUUCUAUGACAAAAAAUCAUGACAGAAAAUGGGCUUUUCGUCCUGGGCGGGCCGGAGACGCGGCUGCAUGACAUUCUUUGGGCCAUCCAUGACAGAAAAAACCGUGGUAGAAGCGAGGGGGAUGAAAAUUUCAGGGAGUUGCCAGUUACGGUGGGAGGUCGGGGGCGGAGCGAUGCGCGUUUCUCUCGUACGUACGCAUGUGUGUGCGAGGCGUUGGCUCUAACUAAAGCCGAGCGAGGCAUUGGGCUCUAACUGAACCCGAGCGAUUGCACUACAGGCUACGCAUUACUGAACCCGAGCGAUUGAUCGAUGGCUGCUAACUGAAGCCGAUCAAUGCUGCCUCUAGGAUGAACAGUGAGCGUUGNNNNNNNNNNNNNNNNNNNNNNNNNNNNNNNNNNNNNNNNNNNNNNNNNNNNNNNNNNNNNNNNNNNNNNNNNNNNNNNNNNNNNNNNNNNNNNNNNNNNNNNNNNNNNNNNNNNNNNNNNNNNNNNNNNNNNNNNNNNNNNNNNNNNNNNNNNNNNNNNNNNNNNNNNNNNNNNNNNNNNNNNNNNNNNNNNNNNNNNNNNNNNNNNNNNNNNNNNNNNNNNNNNNNNNNNNNNNNNNNNNNNNNNNNNNNNNNNNNNNNNNNNNNNNNNNNNNNNNNNNNNNNNNNNNNNNNNNNNNNNNNNNNNNNNNNNNNNNNNNNNNNNNNNNNNNNNNNNNNNNNNNNNNNNNNNNNNNNNNNNNNNNNNNNNNNNNNNNNNNNNNNNNNNNNNNNNNNNNNNNNNNNNNNNNNNNNNNNNNNNNNNNNNNNNNNNNNNNUUCUUCCGUUUUGCGGUACGCCACAACCGUCCCGAUCAACAGGACCCCCGUUUUGACCGUAGGAGGUCCGUUUCCUCUGUUUUGCGGUACGCCAGGCCCCUCCCAAUCAACAGGACCCCGUUUCGACUAUAGGAGGUCCGUUUCCUCCGUUUUGCGGUACGCCAGGCAUCUCCUGAUCAACAGGACCCUGUUUCGAACGUGGCCAGUCGAACACAAGGCCGUUUCCUCCGUUGUGCGGUACGCCAGGCCUUGUUUCCAUCGCCUGUUCCGUCCAAGCCCUCCUGAUGAACACGACCACACAUUCCGUUCCGACCCAGCCAGUUGGCUCCCACGCGUUCCGUUGCCUCCCGAUGAACACGACGCAUUUUGUUGCCUCCCCAUGAACACGACGCUGACGCUGUUUCUUCGUUCCGACCCAGCCAUGUACGUAUGCGCGAGUAGGAGUUCGAGACCCUGCCCGUAUGUAUGUACGUGGCCGUAUUUUCUUUCUUGCACCCUAGCCGCUGUACGUACAUGUACGUGCGCGCCUCUACUACGACCAGUAUGUACUUACAUGUUCGUGACCUGAAUGACAACACUACGUACGCUUCGACCAGGUGGGUCCCGACUGUCAGGCACUUCCUUGCCUGCGAAGAUGUAGCUGGUGGGUCCCAUCAGUCAGGGGGGAAUCGUUUUUUUGCCCGGACGCACUUCCUUGCGUGCGAAGAUGUAGCUGGUGGGUCCCAGCAGUCAGGGGGCAAAUCGUUUUUUUUUUCGGACGCACCUCCUUGCAUGCAAAGGUGUAGCUAGUGGGCCCGUCCGGUGGGCCCCCGCUGUCAGGUGGAGGAAUGAUUAUUUUGAGCGUAAUAAGGAGGCACUUCCUUGCUGCAGCCAUGGACCCAGCUGCCAGCCUCUCCACGUACAGUCCACGUCCGAUGGAAGCUGUUCCUUGACCACAUUGACCACGCCGCGCCAAGAGCACUAGGGCGGUGGACGACGGCGAGGCCUAGGAAGGGGACGACGUGGAGCCGGGGAAGACGCGGUAGUGGAUGCCCACGCGUAGAGGAGUACGAGGGUUCACUGGUUCGCUGCGGUGUGAGGCUGCCGUCGCCGCAGAAUAACAGGGGGUGUGGUGAGUAGAGGGAUGGCCUGGAAAGCGGUGGGAGUAGUAGGGGCGGUGAGGCCUCCGCCGCAUCGCAGCCAGCCACGGGAGGUAGGAGCACGAGGCACGACCGGCGCUGGUUUGGGCGGCUGGAGCAAGAAGACCAGAGGUUGAAGAAGCACUACGGCCGUUGGAUGGACAUCGUACAGUCACUGGAGCUAGAAUCGUGCAUAUUGACUAAGUUUACAAAGCCCUCCGUUCCUGUCAACUUAGUAGGCCCACAAGUCAGCCUGCCACUAUACUGGGUCCCAGCUAACAGGGGGAGUAUUCAUUUUUUUGUGCGUAAUAAGGAGGCACUUCCUUGCGUGCGAAGAUAUAGCUGGUGGGUCCGAGUUGUCAGCGGCGGUAACGUUUUUUCGUGAAAUACUUAGGCCAUUUCGGUGGGUCCCUGAUGUCAGGUAGACGAAUCAUUAUUUUGCGCGUAAUAAGGAGGCACUUCCUUGUGUGCGGCUGUGGACCCAGCUGUCGGCCUCUCCACGUAUAGUCCACUUCAGAUGCAUGUCAGUCGUUGACCACAUUGACCAGGCCGCGCCGAGAGCACCAGGGCGGUGGACGACGGUGAGUCCUAGGAAGGGAACGACACGGAGGCAGGGAAGACUCAGCAGUUGUUUCCCACGCGGAGUGGAGUACGACUGAACGAGGGUUUAGUGGUUCAUCUGCCGUCACCGGAGAAUAACAGCAGGUGUGGGUGAGUAGAGGGAUGGCUAGGCCAGCGAUGGGAGUACGGUGGGGCGGUGAUGCCUGUGCGGCAGCACAGCCGACCGUGGGGAGGAGGGAGCAGGCAGUCCCGCCGGCGCUUGUUUGAGCGGCUGGAGCAGGAAGAGCAGAGAUUGAAGAAGCACGACGGCCGUUGGACGGACAUCCAACCGUCACUUCUUGUGCGUCAACCUUUUUUUAGGAAAGCCUCAAAUCUGUAGAAAACAGCAUACAACCCAUAUGCCAUUAUUUCUAAUAAUUUACAGCCCAUUUGCUAAUUCUUAAGGUUUUUUUUUGGAGCCCAUAUUCUUUUUGUUAGCAUUACAGCCCAUAUUGUGGCCACGGUUAAAAAAUUAUACGAAAUUUUGCAUAUUUUGGUGCGGUCUGAACUGUUUUUAAUCCCAAAAUUUUGACUCACAUUCAAACUGAUUUUAAAAAUAAAUAUAUAUCAAUAUAAAAUCCAACAAAUUCUCCACGCAUAAAAGUUAAUGUAAUUUAAAAUCUUGAAAUGAAAAAAAAUAUUUGAAACUAAUUGCCAGUUUUAUGUGUUUUAAAAAUGUACAACCCAUUUCUCAUUACUGAUGGGCCAUUUUCUCGUCCAGCCGAAUGAAAAGCUCUCCUCGUCUUGAAAGAUUUGCAACCCAACAGGCCUAACAAAGCGACUUAAUUGGCAAAUCACAAAAAAGCUGGGCUGUGGCCGUGGACCCAGUUGUCAGCCUCUCCACGUACAGUACUCUUCCGAUGGAAGUCGUUCCUUGACCAUGCGGUGUGAGGCUGCGGUCGCCGCAGGGCCUGGCCAGCGAUGGGAAUAGUAGGGGUCAGUGAGGCCUCCAUGGCAGCACAGCCGGCCACGGGAGGCAGGAGCAUGCGGCACGACCGGCGGUGCUUUGGGCGGCUGGAGCAAGAAGACUGGAGGUUGAAGAAGCACUACGGCCGUUGGGUGGACAUUAUACGGUCACUGGAGCUAGAAUCAUUCAUAUUGACUAAGUUGACAAAGCCCUUCGGCACCGUCAACUUAGUAGGCCCACAAGACAGCCUCCCACCAAGGUGGGUCCCAGCUAGCCGGGGGAGUAUUCAUUUUUUGUGCGUAAUAAGGAGGCACUUCCGGUGGGUCCGAGCUGACAGCGGGGGGAACGUUUUUGUUGGAGUUGGUGAGUAUAGGGAUGGCUAGGCCAGCGAUGGGAGUACGGUGGGGCCGUGAGGCCUGCGCGACAGCAUAGCUGGCCGCGGGAGGAGGGAGCAGGCAGUCUCGCCGGCGCUUGUUUGAGCGACUGGAGCAUGAAGAGUAGAGAUUGAAGAAGCACGACAGCCGUUGGAUGGAUAUCCAACAGUCACUGCUCUCGAUUGUUGACUAAGUUGACAGGGCGUUGCGUGUGCAUCAACCUUUUUUUUAUGAAAGCAUACGCGUCAACCUGUAGUAGGCUCACAAGUCAGCCUCAAAUCUGUGGAAAACAGCAUACAUCCCAUCUGCCAUUAUUUCUAAUAAUGUACAUCCCAUUUGCUAAUUCUGAAGAUUUUUUUUGGAGCCCAUCUUCUUUUUGUUAGCAUUACACCCCAUAUUGUGGCCACGGUUAAAAAGUAUACGAAAUUUUGCAUAUUUUCAUGAGGUCAACUAUUUUUAAUCCAGAAAUAUCGAUUCACAUUCAAACUAUUUUGAAAAAUAAUUUAUAUAAAUAUAAAAUCAAAAUAAUUGUCCACGCAUACAAAUCAAUGGAAUUUAAGAUCUUGUAAUGAAAAAAGAUGAAACUAAUUCCUGGCUUGAUGUAUUUUAAAAAUGUACAGGCCAUUUCUGGGCAAACCGAAUGAAACUCUCCUCGUCUUGAAACACUUGCAGCCCAGCAGGGCCGAUAAAGCAAGUAGGCCUUGUUUGGGUAUUUCUUUUAAAAAAUUGAACUGGGCUAGCCAUUUUCAGCAAGAAAAAAACACAACUGGGCUCAUGAUGUGGUAAACAUAAAUAAAACCCUGGCUAGACGGGCCACGGCCCCCGCACAGCCUCGUUGUUACCCUGAUCCGUCGCUAAAACUCGUAUAAAUAACAACUGCUUGUUCCUCAUUGUCUAAAAAAACUGCUUGUUCCUUAAUAAAAAAACUGCGCGACUUGGUGGGUCCCUGGUGUCAGCCGCUCGUAGUGUAAUUCUCUCGUUUAUUUACUAUGUUGACGAUGGCGUGAGCCCCAGAUGUCCAACCAUGAGGAGGAACCAUAUUUUUGGGCUUUUACUAUAGAGGCACUUGCUUGCGUACUGCCAUGACGCUGGUGGGUCCCUACUGUCGUCCUCUCCACGUACAUUCAUCUCCUUGUUCCUCUCGGUUGUUGACGAUGUUGACAACGCAAGAGGGUGGCGCAUCGCACACGGCUAGCGAACAAAGGCCGCAAGGCAGAGGACGACGAUGAGGCCUCGGACGGAACGAACAGGAGCCGUUGAAGAUGCGUCGGUCCAGUCGCAGGCGGAGGGGAGUAUGAGGGUUGACUGGUGGGGGUGGUGGGGGCUAGUCACUUGGCUUCUGUAAUGCACAGUGAGCUCAAGUAGCCGGCGUGAGUGAUGUUAUUUCCCUUGGAUGUGAUUUGUUACAAUAUUUCACUCUAAAUUAAACGAAUGGCAAGCCAUUUGCCUUGUUUCAAAGAAAAUAUGACAGUCACAGCCGAGUUGAAAAGGGCAGGAACAUCUAACUCCAGCUUACAAACUGUACAAACGCACGAGGGUUGAUUGAUCAUCAGGUUUACAAAAAAACCCAGAUUGAAAAGGGCAACAACAUCUAACUCCAACACUGUUUUCGGCAGUCACAGUCAAAUGGAUCGGUUAGUUCCAUAGAAUGAACAUCCUGGAUCAUAAAAUUUACUGGAUUAUGACCACAAUAUGUUGUAAAUAGAAGCCCGACACGUUCAAAAGCUCUUUUGCCCACAUGAUACUCCUUUUUUUGCUCUUCAACAUACCCAUCCGUCAAAACCAUGCUGCUGAUAAACUUAAGCCUGAUGGACAAUAGUAACCUCGCAUUCAGCAGGAAGAAUGUGACAAAUCUUGUGUUUGCACGGUUGGCUACAUAUCGUUCUAGCAUUAUUGUCUUCAAUCGAAUCUCAUGAGAAGUGAGAAAAUCCCAAUGCUUACGAAUCCACCGAUUGGUUAUAACUUUCUUACCCCGUCCUGUUGCCUAAAUAGACAUGAAAAUUGAAAACAGUUAAGGUCUAAAAGAAGAGUGUCGAACGAGCAACAGCUGAACGGUUAAUUCUAGUACACUAUAUGCGGGCUUCCAAUGUGCGUGAAAUUAUCACCUUUAUGUACAACUUCUCCAGACAUGGAAAGCAUUGCAUCAAGCCAAUAAUCUUGUUCAGAUCAAAACUAUUCAUUUGGAUAUAUAAGAUCUUGAGAGAAUCCAGCACCACUGAUAGGCCAUCCAUGGAGAAACUCUUCAUUGAGCAUAGAACAUAAUAUUAGUACAAAAUGUGUACUUCAAUAUGAUAUAUAAAUUAUGCGCAGAAAUUUAAAAUGGAGCAUAUGGUUACAAGUGUAGAUGUUAAUAUACAGUACCUGAAGAACUAUGGAGCCAAACACCAUAUUGAAAUGAGCACAGAGAUCAUGUAUUACACCCAAGGUCUCCAGUUUAGGCGCAGAGAGGACGGUUAUUUGCAACGGUGAAUAACUAGAAUCAAGGAUCAACCUUUGAAGUGAAGGGGCAUCUUGGAUGAUGAGCUGCCUUCCGUCAAAAGAAAUUCCAAUUCUUACAAGGUUAGGCGAGUUUAUUUGGAGACAACCGAUUCUAACUGUGAAAACAAGCACCAAGCACUCCAGCGCAGGGCAACUGGAGUGGAUGAUGCUGUGCAAUGAGGCCUCCAAUAUAUGAACCCGCACAAGUGAAAGUUUCUUGAGAAAUGGGAGUUGAAGGUUUAGUACCAGAUUGUCUGGAAGGUAGCACAAUGCAAAGGUGGCGGUGUGGAGAGAGGAGGAAAACCGUGAGAUGGACAUCGGUGCUAAGGGCACAAGUUCAUGGUGUUCUGUAUGUGGUAUGUGAUUUCCAGGGGAAUAGUAGAACUCAAGCAGCUGUAGUUUUGUGAAUUCAGGGGAUUUCAGUCAGGCGUCCAACGUGCAGGGCAUGGUAUGCUUGCUCAAGUAGCAUGACGGGAUGCAGAGGCUUUGAACGGAGCCCUGGUGGGUGGAGAUGAUGGCUCUAGGGAUUUCAAAAUCAUUGAAGAGAGAUAGCUGACGACAGUCGAGAUUAAGGGGCACGGCCGCGCCAUAGAGGGUACCACCGAGUUGAGAGGACUUGGGUGCGGCAGCAAUCCUUGGUGGGGAGAAGCGAGAUGAUCUCCCAAAGGACGGCGUCGGUGAGAUCGCUGAUGCGGUCCACCCGAGAUUCUACGGGUUCCUGGGAUCCGGUGGGGGCGGGGUCACCGCUUCUCCCCGCGCUGCCAGGUGCGGGAUCUACAAUAGGCAUCGCCGCUGGCGGGAGCCUCAUCUUCUUGGCGCUGGGGUCACCCAACUCCAUUUUCCUCAAGGGCGUCGCGUCGCGCUCACGGAUUUGAGCAGAGUAACGAAUGACGAGCCUAGUUGUAGAGCGAGCGAAGAAGAAGGGGAGCUGGGGGCUUUCUGUAGGAGUGAGGAAGAAGGGGAGCUGGGGUUUUCUAUAGGAGUGAGGUGAGGAAUUUGGGGGUACGAGUGGAGCGAGCUGACGUGAGGUGGGUGGGAGCGAGGAGGAAGAAGAGCACCCAGGUUUUUUUUUCUGGGGGAGGGGGGGCGGUGUGCUGGGUGUGGGUAGCGCCUUUUGAAUUGAUUUUACUAUUUGCUAGUGUGGAUUGGCUGUUUUGUCUUGGGCCCAGAGAAACAAUUACUACUAGUACACUGGAGACACUCUACAGCUACCCAGAAAAACAAUUACUACUAGUACAGUGGAGACACUCUACUGCUUCUGGCUCCUCCUAGGUCAUUGACACGUCUCCCUCUACUGAAUGCCAUUAUACUUUUGUUCACCGACAUGCGGGCCAUGCAGCACGCGGGCCCAAAUGCCAUCCACCAAAUUAGCAGGCAGUAUGCAGGCGGAGAGUCACCCUGGUCGUAGCGCGGCAGUAAUGAGUCGUCGUAUCACAAAACCCCACCUCCCCGCAGUCUAAGUUUGACGGACGAAGCAACCAUCAUUUCACUCCUCGCUGAAUCCCCUUCUCCCUCAUCGUCUUCAAGAAAGGCAACACUCGCAUCUGAUACUGUUCUUCUCUCCCAACGAAGGGAAGGUAAGCGGAUCCGUGAUGUUGGUAUAUUUUCGUUCAGAGAAAAAAAAGAACUUUUGCAAAGCAGUAACCGAUCCUCACUCUCUUUUUUGUUUCAUUGUCAUUGCGAUUGUGUUUUCCUUUCAGUGGUCUCCUAGUAUUCGUCAGUUUCAUGAUGGACCAAGGAGAACCAAGCAAAGAUCUGCCGAUAUUGGAGCAGACGCGGGAGGCUGAUCCCCACGAGACAGAGAGCUCCAAGAAGAUGGAGGCAACUACCGAGCCGACCCCAGAUAUGCUCACGACCACUACUGAGAUGGUCAACGCCCCGUUUGAGGUUACAGCCCCCUGUAGGAGCNNNNNNNNNNNNNNNNNNNNNNNNNNNNNNNNNNNNNNNNNNNNNNNNNNNNNNNNNNNNNNNNNNNNNNNNNNNNNNNNNNNNNNNNNNNNNNNNNNNNNNNNNNNNNNNNNNNNNNNNNNNNNNNNNNNNNNNNNNNNNNNNNNNNNNNNNNNNNNNNNNNNNNNNNNNNNNNNNNNNNNNNNNNNNNNNNNNNNNNNNNNNNNNNNNNNNNNNNNNNNNNNNNGGUCAUUUCCUUCUUUGCCGAUCUCGAUUGUGGUUUUUCAUCUAUGUAUGUGGUGAUUUUUUUUAGAAAAGGAAGUAUGUGGUGAUUAAUAAUGCAAAAUUUUAUUAGCUUCGAUGCCAUGCUAUAGAUAGUGGUUUAAAUAACUUGUGGUUCUUAUACUGAAAUGUAAUUCAAAAUUUGUUUCUGUUUCAAUUAGAGCCCUGAUGCACACAAGGAUUGUGUGGUUGUGCAUGUCACUCGCUAUGAGGCGGAAGACCUGAAUAUACGCAUGGGGAAAACAAAGUUCUUAGGCUAUUCGAUCCUGGAAGCCAUUUGCGGUUAUACCAAUGAAGAGUUGUAUUCCAGCCUCACUGUUGUCAGGCGUGUUGUCCAGGGUGUAUUGAAGCACAAGAAGUUCAAAGCUACUCCUUCAUUUGUGAGGCAUACUGUUCUUGUCAAGCUUACGCAGGAAGAUGACGUGGCAUGCCUCCACAAACAAGUUUAUCAGUGGCAAGGCCACAAGGUUGUCUUCAUGAAGGUUCACAGGAUUGACCUACUACGGGACGUCCUCGAUGAUGUUCAUGGCAAGGUUCGUCUUGUGUCCAGCGCAAAUUAGAUCGAAGCAUGAAAUAGUUGCCCCAGCUAGUGUUUAAUAGUAGUUUGGAUUGUGUCUAAUUAUCCGAACCUUGCCAGUUAUCGACCCCUCUAGGGCUAGUGCUCUGUUUGAAUCCGUCUAUGGGAACUGCUGCUACUUUUGUGUGACCGUUAAUCAUGUGAGAACCAUCGUAAUUGUUGCCGAAACAGAUGCGUCCUCACUAGUUUUUUCAUGAAUAUGGCAUGGUAAGACAUAAGUUGUCACGGUUUAUUAUACGAGCAGUGUGUGUUUUGAUGAAAUAGAGCACUCGUUCGAGAACCGUGCGUCGACGUAUACAUAAGUACUUGUAAACACUGUUGGUGCUACCCAACUUGUAAGCAGUUGUGAAAAACACGGCACAUUGGCUCAGCUCGCUUCAAAACUAGGCUAUCGACCAACUAACAAUCAACAAUCUGCUGUCUGACAUAAAAGAAACUACUAUGUAUCUUGUUACAGUGGUUCAUGUUGUUAAUUGAGGCCACAAUGUAAUCAAUUCCAAACGUUCACACGCUAGUCCACCGCUCAUGUGGAACACUCACAAUUAAACUCAUCUUCAUAAAAAUCUUGAAAAGCAUAAGUUAAGCAAUUUUAUACAUCUCAAUGAUUCAUAGAACAUAACAAACAUAUACUAGUUCACACCAAAAGACAAAGUUGUGAGAAGGUUUACAAAUCAGGAAAAAACAAGCAAGGCUUCUUUGAGUAAAGGGCCUCCCGGCAGGCUUAAAUUUCCUAGAGUUCACUCUGGUUUUUUCUUGUUGCCACCAUCCAGGGUUAGGUUCUCUCAUUCCAGAAUAACCAAUUAUAAAUGUGGUCUCAGCUGGAAUGCUAAACUGAACCAUGCAGUGUACUGACUAGCUGAAAUGCUUGUGCAUUCCACUAAAUUUAAGCACCGCUAUUUGCAGAAAUAAGCAGACCACAAUGCCUCUUGUCCGUGCACCUGUCCAAAAAACCGCCGUGCAGCCGUGCCAGCUAGUCCUCGGUUCGUGGAUGAACUGGUAGAAAGUGCAUUCCGGACUAGGAUGCAGUUGUUUUCGCUCGUCCCUGCACUGCAAUCAGGAAGUAAAACAUACGAAUCAUCUUCUUUUAGAUUGCGUUGGUCAUUCUACCUUAGUUACUACCAAUGUAGGGAUACCUUGAAGACGGGAGAUUAGACGACGGCAACGAGGGAUAGCCAUCUCAUUUUGCACAGUUGUACUAAAACUGAGGUGUGUGCUUUUGAUUGCGCGGAUAGAAACGAUACGGAUACAAACAUCCCGAAACAAUAUGGAGACACACAUCCCUGUUUGCGCAAAUACGAAAUACGUUUAUUUAAACAGUGACACAUAUUGCUACUUUCCCCCGUUUCCUCUUAGAACAAAGUCCUAGAUUCAUGCUACAGCUUUCCCACUUUCUUCCCUGUUUGAACCAACGCUUUGAGUUCACUCUAUGAACUUGCUUUACUUCUAAUAAUAGUAGAAGUCUAGGUGGCUUUGUAACAGCGGAUGGAAGUAGAAAAGGAUCCACACGAAGGGGGAAGAGCUGGGGCACUAGAGCAAGGCAGGUUUCAAAGGAAUAUAUACCUGAGGGUCGUCGGCAUGUGGCAAAGACGGCGUCGGGAGGCCGCAUCUUGGCCACAAUACUGCAGGGAGGAAGAAGGGGUCGGAGGCCCUCCUGAGCCGGUGCUCUCUCGGAGAGAACGACAAGGCCGCCGAUCGGGACGCGCGGGCAGCCGUUGGUCUCCUCCCUUGCCGUCGACGAUAGCGUGAAUGAUGCACCUACACCCCCUACCCCGGUCGAGGUUGUCCGGCUGGAUUUGUGACCAGUCGUGAGGUGAGAGAGAGAGUGUGGCCACCUAUGUCUUGCUUAGAUCUGGAGAGCAUGAGAGAGUGAACAAGAAGAACCCUAGUAAAGCAAACGCUAAGGCUCCUGCUUUUAUAUAUAGUGGAGUGAUUUUGUUGUACCGGCUUCAAAAAAAUGCGCUCCUACGUGUACCUGCGAGUGGGUGCGAGAGAACUAGUCCGUGCAUGCACCGCUUCUUUUCGUGAGAGUACAAUAUAUACUAUGCCCAAAGAACAUUCGCCGCAAGAGUAAUAGUAUAAGUGUGUGACGUGUGAGAUAAAAUAAAACGUGUGCACCGUCUUUUGUUUUUUAGAAGUUCUCAGCGUAGGGUGUGAAGAGCACAUAUGUGCGUGACGUCAACCUGCAGAUAGAGGAUGGGUGCGACAUGCGAGUCUGCGAGAGGACUCGGGAGAGUCGUGACUCGUGAGGGUGCGUGUGCGUGAGAGAGAGGGGGGCACGUAUCAAUGCAAUGCAUGUCUCCGUAAAUCAUUAUCCGAAAAACGUUCGCCACAAGCCUUUUCCUGACGAACGCCGUAAGAACUGUUAGAUCGGCAUCCGACAGUGUCAGUUUUGCCAUGUCAUUUAACAGAAUAGCCACUCCUCCUACACACAAAUCUUCCACGUGAGUGUUAGCAACUGCCGUAUGCUCCCUCCAUUCCGAAAUGCAGUGCAUAUAGCUUUAUUGAAAAUUAGAACCUCGCAAACUUUUACCGAGUUUUCGUGUACCAAAUUGCACAUGUAGAAUACCCUGUAUAUAUCAUUUCAUUCAUCUUCGAUAGGUAACUAUAAAGAUGGGUGAGGAGUCUACAAAGAAAGACCAUCGUAUCACCGGCAGCAAUUUCAACCAUCCUUUAGUGUCGAGGAAUAUCAUAGGAACUCUAUAUGAUAUGAUUUUUAUAGGAUUUUUUUCCUUUAGAGCCAAUUGGUUCAUAGGAAUAGAUUCAUAUACUCUACAUUUCAAAGGAAAUAAACAUGAUAUCAUGUCUAUAGCCUUAGAGCCACUUGGUUCAUAUGAAUGGAUUCCUAUACUCCCUUAAUUUCAAAGGAAAAUAAAUAUUAGCGUAUAUUCAAUAGAAAAGUUCCUAUGAUAUGAACCAAAUUACAUCUCUUUACUAAUCCCUCCUCAUAGGAAUUGAGAUACAUGUCAUCUCUAGAUUCAAUAGAAAAGUUCCUAUGAUGUGAACCAAAUGGCAUCUCUUUUCCAAUCCCUACUCAUAGGAAUUGAGAUGCUCCAUGUCAUCUCUUUCCCUACAAAUUCCACGUAUGCAUCUUCUAUUCCUAAAUAGAUAGUACAACCCACUAGUAGCUUUUUUCCAAAACAUUCAACUAUGGCACAAGAACUAUAUAGUGUGCCAAUAACUUUGAAAGAUGGUCGAUGGAUGAAGCUAACCCGACAGUGCAGAGAUGGGAAAAUCCGAGCACUACUGGCCGUUGGAUAUCAUCAACAUUCCACCAGAUCUGCCACAUGUACAAUUUAGAAGACUCCACGGUUGAACUUAAGCAUAACGCACAAACCUCAAAACACAAGCACUUCUCCUUUGUUCUAGAAUCUUUUGUAUCAUAAUUGAUUAUUUUUUUCUAAAUGAAUUUCCAUUAUUUGUUUUUUACUUUAUGAUUUACAAUGCACAACCCCAUGAAUCUUAACAUUUUUAUAAAACUAAUUGAUUUUGAAUGAGAUGAACUAUAAGAACUAAACAAACAUCUACAUCAUGCAUAUAUGACUCAAAGCUUUACAUGCUAUAGUGUGUAUUUAUUCAUAAUUUGGUUUCGAAAUCUCAUGCGUUCAAUACAUGUGUACCUUACUAGUUUUGAGUAGAGUAGCAAAUUUCACGCGGCCCCGGGUAUAUCGAAAAUGCAGGGCCCAUGCAUCAUUGCCUUUCGGUCGAACCUACGUCCACAAUUUUUUGUAUGUGCUAUAUCUCCACUGGUCCCCGAACCUUAAAUGCUGCCUCAUUCCCGUAAAACCAAGCGGCCCACACAUAUUUAAGGCGUUGACUUGAACCCGUUUACUACGACGUGGCCCCGCACGCUGUAGUACUCCUACAAACCCUACCGCCGCACUCAUCAUCGGUUUUCUUCAAGAGGACGAGGGAGAAGCCGAUUUGUAGUGGAGGCGCUUUCAAAAAAAAGGAUCUGUAAUGGAGACCCCUACCCUAAGGUGCCCAAGGUAGCUGCCGCACGCAUCAUUGUUUUCUCUUUUCUUUAUGCUCUUGCGCGCUAGAGUGAAAUGAUGGUUGCUUCAUCCAUUCAGCUUAAUGCGGGAAAGGGGGGCUUUGUGAUUUGACCCCUCAUCGCUCAUUUUCUACUACUGCGGCGCUACGACCGGGGUGCCUCCAAUUCCAACCGCUGCUCCGAACUGUAAUUUGGUGCAUCGCACGUGGAACAAGAUGGUGGAUGAGCCACAUGUCUACCAAAGGGGUCCUGUUAAGUGUGUCGCCAUUUCGUGUGUGGACUGACCCUGCUUGAGUUGCUACGCCAACACGAUAGGAGCAGCCUACCACUUGGUUUUGCUCCUUUGUGAAUCCCGACUAUAUUGAUCUAAAAAGAUACGUGCUGAACUACCCUCUCCGUCUCAGUUUUUUAUUUGUAGGCUUCUCGGUUUAUAGAGCCUGCACGUAGUUCUAGGUCAUCCAUUUGACUAACUAAAUAUGAGUUACUAUAUCACAAAAAGUAUACCAUUGGAUUCUUAUUGGUUGAUAUGUGAAGAAACAAGAAACAAGGUAGAAUUUAAUGCACCGCGCCUUAGUAUUGUGGGAUUAUUUUGUUUUAGUAUCAUACGUGCGUUUGGUUGCAAGGGUGGUCAUGAAUGGGUUGGGAUCGUUUAGAAAAUAGACAUGUUUGGUUAUAAAGCACAUGAAUGGUUCGAGUCAAAAAAAGAGAAUAUGCCUUGAAGAUGCUGAACCAUUCCACCCAACCAAAUCGGUCGAAUCAAAUGGCCACCCUUUGCAUGCAUGACUAUGUGAGCAUGACUGGUGGUCCCGUCUUAAAUAAUUAGCUGAUCUCUUAUAUUCAGCCAAACACAUGAAUUGAAUGGUUCAAUCCCAAAAAAAUGAAUGGUCCCAAUCCAUUCAUAUGAUACCUUCAACCAAACGCAUCCGACAGAGGGAGUAGUUGUAUUUAAAAGUCGAGGGCAGGGCUUUUCCUGCCCGGUAGGCGGCGGGACAGUUCUGCCUAGUCGGUUCGAUAGAGAUGUGAGAAGACGAGGGAGUAGGCUGCUGCAAACAUAGGGCUGUGUGAUUUGACAGCAAGUUACUGCUGAACAGGUGGGGCCCCGUGAUUUGACUUGCCAUUAUCAUUUUAACUGCGGUGCUACGACCGGCGUGAGUCUCCUGAUUCCUGACCACCUCCAUACAGGUGCCUCUCCCAAUGCUCCACCAUGUAGUAGUAGAGGCUGGCUCUUGCAUGAGAGCCCAAUUCUCCACUUUUUCCUUGCCUCUCUUUCCUCCACAUAUGCAAAAAUGCCAUGUAAAGCGCACUAUUGUACUUACUUGCUCCUGCAGGUGCUUAAGCUUGCCAUAUAGGCAUAAAGUCUGAUGUGGCAAGUUAAUCAAGAAGAGAGAGACUAGUUUGGUGACCCAAGGAAGAAACGGUGCUAAGCGCGUGUACCUAGGUGAAAAGACAAUUUUGAGUCUAUAGCUAAUUAAAUGAAGCAAACUUAGCAACACCAUUUCAUUGGAAGAGGUCACUCCUUGGCAAAUGCAAUAAAUACUAGUACUCCCCGUGUCCCAUUAUAUAAGAACGUUUUUGACACUACACUAGCUAGUGUCAAAAACGUUCUUAUAUUAUGGGACGGAGGGAGUACGAAGAAAGAGAUAGAGAGGAGUAAAAAAAUACACUUAUAGCCAACCUUGUUGUAGUAUGAGUGACUAAGUGAUGACUAUGUAUGACAUGCCAACAUCAGAUAGCCUAACGCACCGUGUUAAAUCUCCAAGGGUGCGACCACGCGAGUGACGCAACGGUCGUGGUAGGUGCGACCAUGAUACGGGCUGCUGGCAGCCCUUGGAUCUGAGAUCAAACGUUUGCAUGCUAAGUUGCUGAAAAUUUUAAGAAUAACCCUCCAGGAUAUGAUAUUCACCCAUAGGUCUAGAAUCACGCCAUGCAACCAUUCAAUCUCAAAUCCAAGGGCUCUCAAAAGCCUGUAUCAUGGGAGAAUGGAAAGCCGCUACCCUGCCGUUCGCACGCUGGCAGUUUGCUCCUACUCUUUCCCGCACGUCCUUUAUUACUACGGCGGUUCACUCCUAGUCGUCCUGUCCAUUCACAUUACGGCAGUUCCACUAAUCCUAACCCUCCUCCCAAAUCCAUGGCGUCCCAAAUCUCCCCGAUCGGCGGUGAGUACAAGGUUAGAACCAUCACCGGCAAUGAGUUCGACGUCAUCUACACCCAUACUUCCGUGAUGGUGAAAGGAUGCCUUUCUCGCUUCAGACGCAUGUUUGAAAACUCACAUGAUGAGUGGGUCGCUGGGCUAGAUGUUGAGUACACCACAGUCGUGGGACGGGAGAAGGAUCUAAAGGAUGAAGAGAGGAAGAAGCCCACCGUGAUCCAGGUUUGGGUACUUAACAUUUGCUUGGUCUACCACAUAUGCCAUGCCGACGUUGAGUGCCAGGAUUUUAAGAACUUCCUCGAGGACAAAACUGUCAAUCCAUCGAUAGUGGAGUACUACUGUACAAAAGUAUACAUUUUUAAAAGGCUAGCAUACUGUUCAUCACAUAUAUAUAUAGCUAGUUAAAUUCUCAACCUAGAACGACAUGCAUGCCAUGUAGUAAACCGAUCCGGAGGAAGUAUAGUAAAAAUGAGGUGAUUUUACCCAGCGAUCGGCGGGGCAGCAUGGCCUGUCAUGUGGUCCACGUGUCAUGAUGUACCAAGGUGAUGCGCGUGUCCCUCUUGAGGCAGAAGAAAUACUAGUACGUGGUUUGAGAUGAUGUCGAACCGAAGUGUGAAAUAAUGGUUGCUUCGUCCGUUUGGGAAGGUGCGGCAUUGUGAUUUGACGUCUCAUUGCUCAUUACUAACACUGGGCUGGUAUGAGUGGGGUGCGUCCCCCCUGCUGUUCUACACUGUUAUUUGGUGCUUGACACAUCGACCCGGUUGCUAUAUGUCCCACAUGUCGGCGACAGGAAGUACAUAAUUCAUGAAAGGGAGCGACUUAGUUUUGGAAAAAUCUGUUUUUACGGGGUACGUACCCACUAGGGUUUAUAGGGCUCAUCUAAAAAACAUUCGUUUUUCCAUUUGAUAAGUCACAAUUCUAGUACUAUACUAGUAGUAGUACCAUUACAUGUUAGAUUUCGAGGUGCGUUAGAUCACCCGACGCAAGCAGUGUCAAGAGGAAACUAACCAAUGCAUGUACAAGUUCAUGGAAAUUUAGUGGUCAUUCAUGCAUUCGUUCUAAUUAAUGCGUCCGUAAACAUAACUUCUUGAGAAAAACGAGCGUACUGUGCAAACUACGAAAUUAAUUCGACCACUCACCGUCUACCUUGGUUGGAGAGAUUUUGAAAUUGAGCCAUAAACUGGAAAGGAGGGAGUAGUAACUUUUGUCUCGAUUACUAUUUGUGGCCUUGUAUAGAUGCAAAAUGUAUUUUUUUAGUGGCCUUUUAUAAGUAAAUAGAGGGAGUACUAACCAAAGUACGUAGUAGGGACGAGGAGUAAAUGGAGGGAGUAGUAAAAUUUUCUCCUCGUGCUGCGAGCCACCGCGGGCGUGGGCGAGGGAGCGGGCGUAAAGGCGUACAGUAGUACUCUAGCUUCACCUCAUCCUACGAGCCACCGCGCCCGUGGACGGGGGAGAGGGCGUACUAAGCAAGCUUCUCCUCGUUCUACGAGUUGACGGGACACAUCAAAAGUACUCUAGUGUAUAGAGCCUUGCCUCUAAGGUAGGCCCCACAUGGUUUGCCUCUUUUUUUAAUUUAACAUAACGCUCAAGUCGCAAUUUGCUUGUUCAUCCGUGGUAGACGAUCCUCCCUCCACCAAGUGGACAACUAGUACAUGUGCCAAAUUACCACGUGGGCUGCCUUUUUCGUAUAGAAAUGAGCUCCAUUGUGUAACCACGCGGGUGUGGUCGGGAAAGAGACGGGAGUAUGUGCGCCGUGCGUGCACCUCUUCUCUUCGUGCACGUCCCCCACCUACGUGGGUGUGUGUGAGAGAGAUACAAACCUAGACAUAAUGCGCCGUCCAUCCCCAUGCCUCCGCCCAGUCCGACCACCAGUCACCACCACGGCACCACGCCCCACUCCUCCUCACCUUAUCUCUCAUAUUUCUCCCUCCAUUUUUAUAUACGAGGGGCCACUAUCAAAAUUACAAUUUGUAGAUAUACAAGGCCACUAACACUAAUCAAUGCAAUAUUAAUUGUGUUUGCCUCGUGGUAUUAGCAAAGGAGGACAUUAGUUAUCCCUUGCAUGCAUGCGGGAGUUUGUAAAAAAAUGCAUCUUGAUGUUCCGUGCAAUGCACAGGCAUCUUGCUAGUCCAUGAAAACAACACAUGGCAAAAUUCCACGGCGAACGAGGGAUUUGAAUCUGUUGGGAGGGGCUGUUUGGAUCUUGCCUGGGGUAGCCAAAAUAAUGGCGACCCUUUUGUCCAUCGGUGCCUUUGCCACCGAUGAACGAGGAAUGGCUCGGGUGCUCAUGCUGUCAUGCAUCCUCCAGCGCGCACGUUGGGGACGAGCUUGCACGAGCUGUGUUUUUUUGUCCCACAACGCCGCCCGAGCCGCCCGCAGACUGACCGGCGACCCGCAAAUUACGCCAUCCAACCGUAGCCGCACACAUUAUGACAACAACUCAAUCAACCAGACGAAAUUCACGCAAACACAUAGACAAACUGAUACUCUUUCACGCAACCACCAGAGUAUUUCAUAUAAACAACAACGGAAAUCAUAUAAAAUACCGGAUUUUCACACAAACAUGACAGAUUUCAUUACAUUCAAAUGAACUACGCGGUGCUAGUUCUGGACAGCACAAGUAUAUAAUACAUGGCCUAAAUGGUCGCCCGCCGAUCAAUUUGUGUUCCUCAUGUCCGGCAGCACGAUCACCGGACUGCCGGGAGCCCCGGAGGUAUAUGCUUCAGUGCAAAGGAUGGCCUGCUUCCCCACUGCCCAACUGAUAUGAUUGGCUGGUGCCGAAGAUGGUGGUGGCCGGCACCGGUUCGAGUUCAUCACCGACCACUACUUCGCCAUGGCCUGCACCGGCUCGAUUUCAUCCUAACAUUGACCUCUUCCGUGGAGCCCAUGUGGGGUCGACGAAGGUCCUCGCAACAAAAGGAUCUGGCAAGACACCUGCUGUGUACGCCGGCGUCGCCUCCGCGGUGGCCUUCAUGAGACCCAAGCGGCGGCGGCCUCCCGUGUUCUACUUCUCCUCGAUGAUGGCGGCGGACGCGGAGGCGCUGGCCACCAACUCGUCACUCUGCGCGCACCCGGCUUCUAUCGCUGCUUGCAUGGUGCGGCCGCCGGCAUGGGAGUCUCGGCCACAGAAACAUGAGACGGGGUACGAGGCGAUGGCAUGGACAGCAGCAACGAUGCCCGUGCGCCGCUCCUCGUCGAGCUGGCCUGGAGAGGCGAGUUGCUGAACCGCGCGCCGGCUUGGGUCGGCAACUGGCUCCGUCGGGCGAGGGGAGGGAGGUGGAUCAGCGAGCUGCAUAGCUCGUAUCUGGUGGGCCACCCAGUCGGCUUGGAUGCAGAAUAACUACUCUUCGUAAGCCAUUGUAAGAGUGGACAAAAUGGUGGAGGAGAUAGGGGAGCGGCGGAGGUGUGUGAUUCUUUGCCGGCGUUUGUCCUCGUUUAAAUAGGAGAUUAAAUAGAUGGCAGACAGGAGGAGCUCGGUCGGUGUUGCAUUUAACGCCGGCCCGGUCAUGAACGGACGUGUGUCCAGAGUGGGUUUCUUGGCUUCCACACGGGCGGGUUUCAUGGAGGUGUUUGAAUGCGGCACGGAGGCGUGUUCAGCCGGGUGUGCCACGAGUGGCGCCCUCGACUCUGACCUAGGACACCGCGCCGUUCUUCCACUGGCGUGUGGGCUCUUUGGUGCAUGGCCUGCAUGUGAGUGACAGAACACAGGCAACGCACAGCAGAGGAACCUUUGGUGGGCCAGGGCGGUCACAAGCGGGCAUUUCAUAAACUGAUGAUUGUUCAUUGAGUGUGACGUCAUCUUUUUCAUGUAGUUAAGCGUGUGUCUUGCGUCGUGUGAUGUGUGCAUGCAGGCGUGUGAGUGUUGCGUGCGUGCAAGGGUGCAUUUCAGUGUUGCAUGCAUGGGUGCGUAUGUGCAAGGUUGCGUUUCAGUGUUGCAUGCAUGGGUGCGUACAUGCGUGUGUUCGUGAGUGCAUGUGUACGUGUCAGUGUUGCACGCCAGCAUGCGUGCGUGUGUACGUUAUGUGUACGUGUCAAUGUUGCACACCUACAUGCGUGCGUGUCUUGCGUGCUUGCAUGUGUACGUGUGGGGUGAGGCUACACGUCAGUCGACUGACUUUUUCAUCUCUGGUCAUUAGAUUUUCCAGCCGUUGGAUAAGAAAUCAAGGUCCUCUAAUUUAUCAUCAAACUCCACCCCCCUCCUACCGAGCCGCCAGCCACCACCGGCCGAACUGCCCGCCCCCGCCGCCCGUGGCCGGCCCGCCCUCCCCGAAACCACUCCCCACCACCGGUCCGCCGCCACACCUUCGAGAGAGUGGGCCAUCAUAUAUGAUCUUGAGAUUUUACGAAGUCACCAUAGGUGCCUCUUAGUCGAGUGGAAUGUCUCCUCCCACUGAACGUACAUCGCCAGAAAAUACUGGAAUUAACACAAGAUAAACGCGAGCACCGGGACUUUAACCUUGGUGGGCUCGAGAAACCACUGUCCUCUAACCAUCCAACCGCAUGUUGGUUAGCACGACAAAAUGUAUGUGGUGACCGUGAUGAGCUUAUUCUGAAGUCCAGUGACCAUAUCGUGCUUUCGCUUCAAAUACAAUGACCGUAAGUGUCGUCAACAAAAUACGGAGCAAGCAUCAAAUGCAAAGUCCAUCAGUGUCAUCAACAUAAUAUGGAGACGUAUCAUGAGCUAGAUACCGUUGUACUAUUGUAUAUGCUUAUUUUCUUAGUGGCUGAUUGCGUGUGUGGUGUGGUGGGCACAUCAUUUCUAGUUGUGGUGGGUCAACAUGAAGACUCAUGGGUCGGAUCCAUCCUGCACCACAUAUAGGUUGGACCGAGACGUGUUUUACGGAGACCCAUGUGGAGGACUCGGCGUACAACACGAAGCUACCAGAGUUGCGGAGGACUCUAUCCCCACUGGUGAUAAGCCGACUAUAUAUGAUUUGUAACCCUAGGCCCUUAGUAUGUUAUACAAGCUUGGGGGCUAGUUCUUCGAUAGUAUACACACACGCACAAUGCCUGGUAUUCAUGUGUACUUUGUACACAGCCCUAACACUAAUAUACAGUACCAGGAGUAGGCUCUUUCUUCAACUUCAAGGGUCCGAUCCGAACUAUGCUAAAACUUUGCCUCGUAUUACCAUCCAGCCUAACAGCCAGGGAUAUCCUACCGAAUGAUAUGAUGAAAUCAUAUCUGCCAACUACUAUUAGAGAGGUGUGUCGGGGGGGGGGGCAAUGUGUGCGAGAGAGGCAUAAGGAUAAUGUGCAUGCGGGAGACACGUAGGCACAUAUAUGUGCGUAUAGAGGGCUAGUAGAGACCGUGCAUGUGUAUAUAUGCAUGUGAGAGAAAUAGUGUUUUCCAACUAAGAUUAGUGAAAAGAGUGGUACAUAGUAGUCAGAAAGAGAGAUAGAGAAACAGAGAGAGCAUGUGCGUGAGACACCCCGACACCCUGAGAGAGAUUGUGAGCAUGUGUGAAAGAGAAAUGCCGAUGCAUAUAAAGUUUGUGCCCUUAUGCGUUAGAUAGAGAGAUAUCUACGUGUAAAAGGCGGUUCUACGCAUUAAAUUAAAAUAUAAAUGGCAUUAUUAUUUUUGGAUGAGAUCAUGAAUUUUGCAAAAUUGCGUAUGGACGAAAAUUGGUCUAUCAGACACCCAUACUCCAUUAAAUUCUAGCAUGUGCAUGUGUUUAUUUCAUAUUAUCGAUCCAUAGAGUGAGAGCGGUUUGAAAUAUAGGCAAUGGAUGCUUUUGCAAUUCAUAUAUAAACAUUAAUUAGUGCACUCCAUGUUGUUAGUGUGAAGCACUUUAUACAUUUGUCACUUGCAUGGAUACAUUCCAAAUUGCUAGCUAUGAAAUAAAAUACAUGUCGAAUUCAACAUAAAGGGGGUUUCGAAGAUUCGAAUUCAUAGUAAGUGCAUUCAUCUAUUUGAACCCGAGAUAAUGGCAUUUGUAAAUCAGAUGUAAAAGGGGGUAUCAAUCUUUGUUGUGAGUUUGAACAUGGUAUAUAUAUUCAUACGCAUAUCUAACUUUUUUUUUGCAACCAAGGAGAUUAUACCUGGAACCAUGCAUGAACUGAGGUAAGUUGCAUAUUUUUUAAUAUAUACUCAUGUACAAUGUAUAUUAAAAUGUACCCCCUCCAUUCCAAAAUAAUCGUAGCUUUAGGAUUUUCAAGAGUAAAGAUUUGUGAAGUUUGACAAAUCCGGAAAGUUCAAUUCAAGAGAAUCGAAAACGUUAAUGCUUCUGCUCCCAAAUAUUGAACGAAGCGCCAAAUAGGCCUCUGGUCACCCGAAACCGCGUGAGACUAAUGUUUUGGUGGUAGGAAAUUACUGUCCUGACUCUGGCCUGUGUAGCCUAUCGGCCCGAUGUCCAAAGGUCUAAACCGGGGUAGGUUUGUAACUUCACCAAGACGCCAGUCUCAACCGCCUCCGAGAAGCAUUCAUAAGCCAUGGGCGCCUAAACACCUAUGCGCUCGGCCGAAAUCUAUCCCGCCCACAUUUGGGACACCUGACAUGAUGGUCCUACCCCCAACCCGCAAUAUGUCCGAAAUUUAAGAUGGGGGCAAAGUUUGUAACUUUCCCCAAAUUUCAAACAAGCGUGUCUCAAAUCGAAACAUUGUUCCCCCUUAGUUCCCCGCCUCCCUCCGUUUCCCCUUUCAUACACCGUGGGCGCAAAAACGCCUUCUCCACCAGCCGCAAAAUCCCAACCUCCUCCGUCCUCCACCGCAUAGCGGCCAAUCCACCGCCGCCCUCCUCCAUCACGCCGGAGCUGGUACCCCGACGUCGUCGUCCAACGCAACUGCAACCGCAACACCCUCAAGGACUUAGCAGCUGAAGCCGAGGCAUAGCUACCUCCACGACGCCGACGCUGGCGUGCGCCGUACCAGAACCACUCCGACCACGCCGUCCUGCGCCUCACUGCUGCGGCUCCACUAUCACAACCGUCCACCGCACCAGAGCUGUUCCCACUACGCCGGCGUUUGCCGCCUCGGAUCUUCUUCCCCGCCGCCGACAGACGGCCACCGCACCACACUCAACAACUUGGCCAUGGGUUCGUCCAAGGCUGCACCGUCCUCCAUAACUUCUGGUUUCCGGCGAACAACAAGAUCGUCGGAAAAAUAGAAGGAUGACACAACACUGCCAGCAGAAAGAGGCACUCCUCUUCCCUUAUUCAUGCAAAUCUUACGUCUCCGCUCCCACCGUAUUCAUCCCACGAAAGAAACUAGUUGAGCGCUUCUACUUCAUCUUCUCCGUGAUAAUAAAUGCACAAGGUUUCCUCCCUUUUACUAUUACACCUUUGCUAGAUGUCAGUAGCCCGCCUGGAUUUCAAUUCAGGGUCAGUCGAACCGCUAUUAAAAGAAGAAGCACCCGCUUAGGCGCGCGGAGCACCUAGUCCACCUAUUCCCCGGGGAAGCGGCGCAUCAGUGUCUAUCAUAGGGGUGUGGGGCGCAGGAGCUGCUGGCGGCCGAUCUGGAGGUCGGCGGGGCUUGAAUGGAUGGCUGGGGAGCGGUGCCAAGCACGGUGAGGUCGAGGAGAGGGCGCAGGCAGGGGAGGAAUAUUGGGCCGGUGGUCGCUGGCGUUUUGAGGAAGAUUGUCAACAGUGACUGGCUGGAGGUAGAUGAAGGCGAUCUCCCUGUUCUUUGUACAUCGGAUGGUGCAGAAAAAUGGGCUGACCUAUUUGCUUUCAGUCGACUGUUAUUUUCAUAGAAUCCUGUAGUAAUUGAGUGCGCCAUGCAUGUUGUAGAGCUAUCAUAUGUCUCCCAUCAUUUAUUUCUCACUGACCUGCUAUCUGCUACCUUUACACUGUACUAAUUGUGCACACACUUCACCCAUACUCACACUAUUGUUUUUUUAUGCAUGGGUAUUUCAGACUCUGACGCAGUGUUGAUGAAUGCAGAAAACAAAAGACUGAAGUCACUCUAGUGUAAUUCGAAGAUAAGCAGUAGGCAUUUCAACACUCUAAUGGGUGCAGUGUCAGCAGUUUGAGAUAGUAAAAGUAGCUCUGCAGUUGAUGAUCUCAAUUGCCACACACAACCAUCCCAGGUGCUUGCUUUAACUUCGCGCUGUCGAAUGUGGUUGCAUGUUGCAUAUGGUGUCUAGCAUGUAUUGCUUCCAAUUUGGUUAAAUUGCAUCUGCUUACUUUACACAUUAUACCUUUGAUAAUGACAUGCCUUCCUAUUUUUGAUACAUACUACAUAUGUCUAUAAACCAUGUUCGUACAUCAAACUAAUGCUCUUUUGUAUCCCUAAUCAAUCACUUAUGUUGAGACAGUCACCCGGGUGGGUUACUAUGAGACGCCCUACUCGUUUAAAGAGUGCAGUGUCAUCCUCCCCACAUGAUUCUCAAGAAACAGCAAGGCCAAAUGAAGAUAAUCAACGUAGCUCUCUAGUUGAUCACCGCAAUUCCCCCACACCACCAUUGCAGGUGCUUGCUCUUACUUGGCAGUGUGAUAUGUUGUUGCAUGUUGCAUAUGGUGUCUACCUUGUAAUGCUUCUAAUUAGGGUAAAUUGCAUCUGCUUAGUUAACACAUUAUACCUGUGAAUAUGACAUGCCUUCCUAUUUUUGGUACAUACUACAUCUUUCUACUAACCAUGUUCUUACAUCAAACUACUUCUCUUGUGUAUCCCUCAUCAAUGCUCCUAAUUUGUUAAAUUGCAUCUCCUUAUCUUACACAUUAUACAUGUGAAUAUGACACGCCUUCCUGUUUUUGGUACAUAGUACAUCUGCCUAUCACACCAUGUUCUUACAUCAAACUACUGUUCUUGUGUAUCCUACGUCUAUCGCUUAUGAUGAGACAUUCGCGCGCGUGGGUUAAUAUGAGACGCAAUACUCUUAUAAAGAAUGCAAUUUCAUCCUCUCCACAUGAUUCUCAAGAAACAACAAGCCUAAAUGAAGAUAUUGAACGUUGCUCUGUACCUGAAGACAACACUUCCCCUACACCACCAUCACAGGUGCUUGCUCCAACUUCGCAGUGUGAUAUGUGGUUGCAUGUUGCAUACGGUGUCUAGCUUGUAAUGCUUCUAAUUAGGGUAAAUUGCAUCUGCUUAGUUUACACACUAUACCUGUGAAUAUGACAUGCCUUCCUAUUUUUGGUACACACUACAUCUAUGUGUUAACCUUGUUCUUACGUGAAACUACCUCUCUUCUGUAUCCUGCAUCAAUUACUUACCAUGAGUCACCUUUCUUCGUUGCAUAUUGCAUAUUAUUUCUAGCCUGUUGCCAUGUAUUGCUUGUAAUUUGGUCAAAUACAUUUGUUAGGGCACCCUUUUAAUUUGGCAGAGUUAUAUUGGUUUCAUCUUUCAUAUGGUUUCUAGCUUGCAUCGAUUCUAACAAGUUCAAGCACCUUGUGCUUAGUGUACACUUUAUACAUCAUACAUGUCAAUACGUCACGCCAUCCUAUUUUUUAUACAUAUUCCAUCCUCCUAUCAUGCGGUUGCCUUACAUGAAAGUAGUGUUCGUCAGUAUCAUGCAUCAAUAUGUUCUGAAGAGCAAAUUUUAUUCCUUUUUCUUAUGGGUUUGACAUGACAAGGCAAAAUCAAGAAAGAGGAAGGAAAAGAGUAAGGAAGGCGAUGAUGGUGGUCCUCUGCAGCAACGUAAACAAGGGGUCUCUACAGAUUCUACUCCGCCAUCCUCCCAACAAGAUUCGCAAGACAACACAAGGCUGGAUAGUCAACGUAGUUGUGUAGAUGAUGAGCACAUCUCCCCUACUACACCAUCACAGGUGCUUGCUCUAACUUGACACUAUUAUAUGUGGUUGCAUGUUGCGUAUGAUGUCUAGCUUGUAUUGCUUCUAACUUGAAUUGCAUCCGCUUACUUUACACAUAAUGCCUGUGAAUAUGACAUGUGUUCCUGUUUCUAGAACAUACGUGUACACGAUGAGCACAUCUCCCCUACUCCACCAUCACAGGUGCUUGCUCUUACUUGGAACUGUUAUACGUGGUUGCAUUUUCCGUAUGAUGUGUAGUUUGUAUUGCUUCUGAUUAUGUUGAAUUGCAUCUGCGUAGAUUACAACUUAUACCUGCAACGAUCACUUACCCAUAAGACACAUUUAACUUGGGACUGUGAUGUAGGUUGCAUCUUGCAUUGUCUUCUAGCUUUUACUGCUUCUAAUUUCUUGAAAUGGCACUUAUGACGAGACACUUUUUACCUGAUAGAGUGAUAUUGUUUGCAUGUUCUUAUGGUGCCUAGCUUUCAUUUCUUCUAAUUUUGUUGAAAUGCCUUCCGCUUACUAUUUUUUCAUACAUAUUCCAUCCUCCUAUGGUACGUGUGAAUAUGAAACACUGUCUUUUUUUGUAUAUAUUGCAUCCUCCUGCGCUUGCCUUACAUCAAAGUAGUGUUCGUCUGUAUCAUGCAUCAACCAGUUAUGCAGAGCUAAUUUUAUUCAUCUUCUUGUGGUUUGACUUCAUAAGGCAAUAUCAGAAAAUAGGAACGAAAAGAGUAAGUUAGGGGAUGUUGGUGGUACUCCGCACCGACGCAAACAGAGACUCUCUAGAUUUGCCACUACUACUGCUAAUGAAGUUGAAGUCCCAAGUCUACAUGAUGAGUUCAUCUCCCACACUCCACCAUCGCAGGUGCUUGCUCUAAGUUGACAGUGUGAUAAUUGGUUUCAUGUUGCAUAUGUUGUCUAGCCUGUAUUUCUUCUAUUUUGAUUAAAUUGCACCUGUUGAGUUUAUACGUUAUACAUGUGCAUAUGACAUGGCUUUCUGUGUCUAGAAUACACUGCAUCUAUCUAUCAUACCAUGUUCUUACAUCAAAGUACAACUGUUGUGUAUCCCGCAUCAGUAGCUCAUGAUUGGAUGCUUUUAACAUGGCAGUUUGAUAGUGGUUGCAUCUUGUAUUGAUUUCUACAUUGUAUUGCUUCAAAUUUUUCGAAUUGCCACUUAUGACAAGACACUUUUAACUUGGCAGAGUAAUAUUGGUUGCAUCUUUCAUAUGGUGUCUAGCUUGCAUUACUUCUAUUUUCUUGAAAAUCCUUCUGCUUAGUUUGCACAUCGUAGCUAUGAAUAUGUCAUGCCGUCCUGUUUUUCUUACAUAUUCCAUCCUCAUACGGUUGUCUUACAUCAAAGUAUUUCUGGUCUGUAUCAUGCAUCAAUGAGUUCUGAAGAGUGAUUUUAUUCUUUUGUGUUGUGGGUAUAGCUUGACAUGGCAAAGUCAAAAAAGAGCAAGGAAAAUAAUAUAGGAGGGAGUGUUGUUACUCGUCGGGUGAAACGGAAAAGGCUCUGCCGUCGAGAUUCUGCUGGAACUUAUAGUGCAGUAGAAGGUCCAAGUCCACCGGCUAAAUCUGCAAACACAGUAUCACCUGCUCCACCAGCUGGAACAUCCUCUUCAACUGUACUAGCAUCUCAACCAGUUACUCAUUCGUUUGCUCUGGAACUGGCCAGUUCCCAAGCUGCCUUCACACCUAACACUACUUCUGAAGCACUGUUGACACAAUAAGACUUGGCAAGAUCAGAGGAACCUCAUGAGCAUUAACACCAAGACGGUACCUGACCGAGUCAAGUUGCAGUUGCAUGCUCCUUUAUAUGUACUCUGACAGUUUAAUGUACACUAACACUUUCCAUAUUCGUUGUUGAACUAGCACCACAACGCAAGCGGAAACAAACAUCAGGGAUAAUGCUUGACAGAUUAACAAAAUCUAAAGGAGGAAGAAUGGAGAUCCAUUUUGAGGCAGGUUCAAAAAGGCCACGUGAUGCUACAGAGUCAGCCAAGUUAGUAUUAGAGGCAGCCGUUGCCGUUAGGUGUCAUGCGCAUAUCCUCCCAACAUGGAUCCUCCCAACACCUUCAUUGACCAUUUAUCUGUAAGUAAUGUUAUUCAUCGCAAUUAGUAAUAUUGUCUUGCUCUGUUCCAUACUUUCUAGCUUCCUCCUAAUAAGACUCACAUUCUUUUUCCAACAAAUAAGGUUCAAGUUGGAUCCGAAAGAUGAUGCAACUAAACAAGCAUGCACUCAUGUUUUUCAGUCUGCUCUGCGAUAGUAUGGGUACCACCUUAGAAAAUCUCACUUUGAAGGCAAGGCUAACAAUGAAAUCUCCCAAACAUCUCUAGUGGAAUAUAUUACAGAUGAAGACUGGACAUCCCUUGUUAAACACUGGUCUGAUCCAAAGUAUCAGGUAGGCUAUAUGUAUUUGAUCAGACCACAUAUUGAACUUGUAUUUAUGUAUGUGCCUUACAAGUGUAUCUUCUUCUAGGCUAACUGUUUGAAGAACAAAACCAACCGUUCUAAAGUGAAAUUCCAACAGACAACAGGAUCUCGUAGCUAUAUUGCACACUGCGAGGCUCUUGUAAAUAGCUUCUACUUCCUUCUUUUUUUUGUGCCAUAUUAUCGUAUCUAUAUUGACUUGUUCCAAAUACAGCAAAAAGCACGUGCGGACCAAAAAGAACCUAAACCGAAUGCAGUGCAAAUCUUCAAGGAUUGCCACACCAGCAAGAUGAAGGGCAUGAGCACACCAUUUCAAGCUGCUGUUGUAAGUCCUUACUCCUCCUGCCUUGAACUGAUUGGUAAUGUAAUGUGUUCAUUUAACUACUUGGUUUGCAGCCAAUGUCACUUACUCUGUUCACUUUUAUACAUAGUUGUCUUAACGUAUCAUUUCACCUUACAUGGUUUAAAAGAGAUGAAGGAUAUUCUUUUGGUCUUGAUCUGUAACCUAGUUGUUAUGUUCACGUGCGCACACAAUGAUAAAAUAGCCUGUUUGUUUUAUAUCUGUUUGCCCAUGAUAUGAAUGAUGUCAUACUAUGUUCAUCCUACUUUAAACCAUGUCUCUUUAUCCUUAGAUGUCAACGACUGUGAGGAAAUAGACAAUACAGUAGGCAUGCUACAUGGACAUAUGUUCCGAAAGUGAUUUUAUUAUGUAGUUGGCACUACAAUACAUGCUAAUGUAUUACAGUAGUUCACAAAAAUAAGUUAUGUAUAAACGUUUAACCUACUUUGUUUGUUUUUUGUCUCAUUAGUAACUCACUGGUACACUAAUCUACAAGUUCAAAAUUUCAGGAAGCUAUGGAACAAAUGAUUGAACAACCACAACCACCUGAAGGUGACGAGGCUACUACAGGCACAAUGUCACCUCUUGCUGCAGUGCGUCAGUAUCUCUCCACUAACAGUGAAAAAAGCACCUUCCUGCGUAAUUCUGGGUUGGUUGUCAAGGUAAUCUCGUCCAAAUAGCCUACUGAACAAAAUCUUCCUGCUAGACAGAGUGAUAUAUCUGUGCUCCAGACACAAGUCCAAUCCCUAAUGGAUGUUGUUUCAGAAACAAGAAUAGUGGUUGAGAAAUGCCCUCAAGAUAUGAAUGGUUUUGAAACCAGACUAUCAGACAUUCGCUUCGUUGUUGAAGAGCAAUGGCGGAAAAAGGUGGAGAUCGUGCUGCUCCAUCAGAUUCUACAGCCUGAAACAUUAGCACUCGGGUCAAAUGAUCUGUGCUUCUAUACAUCUGAUGGUGCUUUUAUCUAGAAGGACUAUAAACUUUAUGCCAACAUGCCUUUUGUUGUAUGAUUGGAAUUUAUUUUUUUGUGAUACAACAUUUAUGAUGCUGCCACAGGCUGCAGUAAUUAUGACGCUAUUUUUGUAUAGUGUAGGUUUAUCUUAGUAAUGUAUUCGGACGAAAGCUUUGUAGGAGCCCAACAUGCCAACAUUCGUCGGGCCCAUUCCAAUUGGGCUAAAAACGAUUACGGGUCGAAAUUGGCAUGUAGCCCACUAAAAAUAUCUGGGCUUAUAUUAGCAUAAGCUUUCAAAUUUUUCUGGUAGGCCUGUGCCCAUAGUGGGCCUUUAACAGACCUAAACAUAAUUUGGGCCCUCAGUAAAAGUAGGCCGUUUACAGGUGUAAAUAUGUCGAGCCCAUAAAAAACAUGGGCCUUUAAUAGACCGAAAGUGAGACUGGGCCCUGAUUGUGCCAAAUAACCCACUGGACUUAGGAGGCCGAAAUGGUGGCCCAUUUACGAUGCGGAUAUUUGACAGGCCGAAAUUUGGACGGGCCGUAAAUGCGCCGACCUAAUACACGGGUGUUUAAUAGGCCGGAACUUCGGUCGGGCUAGAUUAUCGUCAUUUUUAUAUGGGCCGUUAAUGGGCCCGAUAUGACGUUGGGCCACAUAUGGCCCAUGGUUUACGUCCGGCUUUAACAGGCCGAAAAUGACAACAGGCCGAAAGUGGGCCAAAUCUAUAGUGGGCCUCUAACAGACCGAAUGAUAGACAUGGCCGAAUAUGACCCAAAUCCUUCACAGUCGUUUAUGGGCCGAAAGUUUUGAUGGCCUGUAAAUGGGCCCAAACGAAGCCGGACCUUUAACAGGCUGGAAAUACACCGGGCCGUAAUUCGACCCAAUUACUUAGCGGACUGUUAACGGGCCAGAAGUGACCGUGGGCCGCAUUGAUGACAAGUUUAGACCAGGCCGUUGACGGGCCGAUUUGACACAGAAUUUUGGGCCUUUAGCUGGGUCAGCCCAUUAUGGUCUGCUGAAUCUUGUGGGCCUUUAGCUGGGCCGGCCCAUUGUGGUUAGCAAAAUCUUGUGGGCCUUUAGUUGGGCCGUCCCAUUAUGGUCCGCUAAAUUUUGUGGGCCUUUAGCUGGGCCGACCCAUUAUGGUCCGCUAAAUCUUAUGGGCCUUUGGUUGGGCCGGCUCAUUUAAACUUUAUGGGCCACUUUUGGGCCGGUCCAUGUGUCAACAUAUCAUAGGCCCAUCUCGACCAUUGGAUGAGUGACACCUAUGCCAACGCGGAGCUAACACGUGGAUCCGUCAGCCAAUGAGAAUUUUACACGUGGAAAUCGGCAUUGGUCAUGGCUGUUAACGGGUUAUCGGAUCCAAAAUCCGCCCCGAUAGCUUAAUGACAUUCCGUUACGGUGGAUGCCACGUGUCGGUCACCCUUGACGAAAGCACUUGUGUGACGCGCGAUUUAUCAUCAUGGAAGUGUACACUUCCGUGAUGAUAAUUUUGGUAAUGUCAUGGAACACUUCUAUGACAGCACAAGUAUGACUCUCUUGAUUCUGUCAUAAAUUUGUCAUGGAUGUACAUGCAUGACAAAAAACGCGACCUACUGUGACAAACACGUAUCAUCAUGGAAGUGUAUUUUUUUUGUAGUGUCUAUUCUCUGAGUCACUUGGGAUUUAUAUCUUCUGAUCACUAAGAAGAAGUUGAAAGAUCAAAGAACUAAAAUUUAUCCCUCAACUACGAGGGGAGGUAAGGAACUGCCAUCUAGCUCUGCACUAGAUUCUCCUUUUGUUAUGAAUAAGCUUGCGACACCUAAACCUGCUACUGCUAUGAAUUCUGAUAUGUCGCAUGUUAUUGAUGAUGCCACUUCUGCUAUGCAUGAUACUUAUGAUGAAACUACUUCUAUGCUUGAUACUACUGUGCCAUUAGGUGAAUUUCUUGAAACAACUUACUAAGGCUAGGGGAAUGAAAUUAUUGAAAAUGAAAUUAUUGAUGAAAGUGAUGAUGAAGGUUCUCCUCCUAAUUAUGAAUUGCAUGUUGUUCCUGAGGGUUAUGUUAUGGCUGAAGAAACUGCUAGAGAUUUUCUUGCUUGCAAUGAUAGAUUAGAUCUUAAGAAAUUGUUAGCUAAGCUGAAACAAAAAACUCUAAAUGCUAGAACGAAACAUGACCCUGCUUUUGCCACUUCACCUAUCUUUGUUACUGAUAAGGAUUAUGAAUUCUCUGUUGUUCCUGAGAUUAUUACUUUAGUUGAAUCCAAUCCUUUCGAUGGCACUGAAUCUGAAACUGUUGUGGCACAUCUCACCAAGUUAAAUGAUAUAGCCACCCUGUUUACUAAUGAUGAGAAGUCUCGCUAUUAUUAUAUCCUUAAGAUAUUUCUGUUCUGAUUAAAGGGUGAUGCUAAGACUUGGUUUAAUUCCCUUGAUCCUAGUUGUGUGUGUGGUCCCCAGGAUAUGAUUUAUUACUUCUCUGCUAAAUAUUUCCCUGCUCAUAAGAAACAAGCUGCCUUGCGGGAAAUAUAUAACUUUGUGCAAAUCGAAGAAGAGAGUCUCCCACAAGCUUGGGGGAGGCUUCUCUGAUUACUUAAUGCUUUGCCUGAUCAUCCUCUUAGGAAAAAUGAAAUACUUGAUAUCUUUUAUAAUGGACUAACCGAUGCUUCCAAGGACUACUUGGAUAGUUGUGAUUGUUGUGUUUUCAGGGAAAGAAUAGUUGACCAAGCUGAAUUACUAUUGAAUAAUAUGUUGACUAAUGAAAAUAAUUGGACUCUUCCUGAGCCAAUUCCUGAGGCAAUUCCUGAACCAAUUGAUCCAACUCCUGAGCCUAUUCCUAAACCUACUCCGAAGAAGAGAGGUGUUCUAUUUCUCAGUCCUGAAGAUAUGCAAGAGGCAAAGAAAUCAAUGAAAGAAAAAGGUAUUAAAGCUGAAGACAUUAAGAAUUUACCUCCUAUUGAAGAAAUACAUGGUCUUAAUAUACCACCUGUUGAAGAAACACAUUGUCUCGAUAACCCGACAUAGGUAGUGAAGGUAAAUUCUCUCUAUAGAUAUGAUAAAGUUGAAAGUCCCUCUACUAAAUUUCAUAGCCCAUGCUUAGAUGAAUUUGAUGACUUUAUGGAUAAACAAGCAAAUUUCAAUGAUUAUGUUAGUAGAGAAUUGAAAAAUAAUGGUUAUAUGAUAGGACGCUUGAGUGAUUAUAUGUCUAGAGUUAAGGGUGAACUUAAACUCACUAGUAAACAUGCUUCUAUGGUUGCCACUCAAGCUAAACAAGUACUUAAGGCUCAGAAUGAAUUGCUAGAUGAACUAAAUAAUAAACAUGACUUUGCUGUUAGAGUGGCUACUAGAACUGGUAAAAUGACUCAGGAACCUUUGUAUCCUGAAGGCCACCAUAAGAGAAUUGAACAAGAUUCUGAGAAUAAUAAUCUAGAUGCUCCUAGUUCUUCUAAGAAAAAGAAAAAGAAAAAUUAUAGGACUUUGCAUGCUUCUAGUGAACCUAAUGUAGAAACACCUGAGAAUCCUAAUAAUACUUCUAUCUCUGAUGCUGAAACACAAUCCGGAGAUUAACAUGAAUCUAAUGAUAAUGCUAAUAAUGAUGUUCAUGUUGAUGCUCAACCUAGUAAUAACAAUGAUAUAGAAAUUGAACCUGCUAUUGGUCUUGAUAACCCACAAUCAAGAAACCAACAUUAUGAUAAGAGAGAUUUUGUUGCUAGGAAGCAUGGUAGAGAAAGAGAACCAUGGGUUCAGAAACCCAUGUCUUUUCCUCCUAAACCAUCCAAGACAAAGGAUGAUGAGGACUUUGAGAAUUUUGCUGAAAUGAUUAGACCUAUUUUCUUACGCAUGCGCUUAACUGGUAUUCUUAAAACAAACCCUUAUGCUAAAUAUAUGAAAGAUAUCAUUACAAAUAAAAGGAAAAUACCUGAAGCUGAGAUUUCUACCAUGCUCGCUAACUAUACCUUUAAGGGUGGAAUACCUAAGAAACUUGGUGAUCCCGGAGUACCCACUAUACCAUGCUCCAUAAAAAGAAAUUAUGUUAAAACUUCUUUAUGUGAUUUAGGAGCCGGUGUUACUGUUAUGCCUCUUUCCUUGUACCGUAGACAUGAAUUAAGUAAGUUGACACCCACUGAGAUAUCCUUGCAAAUGGCUGAUAAAUCAACUGCUAUACCUGUCGGUAUUUUUCAUGACGUGCCUGUUGUUGUUGCGAAUGUUACUAUCUUAAUAGACUUCGUCAUUCUUGAUAUUCCCGAGGACGAUAGUAUGUCUAUUAUCCUUGGUAGACCCUUUUUAAAUACUGCAGGAGCUGUUAAUGAUUGCAACAAAGGCAAUGUCAUCUUUCAUGUUAGUGGAAAUGAGCACACGGUACAUUUUCCAAGAAAACAACCUCAAGUUCACAGCAUAAAUUCUAUUGGGAAAAUUCUAUUAAUCAUUAUUGGAGGUUUUGAAUUUCCUCUCCCUACUGUCAAGAAAAAGUAUGAUAUUCUUAUUGUUGGGGAUGUCCAUAUCCCCGUUGAGGUAACCUAGUGUCACAUCGAAAUUUCUCCGGUUCCGUGUUAUUCGGAAUGAGUUUGUUAACAAGACUUGAUCAACCUUGUUAGUGGAUUCAUUUUGAUGAUCUUGAGAUGGAUGAAACUAGAAGGCACAACCUUCUGUACCCUCUUUUUACUUUCUGUUAUUUAAAAUAAAUAAAGCAAAAAUAGUAUUAUCUGUCUGUUUUUUGAAUUGUCCAUGCAAUAAAAUAAUAUCCCAAAACUAAAAGUGCUCCAAAUGCCCUGCAAAUUUAGUAUGAUUUUUUAUGGAAUAUUUGAGGAUUUUAGGCACUGAAAUCACUUCAGGAGGGGCAAGCACCAGGCCACGAGAGUGGAGGGCGCGCCCACACCCCCUGGGCGCCCCCCUGUCUCGUGGGCCCCUCGUGGAACCCCUCCACUUUUGUCAGCACCCACACACUCCAUCUUCUUCCCAAAAAAAUCCCCAUCCAGCUCAAGCACGAGUUCUAGCUCAUUUUGCUGCGAUUUUCGAUCUCCUUGCUCAAAGCUCCAUUCACAAAACUGCUUUGGGAGAUUGUUGCUUGGUAUGUGACUCCUCCAUUGGUCCAAUUAGUUUUUGUUCUAGUGCUUUAUUCAUUGCAAAUCCUUACUGUCUUGGUGACCCUGUUCUUGAGCUUGCAUGUUAAAUUUAUGAGGUCCCAAGUAAUUCUAAUGCAUGAUAUAGGCUCUAGGCACUUGUAGGAGUAGUUGCUUUCAAUCUUGUUUAGUUUUAUUCACUUUUAUUUUGAAGUUACUAAAAUUUCAGAAAUUUCUCAGAAAAAGAAUUAUGUCUAGGAGAAUGUACCAAGGUGGUUCCUCAGUAAAUAAAGGACCCAGGAUUGCUAUACGUGAGCAAGACGGUGAACUACCGAGGGGUGCAGAAGUACGAGCUUGUGAGUGGCCAUCAGACGAUUUUAUGGUCGAAGCAGGCUUUAAGGAGGAAUUUGACGCGUAUGUGCGUAAUGCCGAUCUGGAGGACUUCUUACAAGAUAAGUGUCCUUAGUAUUAUCAAUUGACUGAUUCAUUUGUGCGAAGGUUAAAAUAUAAAUGUAUACGUAAUUCUCCGAGUGUCCUAUUUGAUAUCUAUGAUACAUCUUAUACCAUGGACUUAAGGGAUUUUACCACUGCUUUCAAACUUCCACAAUGGGGCAAUAUUAAUGAUCCCCACAAAUCUGAAUUUAGAGAUUUCCUUGCUAGUAUUACUAUGGGAGAAUCUACGGAUAUUGCACAAGCUACCAUAGGGAGCAUUCAUUUUCCUGCUAUACAUUAUUUUGCUCUCCUCAUUGGUAGAUUCAUUGAUGCUAAAGAUGAAGCAUGUCAUAUGUGUCUACCUGAUCUUUGUGUCCUCAAGAGUGCUGUGUUAGGUUAUAAAGAUUAUAACUUGGGGGCAAUAGUUGCACGUAGGUUGCAUAAAAAUGGUAGAGCUGGAGAUUUAUUUGAAGGAAUUUAUGCGACCCGUGUGGCAAAUUAUCUUUGUAUAGCCCCACGAGAGGGGGAUAUGAUGUGAGCUCCUGCUUCUUUAGAUUAUGACGCUAUGGCCCAACAUCAUUUUCUUAAGAGGAAUGAAUAAUUCCUCCAGUAUCGACUAAUCUUUGACAAACAUAGCGCUAUCCAUGUUACUCUUCUUGCUCAUUUCCUUUUUGAUUACCAGGCAAAAGGAAGAUAUGUUGUUACCAGGGAGGAAGCAGCUGAACACGAGGGGAGAGCGGAGGCGGCUCGCCAACAUGCCGCAGCUCAGGAGGCAUUUGCUGCUGCAUCUCAGUAUGAACCCAGUUACAACUACGAAUAUCAGCCAGGCUACCCUUGGCAUUAGACCAACUUAGGCCAAAAACCUAAGCUUGGGGUGGUACGUAUUUCUCACCGACUUUACAUUCAUGUUCACACACUAUUCUAGUCGUCGGUGCUCAUACACUUUCAUUGUAUAUUCCAUGCUAGUUUAAUUUUCUUUUCCUGGUUUUCUUCUUGUGUGUUUGAUAAACCUAAAGAAAAACCAAAAAAAUUAGUUAGUUUAAUUUCCAUGCUUAUAGUAGAAAUAAAAAUGAAAACCCGAAAAUAUUUCUCGUUCUUCUUUUACUUGUUGGGAGCUUUCCCGUGUAAAUAGUUUUAUUUUCUUUUCUUUCCUUUGGGGGUCGAGAGUAGAAGACCAUAUUGAAAUUGUUUAGUGGCUCUCAUAUGCAUGAUUGUUAAUUUAACUUAGAGCCCAUAUUACUUUGUCUUCUCUCUUGAGUUGAAUGCUUGCAGAUUCCAGCUUAGUCCAAUGCACGUGCACUAUUAUUAUAUGACACAUCGUUCGUUCGUGCAAGUGAAAGGCAAUAAUGACGAUAUAUGAUGGACUGAUUGAGAUGAGAUAAGUUGGUAUGAACUCGACCUCUCUUGUUUUUGUAAAUAUGAUGAGUUCAUCGUUCCUGAUUCAGAUUAUUAUGAAGUAAACAUAUUUGCAAUGACAUUUGGAGAUUAUAGUUGCUUGUGCCAUGCUUGAUUAGUAUGAGUUAUAAUGGUCUACCUUGCGUGCCAACAUGCUAUUGAAAUGAUUAUGAUGUGGUAUAAUGGGAUGGUAUCCUCCUUUGAAUGAAUUGAGUGACUCGACUUGGCACAUGUUCACGCAUGUAGUUGAAACAAACCAACAUAGCUGUCGGUGUCAAAACCGGCGGAUCUCGGGUAGGGGGUCCCGAACUGUGCGUCUAGGCGGAUGGUAACAGGAGACGAGGGACACGAUGUUUUUACCCAGGUUCGGGCCCUCUUGAUGGAGGUAAAACCCUACGUCCUGCUUGAUUAAUAUUGAUGAUGUGGGUUACAAGAGUAGAUCUACCACGAGAUCAAGGAGGCUAAACCCUAGAAGCUAGCCUAUGGUAUGAUUGUUGUUCGUCCUAUGGACUAAAGCCAUCCAGUUUAUAUAGACACCGGAGAGGGCUAGGGUUACACAGAGUCGGUUACAAAGGUAGGAGAUCUACAUAUCCGUAUCGCCAAGCUUGCCUUCCAUGCCAAGGAAAGUCCCAUCCGGACACGGGAUGAAGUCUUAAAUCUUGUAUCUUCAUAGUCUUGGAGUCUGGCCGAUGAUGAUAGUCCCUGAACCAGGCUUCAAUGAUGACAAGUCCGGUGCGCAUAUUGUCUUCGGCAUUGCAAGGCGGUUUCCUCCUCCGAAUAAUUUAUAGAAGAUCGUGAACACCAGGAUAGUGUCCGGCUCUGCAAAAUAAAUUCCACAUACCACCGUAGAGAGAAUAAUAUUCACACAAGUUCAAUCUGCUGACGUAUUCCGUGGCAUGACGUCACACCACAACCAAGCCUUCAAAUUGUUUUUAUUGUACCACUUCAGCGCGUUUAGCGAAGCAGUUUCCUUGGCACGUCCUGUCGAAGCAAAGAUCGUGUUCCCCUUAUUCCGGGAUUCCCAUCAAUACAGAGGUGGGUAACCCAACCGCGCCCGUUGCCACGCCCCCUCCAUCGAAGGCGGGUUCCAAACGGUCACAGGGACGGCUCUUGGUAUUCUUCCUCUUUAUAAUGAGACCAAGGCCCGUUCUUUUUAUUCAAUCUUCUAUCGAAUCCGCCCCUCUCCCUGAGUUCCAACACCCAGGGCUCUGAAUUUAGGUACCUUCGAUCCUUGACAAUGUCCGGUCCUGAUCUACGAGGCCAGUGGGUGCCCUCCUCCGUCACGGAGGAGGACGUGCUAAAGCUGAGAGUUGCCCGGUAUUUAACUUACGAGAUUUCGCAUAGGCUGCCUGCCCGAGGGCAAGUUAUCCCAACUCCCGAGCCCGGCGAGAUCGUCGUGUUCAUGUCCCACUUCCGUUGGGGUUUAGGCUUCCCGAUGGAUCCCUUCAUGAGGGGGCUCAUGUUUUACUAUGGGCUAGAAUUCCACGACCUGGCUCCGGAGUCCAUCCUCCAUAUCUCAUCAUUCAUUGUCGUUUGUGAAGCCUUCCGCCGCACUACCCCUCACUUUGGCUUAUGGCUCAAAACCUUCAACGUGGAGCCGAAGAUGAUUGAGGGGCGUCAGGCAGAGUGCGCCGGGGCGGUUAAAAGCAAGAGGGCUGAAGCUCCAUGGCCCAAGGGCUCUUUCCAAGAGGAGCUCGGCUUGUGGAAACAAGAGUGGUUUUAUAUCACCGCUCCUCGGGGCAGCAGGCAGAAGCCGCCGCCCGUCUUUUGCUCGGGCCCUCCACAGCAGCUGACGUCAUGGGUCAACAAGGGGCGUGACUGGGGGUCGCCCAAAGACGUCCCCCUGUUGCAGGACCGGAUUUGAGUCCUCCAAGAAAGGGAGAUCAAUCUGGUCGCAGUGGUGCAGGUCAUUUUUAUCCGGUGCCUACUGCCCUGCAAACGUCGCCCCCUCCUCCUAUGGGAAUUUAAUUCGGAGGGGCCACGAGCUCUUCAACACUUCAUGGGUUUGGCUCCCAUGGAGAUGUAUAAACUAUUCUUUGGAUCGCAAGAGGUGCAUCCGGAAUUGACCGAGGAUGCUGGCCUAAGCUGCAAUCGCCCGGAUACUCAAGUAAGUAGCCCUGUGUCCGGACACACCAUCCAUUUAUUUAUCGUGAGCUUGCCUUUUAACCAGCUAUCCCUGGACAGGAGUGGAUAGCGCAAGCAAAACUGAUACGGUGUCCGGCCCCCCUCCCUGAGACCACGCAGGAUCCCGUGUUAAUUAAAAUGUUGGAGGUUGCACCUUCAAAUGAGGGCGAAGGGGGGCACGGGGAAACUGUCACCUCUGCCAAGGAGGCGUUUAAUAAGGGAGGAAUCGAGAGUCCCUCCUUCCAGGGGGAGAAGCGGAACGCUUCCGAAGACACGGAGGCCAAGGCCUCAAAGCGGGGAAAGAAAUCGGUACCGGAAGGUCCUGCGCCAGAAAGCGCCCCGGCCGUACUGUCUCCUUGGACGAAUCAGCCCUCUAACGAGCCAUAAGUAAAAAGGGGGAUUUUAUAAUUAUUAGACACCCCUGCUUAAUGUCUAAAGGUAACCGAAGUUUUUACCUUGUAGUUCGGAUCUCAGCCCAUCUCAGCACAACUCAUCUUCGGGAGACCUUCGUCUGGAGAUGAUGGAGACUGAAACGCCUCCAUCUGCCACCCCAUCGCAUGGGGCGGACGACCCUGAGGUGUCGUCGUGGAGGGUCUCCCCGAGUCCAGCGGGGCCGGAGAGUUCAGCACCCAUUGGAGUACGGCCGAUGGAGCUGUAGGAUUUGCUUAAUAGGCGUCCAUCUCAGAAGAUCACCGCACAUUAAUGGGUAAUGUGAUUGAAAGGAUCUUGUCCGCCGAAAGCGGGUUGUAUGAGGCCGUCGGAAGUUUACUGACGGGAUUUGAGGUAUUGACAGUUUUGCACAUGAAGUGCGCCCUGUAUAGUAGCCCCUGAGACUUGGUAUGCUGUUGAAAACGGCAGCGUGCCUAGGAUCAUAAUCUCAGAUAUUAACUGUCGCCUUUCCUAUGUAGGCGGCGGAACGUUCGGUGGCCAGCCGGACGGAUGGAUUCGCCGAGCUGAAGAAGAAACUCGACGCUGCAGAUGCGGACAUCUCGCUGGUCAAUAAACGACUUGAUGAGUCACAAGGUAUGUGAUUGCGCCGCGGUCGCUUAGUAAGAGAGCUGAUUCCCAUUCCUUACAAGUUGUAUGCUUGAUGCAGAUGGUGCUGCUGCUGUGGAAGACCUUCGAGCGGAACUUGCUGGGGCAAGGAGCAGGGCAGAAAAAGCGAGGCGGCUGCCUUGAAGGCAGCAGAAGAGCUAGAAGCCGAGAAGGCUGCUCACUGCCGAAGCAGGGAGGAGAUGGCCGGAAUGGCCAUCAAAUUAAAAGUUGCUACCGACCGCCUGGAGGUUCUUGAAGGAGAAUGCCGAGCGGAGCAAGAGGACCUGAAGAAGGCCGAUGCCGAAGCCAAGGAUGCCCGUAGUGCGAUGCGGGCUAUGAAGGAGGAACUGCGUCAGGUCAGAGACAUUGUAGCUGGAAAGCCCUUUAUGCUGCGUAGGAAGUUCCCGGAUCCGAAGUAUGCUCAACUGGGCCGAUUGUAUGGUGCGGAGGAUCCUUAUCUGGACUUGGCGGCGAGUGCGGCUGACGCAGUCGUGCACUUUCGAAGCCAGGAGGAUCAUGAAAUGGAAGGGCUUUUCUGGUCUCAAUUCCAUAGUCCGGAGCGUCCACUUCCGUUGAGUGAUCGGUUGGUUGAGUGGGCUGAGCUGAAUAGAUUGUCUGGACUGGCCAUGAUGGAUGUGGUAACUCAUCUGUGGCCGAAAAUCCCCAAGCCAAAGAGUUAUUUUGGCUUGUUGCAGCAAUUCCUUGGGGCAGUGCCGCAUAUUAAGGCGAUGAAGCGGUUGGCAUGCAUAGAAGGUGCACGGAUGGCUCUCGCCUGUGGUAAAACAUACUAGGCGGAGAUGGAUGCCACCGCUGUUGCAUCCCGGGGUUCGGACAAAAGCCGAUUCCCCACCGAGCAUUACUUUGAGGAAGUCCUGCAGGGCGCUCGUAUAAUAGAGUCGCAGUGCUCGAAAGAUGUUAUGUUUGAAUGACAUGUAUGAUUUCUAAGAUCAUGUUUAUAAUGCAAUGACUUUUUAUACUUGUGUGUUCAAGUAUUGAACUAUCUCCUGUGCAGCCGUAUAUGUAUGUAUAAUCUGAAAGAUGGCAGUCUUUGGCUUUAGCCCCCACGCACAUGGUGCGGGGGUGUUUGCAAAAAGAAAAACGCUUUUUCACACUUAAUCCAAAGUCUUGGUCCUUUUAAGGAGGUGAUAGCAUGGCAAACUAGGCAACCGGACUAUAAUGCUUUAUCACUUUCACUUAGCCAUAGGAGCUCGAAUGUGGGGUUACUCUAUAGCCCCUGAUGGCACCGCGCUUCUCCGAACUUGGGGCUCGUAUGUGCCUGACCGGGAAGCGGUCCUUCUUCAAAGCGGAGGAAUUCUAAACAUUCCAAUGGUCGAUCGAGUGGUUGACCAGUCUCUCGCUAUAUCAUGACAGUCAGUUUUCGGCUUUCUCUACUGAGGUGCUCUCCCGGCCGAACCGGGGCACAAUCGCAGUAGUUCUCCUGGUGCCGCGUUAGCCGAUGAUACGGAACGGAAGGUAGCAAAACACAGGAGUCGGGCAAACCCAACAUUUGACCAAAGACAUGAUUCGGAGCUGAUGCAUAUAAGGCCUAACUGGAGACGCCGAACACUCCCUAAGGUGUUCAGUCUUUAUGAUAUCGAGCAGAAUAAAGCCCUAAGCCCCUAGUGUCCAGGUAUAGGCGGGAACUUCUGACGCGGCCGAUGCCAAAAUGCCAGCCUCCUCCUCGGCUCUGGUGGGAAACCGGGGGAUGUGUAUCAACAAGAGGCGGUGAGAAAGGUUUACGCAGGGUCUUAAUCUGAAAAGAAUCCUUGCAACGGGUCCCUACUGCACGUCUGCGCCUGUGUCUCCGUUGUGCUGUAUCCUGGAUGGGUGUAGCACGUGCUUCAUCUGUAAAAGAGAAGGACUUAGUUUCUAAGAAAUACCAUGCAAAAAGUGUAUCAAAAUAAAGUAUAAUUUGGAAGAUGAAGAAAGUUGAGCUUUAUUGUCUUUCAUCAUUUAUACGUGCGGCCCCCUAAAAAAAGAGGGUAUGCGGAUGGGAAGCCCCUUGCCGGACUCGUCUAUCCAUGUCCAAGGUCUAAAUGACCUGUUUUUAGGGGCUUUGACCUACAAGAUCGGCAUAAUGUGUGGCUGUCUAGGUAGCCGCACAUUCUCCGUGGUCGAGAGACACCUGGAGUUUUAAGAAUAUGCCACGUGGACCGGGCAUUUUUAAGCGUAAGAGAUGUGUAAUGCGGUAUUGCAUGAAAGCACGCGAAAGCUACACGCCCCAGUAGUGCUUAAGGGCUACUACUAAAUGGGGCGAUGGAGGUUGAGCUUUUCGCGACGGAGGUUGUCGGAUGAACCGAAUACGACCCCUAGUGGUACAGAGCCUAUAAAAUUGGCUAAAAAGGCCUAGCGUCACUCCUUUUAAGGAAGUGCUGCUAUAACGAAUUUUGGUGGGUUCUAUCCCCUGUCUGCGGACGGUGUCCUGAUAUAGCAGGGGCCGCGCUGUGUGUUAUCACGUGAACUGAGUUCACUGUUUUGACUUCUAAUGGGAAAGUCUUUUGUUUUCCGGAGCGCUGCUUUUGGGUUUCGUCACUAUCACUUGGUGUGUCGAGCCCUUUGUGUUCGGCGUUAAGUCGGCCGGACUGCUUGAAGACCCAACAAUCUCUGUGGGUAUGGUUUGCAGGCUUCCCGGAGGUACUGUGUAUUUGACACAGUCUAUCCAGAAUCUUGUUGAGGUUGGAUAACUCGUCACUGUUAUCCUUUAAGGGCAGUGUUUUGUUGUUCGGCCGAAAGCUUUUGAAUCCGGCGUUGACCGCCGUACUAUUUGGGCCAUUCUCCUUAUUCCGGCGCUGAUCUUUUUUGUGUCGUGAUUUUCCAUUUCCAUCCCUGAUUUCGGAUGUACUCGGGUCGCUGGUGCUGCAUCUAGCCAACCAGUUGUCUUCCCCCGCGCAAAAGCGGGUCAUGAGACUUGUUAGUGCGGCCAUGGUUCUUGGUUUUUCCUGGCCGAGGUGUCUGGCGAGCCAUUCUUCUUGGACGUUGUGUUUGAAGGCUGCCAAGGCUUCAGCGUCCGGACAGUCGACUAUUUGGUUCUUUUUAGUGAGGAACCUGUUCUAGAAUUUGCGUGCUGAUUCUCCGGGCUAUUGAGUUAUGUGACUUAAAUCAUCUGCAUCCGGAGGCCGGACAUAAGUCCCCUGAAAAUUUGCUCGAAACGCAUCCUCAAGCUCUUCCCAACUCCCAAUCGUAUUUUCUGGGAGGCUUUUAAGCCAAUGCCGGGCCGGCCCUUUGAGCUUGAGGGGAAGGUAUUUUAUGGCAUGGAGAUCGUCUCCUCUUGCCAUGUGUAUGUGUAGGAUAUAAUCCUCAAUCCAGACUCCGGGGUCUAUUGUUCCGUCGUAUGCCUCUAUGUUUAUGGGUUUAAAUCCCGCUGGAAAUCCAUGAUCCAGUACCUCGUCGGUAAAACAUAGUGGGUGUGCGGCGCCCCUGUAUUUGGGUGUGCUGUUGUCUUCAAAUGCUCGGCUGGUUGUGUUACUUCCUCGAGUCUUCUUUUUUGGCCCAUAGAUAGAUCUGGCCGGGUUAUCCUUUUUCUAAAGAUCUUUAUGCUGAUCAUGUGUCGGCUUGUGUGUGGCGCCCCGUGUUGCUCUAGGCCUGUCAUCUGGUCAUCUAUCCGGCCAGGCGGCCCCUUUCUUUUUUGACUGCGGGGGCUCAAAGGCCUCCUCGUCAAAUUCGGGCAACAACUUGCGCUUCGGGUAGCUCUUUGUCUGGUGACUAGUGCCAUAUUUAUCUGCGGUGUUGAGUACUUUGCUCCAUCUUAUUCUGGGUGUGUCUUCCGCUGUUUUGAGCUUCCGCUUUUGCUUCUUCAAACUUCUUGCAGUGGCGACGAGCCUGUUAUGGAGAUUCGUAUGCUCUGGUGAUGUGAGAUCAUCUUCGCCGGGGAUGGGUUGCUUGUCCGGUUCAUGUCCGGCUGGCUGCUUGUUGACGUGUGCGUCGUCCACUGCUUCGCCCUGCUCUAGGGCCGGGUCCAUAUGGGUACCGUUUUUGUCGAUGCCGGUCUUCGGGCGGCGCUUGCGUCGCCGCUUUGUUUGUUUGUUGGGGGAGUUGUCCUUCGCCACAUCCCGUUUUUCCUCAUUGUCGCUUCCUUUUGGUGUGUCCACCAUGCAUACAUUGUGGGAUGGGGUGGCUUUCCUGCGCCCGUUAGGCGCUGGUUCUUGGUCGUCUCCAGCAUCGUCGUCCAUACCGUCAAUGUCCUCAGAGUCGUAAUCUAGCCUGUCGGUUAGGUCGUCGACAGUGGCUACCAAGUGGGUGGUGGGUGGGCUCUGAAUUUCUUCGCCGUCCGCAUCCCAACCGUCCUGGCCGCAGUCCGGCCAGGCCUCUCCUGAUAACGAGAGGUACUUUAGCGAACUCAAGAUGUGACCAAAAGGUGAGUGUUGAAAGGUGUCCGCCGCGGUGAACUCCAUGAUCGGUGCCAAUCGGAUUCGACUGGAGGGGGCGCGGGAGGUCCGGAGUCUGAUAAGGAGUCCGGCACCUCGGAGUCACGAGCUUCAUGGGGGACAAGAUCGUUGUUCGGCUCUAUCACCGUAGAGGUUGCAGCCCCCGAGGUGGUGUCUAGCCAUCCAUCCUUGGUCUGCGCAGCCGGCUCCGAGUCGAAGAUCAGAGCGGGUUCGAGUGCGGCCUCCAGGGUACUGUCCGGCUGCAGAGCUAAAUCAUGCCCAUCAUGAUAGUACGGCACGCUCGGCUGUGGCUCGAAUCCAUCGAGGAUCAAGUCCCCGCGGAUGUCAGCCGUGAAGUUCAAACUUCCAAGUCUGACCUGACGGCCAGGGGCGUAGCCUUCGAUCUGCUCCAGCUGGCCAAACGAAUUGGCCCGCAGUGUGAAGCCGCCGAAUACGAAGAUCUAUCCGGGGAGGAAGGUCUCACCCUGGACUGCAUCAUCGUUGAUGAUCGAAGAUGCCAUCGAGCCUAUCGGUGACGACACAGAGGACCUCUCAAUGAAAGCACCAAUGUCGGUGUAAAACCGGCGGAUCUCGGGUAGGGGGUCCCGAACUGUGCGUCUAGGCGGAUGGUAACAGGAGACGAGGGACAUGAUGUUUUUACCCAGGUUCGGGCCCUCUUGAUGGAGGUAAAACCCUACGUCCUGCUUGAUUAAUAUUGAUGAUGUGGGUUACAAGAGUAGAUCUACCACGAGAUCAAGGAGGCUAAACCCUAGAAGCUGGCCUAUGUUAUGAUUGUUGUUCGUCCUAUGGACUAAAGCCAUCCGAUUUAUAUAGACACCGGAGAGGGCUAGGGUUACACAGGGUCGGUUACGAAGGUAGGAGAUCUACAUAUCCGUAUCGCCAAGCUUUCCUUCCACGCCAAGGAAAGUCCCAUCCGGACACGGGACGAAGUCUUCAAUCUUGUAUCUUCAUAGUCUUGGAGUCCGGCCGAUGAUGAUAGUUCGGCUAUCCGGACACCCCCUAGUCCGGAACUCCCUCAAUAGCCUUCAUGAUAUUUAUGUUCAUGGUGGAUUAUAUCCUACUCAUGCUUGCACUUAGUGUAAAUUAAUUUUAAUGCAUGUUUAUGACUGUUGUUGCUCUCUCAGUUGGUCGCUUCCCAGUCUUUUCCUAGCCUUCACCUGUACUAAGCGGGAAUACUGCUUGUGCAUCCAAACUCCUUAAAACCCAAAGUUAUUACAUAUGAGUCCACCAUACCUUCCUAUAUGCGAUAUCUACAUGCCAUUCCAAGUAAAUUUGUAUGUGCCAAACUCCAAACCUUCAGAUGAAAUUCUGUUUUGUAUGCUCGAGCAGCUCAUGUUUCAACUUGGGCUGCCUAUAUCUUCCAUUCUAGGUGGGUUAUUAUCAAGAGGAGUGGACUCCGCUCCUCAUUCAUGAGAAAGGGCCGGUAAUCGGGAUGCCCAGUCCCAUGAUCCAAAAAGAUCAUGGCAAAUCAACAUAAUUAAACAAAACUCCCCCAGGCCUGUUGUUAGUUGGAGGCACUUGUUGUUUCGAGCAAGCCAUGGAUUGAUGCUUGUUGGUGGUGGGGGAGUAUAAACUUUUACCAUUCUGUUUGGGAACUGGCUAUAAUGCAUGUAGUAUGGAAGAUACAUCCAUCUCAUAGUUACUGCGUUGGGAGUGAAAGUAUGCCGCUUAAAAUGUUAUUCAAUCUCUAUGUUAAAAUCGAGCUCUAGCACCUCUACAAAUCCCCGCUUACCUCUAUGAAGGGCCUAUCUAUUUACUUUUAUGCUGAGUCAUCACUUUCUUAUUAAAAAGCACCCGCUGGAGAGCACACUAUCAUUUGCAUUCAUUACUAUUGGUUUAUAUUGGGUAUGACUUGACUGGAUCUCUUUUACCAUCAAUUACAAUGUUUAGUGAGUCCUUGAACUUUAAAGGUGCUCUGCAUUUAUGUUUUGCGGUCUCAGAAAGGGCUAGCGAGAUACCAUUUUGUUAUAUCCUGUUAUGAUUGUUUUGAGAAAUCGUUGUCAUCUGAGUUUUAUUAUUAUGGCUUGCUAGCUGAUAAUGCCAUCAAUAUGAGUAAUUGUGAGACCAAGGUGUUAUUGUGAGUAUGGUUAGUUCAUAAUAUUUGCUGAAACUUGAAUGCUGGCUUUGCUUGUUUACAACAACAUGAGCAAAUAGAGUUUGUAAAAGGUUUUCUUUAUCACUUUCAGUUUAUCAACUGAAUUCCUUGAGGACAAGCAAAGGUUUAAGCUUGGCGGAGUUGAUACGUCUCCAACGUAUCUACUUUUCCAAACACUUUUGCCCUUGGUUUUGACUCUAACUUGCAAGAUUUGAAUGAAACUAACCCGGACUGACGCUGUUUUCAGCAGAACUGCCAUGAUGUUGUUUUAUGUGUAGAAAACAAAAUUUCUCAGAAUGACCUAAAAAUCCUUGGAGAUAAGUUUCAGAAAAUAUAAAAAAUACUGGCAAAAGCUGAGGGGUGAGGGGCACGCCCAUCCCCUCUGGGCGCGCCCCCCUAUCUUGUGGGCCCCCUACUGCUCCGCCGACCUCAACUCCAACUCCAUAUAUUCCGUUUCACGGAGAGAAAAAUCAGAGAGGAAGUUUCAUCACGUUUUAUGAUACGGAGCCGCCGCCAAGCCCUAAUCUCUCUCGGGAGGGCUGAUCUAGAGUCCGUUCGGGGCUCCGAAGAGGGGGAUUCGUCGUCGUUGUCAUCAUCAACCAUCCUCCAUCACCAAUUUCAUGAUACUCACCGCCGUGCGUGAGUAAUUCCAUUGUAGGCUUGCUGGACAGUGAUAGGUUGGAUGAGAUUUACCAUGUAAUCAAGUUAGUUUUGUUAGGGUUUGAUCCCUAGUAUCCACUAUGUUCUGAGAUUGAUGUUGCUAUGACUUUGCUAUGCUUAAUGCUUGUCACUAGGGCCCGAGUGCCAUGAUUUCAGAUCUGAACCUAUUAUGUUUUCAUGAAUAUAUGUGUGUUCUUGAUGCUAUCUUGCAAGUCUAUAGUCACCUAUUAUGUGUUAUGAUCCGACAACCCCGAAGUGACAAUAAUCGGAAUACUUCUCGGUGAUGACCGUAGUUUGAGUUCAUGUAUUCACUAUGUGUUAAUGCUUUGGUCCGGUACUCUAUUAAAAGGAGGCCUUAAUAUCCCUUAGUUUCCGCAAGGACCCCGCUGCCACGGGAGGGUAGGACAAAAGAUGUCAUGCAAGUUCUUUUCCAUAAGCACGUAUGACUAUACUCGGAAUACAUGCCUACAUUACAUUGAUGAACUGGAGCUAGUUCCAUGUCACCCUAUGUUAUAGCUAUUACAUGAGGAAUCACAUCCGACAUAAUUAUCCAUCACUGAUCCAAUGCCUACGAGCUUUUCAUAUACUGUGCUUAGCUUAUUUACUUUUCCGUUGCUACUGUUACAAUUACUACAAUACUGCUAUCAUUAAUAUCUUUACCUUUACCACUGUUACCAUUACUAUCAUACUACUUUGCUACUAAAUACUUUGUUGCAGAUACUAAGUUAUCCAGGUGUGGUUGAAUUGACAACUCAACUGCUAAUACUUAAGAAUAUUCUUUGGAUCCCCUUGUGUCGAAUCAAUAAAGUUGGGUUGAAUACUCUACCCUCAAAAGCUGUUGCGAUCCCCUACACUUGUGGGUUAUCAUAGACAGACAAUCCAAUCGACUAAAUGAAUUCUGGUCGAACGGACUUACCGGCUCGGGAAAUGGCCGCAUCGUCGGUCUCCUCGUCUCCUGGGGCCUUGUCUAUGUCCAUGUCAGUGGCAGCAGAGGUGGGGCUAGAAAGAUACAUGAUCCAGUUGGUUAGAACAAAAACUUCAGUCGCCUAGAUAAAUGCAAGCAAGAUACUCACCUCGAAGCAACAGGGACGUCCAUACUCACCGCCGGGUCAUGGUGUUGCUUAGAUCAGCAUUCAGAGCGUGGUGGGGAGUCGACUUCUUCCUCGUCAUGUGACUCCUCGCUCUCCUCCUCACCUUCAUCUGAAGAUUCCCAUUCACCAACCUCCUCCGCGCUGGCCUGUCCCUCCUGGUCCUGCUCCAGGGUUUGUUCACCGUUGGGCAUCGAAUACAUGUCAGUGAAAACCUACAAGACAAAAAGUCGAGUAAAAGUCAGUCGAGAUCAAACACAGUCAGAAUAUGUAUACAAAGACAAUCGGAUAAAGAGCAUGCCUUGUCGGGCUGAUUGUCGACUGAAGGGGAUGACUCGCCUAGCUCCUCCGGGGAUUCCUGGUUGCCCGUCAUGCCCUUCAACCACAUGGCCACAGUCUUGGGUGGCACUUCCUCUAGAUGAACCCGAGCGGUGUCGUCGGACCCGGAGUACAGCCACAUGGGAUGGUCAAGGGCCUGAAGAGGCUGGAUGCGUUGACUGAGGAAUACUUCCAGCAGGUCCAGGCCAGUGACUGCCUCGUUAAUCAGUUGGACCACUUUCUCAACCAAUAUAUUUGUCUCCACGUUCUCAGCAGCAGUCACGUUCAGUGGAGAGGGGGUCUGGACAUAGUCGAAAGUGAAGUGGGGAAGGCAAGUCGAAUGACCUGGAGUUGGAACAACCUGGCAGUAGAAACAGGUCGUCUGCCAACCCCUAACCGAUUCAGGGAGAGUCAUAACGGGGAAAGAAAUCCUAUGCCUCUUUUGGAUACCCAGACUCCCACACAUCUGGAUGACAUGGGUCUUCGAGUCACUUGUUUUUGCUUUGUUCACCGACUGGGAACGGAUGGUGAAGAUAUGUUUGAAAAUGCCCCAAUGCGGUCGACACCACAAAAAGUUUUCACACAUUGACACGAAUGCGGAAAGGUACGUGAUGGUAUUGGGAGAAAAAUGGUGGAGUUGGGCACCGAAGAAGUUCAGGAAACCCCGGAAGAAGGGGUGCGGAGGGAGCAAAAACCCUGGUCGAAGUGGGUGGGGAGCAGUACACACUCACCCGGUUGAGGCCGCGGGUCCGUGUCCCCCUCAGGCAGCCUUGCUGCACCCUUGGCGAUCAACCCGGACUCCGCUAGAUCGUCCAUAUCUUCUUGCCGGAUCAAAGACCGGAUCCAAUCGCCCUAGAUCCAGCCUAGCAGCAGCCCCGCGCGCGACGACGACCCGCGGUUCUGCUUCUUGCCUUUCGCCGCCCCCGUCGCCUUCUUCGCACGCUCUAGCGCCGCCAUCUUGUCCUUCACCAUGGCAGCGGAGCGGCAGCGUCGAGAGCAGAAGAACUAGACGCGGUGGAGAAGCAGAGGAAGAAGAAAGAGAAGCGGGCGUGCACAAUGCAGAUGCCUCGGCCCCAUUGCCUUAUAAAGGGGUGCUUCCGAGUGGCUGAUGCGUGGGACCAGGCGAUCCUAUCAAAUCCUGCAACAGUCGCGCGCAACGUACGUGGAAAAAAAGGUGACAUGGAAAUCGAGGCACUAUUGUUUAUCCACCCCGCUUACUUCGGCGUGCCCCGUCUCGCGCGCUUCCCUGAAAUUUCGUAUCCCGUGAAAUUCGAGAUACACUGCGAUCAGUCGCGCCAAAGAUUCUGCACCCCAAGACAACACUUGGCAGAUGAUGCUACAAGUUCAGUCGACAACUUUCUGAAUGGAUCAAGGCGACUGAAUCAACGCUAAAGUACCAACGUGAGUCUUCCAUCCUGGGAAAAACACUCGCGAGGUGCAAAGUUCGGAACAAAUUCAACUUCAACCUACUUUCCACUUGAACCUUAAUCCAUUCCGGGUCUACUAAUGAGGAUACAGACUUGGGAUAGGGUCAUAGGCCUGACCUAUACGUCCUUCCCAAGGUCACUACCAUAGAAGAUAAGAAGUUCAAGAGGCAACAAAGAAGCCCCAGUCAAAGGUGUCGAGUGCAAUCCACUCGACUAAUCAUAUCACUCGGAUACCCCUCCUACUUGUUGUCACUCGACCAUACAAGGAAUCACUCGACCUACCGAAGAUCAGGGGUCACUCAGCAUUGCAACGACCAGGUGUUCAAUCUGUAGUCUUUGAGGUCAUUAAUAGCACUUAAGACUGGCGUUAUCAGUAACGCCCCUACUUUAUGUACAUUAAGCCCCUUGUAAUGGAGGAUGGCUAGGGUCCUGGCGCACUCUAUAUAAGCCACCCCCUCCUCUGGGACAAGGGUUGGCACCCCUUGUAACAUCACACACAUAUAAUCCAGUCGAUCGCCUCCAGACACCGAGACGUAGGGCAAUUACUUCCUCCGAGAAGGGCCUGAACUCGUAAAUCUCGUGUGUACACCUCUACUAUAGCUGAGAUCUUGCCUCUCCAUACCUACCCCCCCCCCCUUUCUACUGUCAGCCUUAGAACCACAACACUAGGGUCAACUUGCAACUAGGGUGCCUAUACACACUACAAAAAACAUAAAAAUGGCACUCGAGUUGCAAGUCUAGGGUCAACUUGCAACUUUUCAUGACUACGCAACUAUAAAAGGGAAAAGGGCCCAGUUGCAAGUGAAUGUUGAUUUGCAGCUGGGCCCCACUCCUUGAUUUGCGAGUCUGAGGUCAACUUUAAAAUAGGGUGCUUAUAAGAACUAUAUAAAAGAUAAAUGCCCCCUCCCUGAGUUGCAAGUCUGGGGUCGACUUGCAACUAUGGUGCCUAUACAAACUACAAAAAACAUAAAAUGACCCCCGCGAGUCCGGGGUCAAAUUGCAACUGGCCGUGCCUAUAUAGAAAUAUGUAGGGAGAAGGGUGGACUUGGAACUGGGGCAUCUACUACUAGGAAGCCCCUAUUGCGAGUCGAUGGUGGACUUGCAAUUGGCUAUACAACUACAAAAGCCCGAUUUACGAGUCGAGGAUGAACAUGCAACUGGGACAAGUCGAGUUAAGAGUCGAGAGUGCACUUGCUGGGGCAACUACACUUCUACAAAAUCCUAGUUGCGAGUAGACAAUGCACAUGCAACUAGGGGACCCCCUACAACUACAAAAAAGCCCAAGUUGCAAUUAGGGCAACUACACUACUACAAGCCCAGUUGCGAGGCAAUGGACUUGCAACUAGGGCACCCCUACAAAGGAAACCCCAGUUGCAAGUCGAUGGUGGACUUGCAACUGCGGUAACUACUAUAAAGCCUAGUUGUGAGUAGAUGGUGGACUUGCAACUUGGACAAUUAAAACUACAAAACAACCCCCAGUUGCGAGUCGAGGGGUGAACAUGCAACUGGGGAAAUUACAACUACAAAGCCCUAGUUGCAAAGCGAUGGUGGACUUGCAACUGCGGCAAUGACAAAUACAGAAAUGCGCAGUUGUGAGUCAAGGGUGAACAAAAAGGCCCCGAGUUAUAACUAGGGCAACCUACAAGCACAAAAAGAAGCUCCCAGUUGCGAGUCGAGGGUUAACUUGCAACUGGGGGUCAACUACAGCCAAGGAAAAACAAGCCACCAGUUGCGAGUCAAUGGUUGACUUGCAACUAAGGGCCUCACGUUGUGAGUCAAGGUCUGACUUGCAACUAGCACUACACCACGGUAGAGCUUCCCAUGACACGACAAUGUGUCGUUAUAGGGUACCUUUGCCGAAAGAUAAGAUGUAGCUAACAACAAUGCUGACAGAAGAUGAAAGAAUCGGAGGACUUGCUGUGGGCAAAGUUAUUGCUGACAAUUAUUUACUUCCCGAUAGUUUUUCAGUCAGCAUAGACCCUACCUACACCGACAGAUGGGAUGUCCGCAUACACCCUACCUACGCUGACACUUUAUCAGACAAUAUACACCCUACCUACACCGAGAGAUAGCGUGUCCACAUACACCCUACCUAUGCCGACACUUUAUUAGCCAUGUACACCAUAUCUAUGCCGACAGAUAGUCUAUCAACAUACACCCUACCUACACUGACAUAUAUUGCUUUGCCGACAGAUAAAUUGCUGGUAUAGUGAUGUACAGCCAAAACAAUUUAUAUACAAGCCAUAAACAUAUUCAGUUGUUACCAAUGUAUACAAACUCUAAACAGAUUCAAUUAUUAUCCUCACAUCCACAAGAAGGUUCAAGAUGAGCACAUACUGUACAACAAUGAAAACUUGUUCACAAACAUGCAUAUACAUUGAAUGCAAGUUGACAAACACAUCAUCUUGGCAAAGCAUAGUUUUGACCAUCUUAACAAUCACCUAGAACACACAAGUCACAGAAAGAUGAGCACUAUUUGCUUGUAUGAGAGACUUUAGCUAGAUGGUCUACAACACACAAGUCUAUAUCCACUUGCACAAAGUACAAGCUCCAAAAUAUCGGAAACACCAAAUGGUCUGGAAGACACAUAAGAUCCACGAUUAUAGGUUCAUUGGUCCAUAAACACUUCAAAGUCAUCACGUCCAUGUGCACCCGUUGGCUAAGUGCCUGGAACAUUUUCACAAAAAAAUGUCAAGAAAGUUGAAUCGGCUCAAGUUGUUCAAAGCUCAUAUGUGGAUUGGCACAUAUUCGAUCAAUAAAUCCUCAUGAUAUCAUAGUUAACAAUAAGUUUUUACAAAAGUUUUAAUUGGCUCACAUGGUACUAUAUAGAACUAUGUUCAUGUGCUUGCAGUUUUAUCAACAAUGAAGGCAUUGACCAUCAAAAACAAUGAUCCUACAACCUAGUAGCUUAUUUCAUAGCCUAUUACAUAAUAAUUUACUGAAGAAAGACAACCUCUUCUGCAACCUUUCUAGAUUUUCAUGAUUAAGAGCUACAUAACCAUGGAUAAAAAGGAAACCAUGACACAUAUACACACAAGCAAUUUAGUGUUAACACAUAGGUUAGCAACCUUGUAAAGUGACAUUUUAGAAACAGUUCUUAUGCAAUAGAAUGCGAGCUAAUUACUACUAAAACAAAAAAUGUACCUAGUAGUUGAGGUACCCGGCCAGGUAGCCUUCCAUUCGCCACCAGUUGGACACUACAAGUCGUGCCCCUGGUUCCCCAUGAGGUAGCCUUUCCAUCCACCAUUUGGUUUCUACUGCAUGUGUGAAACCAUGGUUCCCAGCGAGGUAUCCAUCCGUUCUCCGCCCAUUGGCCAUGCUGCAUGUUGGUGGUCGUGGUUCCUGGAUAUUGUCGGCAAGACUAAAAGUAAUUUGUUUCUCAUCAGACAUUGUAAUCAUGACAAUUGUAUGUAACAACACAAUUUGCAUAUAUUUUUUACUCUGACUAGUAAGUACGCACAUGAAAUGUACAUAGAACCACAUGAAGAUAUUUUCUCAUUCAUCCUAGUCAAGAGGAAAUUAUUCAAAUAAAUUCUCCCUUCCCUAGCAACCCUAGUCAUUUGAACCGUUGUUUAUUAGUUUGAUGAAAUAUGAGAUGGUAAGAAGUUGUAGAUAAUGACCUCCCUUCCAGCCUAUCAAAAAUAAUAUUCUGAUUUUAUCAGAAAUAGUGAAAGAAUAGUAUGUAGUUAUAAUUAACAAAACAUAAUUUCUACAAUAUAAAGUUGAGGCACACAGAGGUAACAGUCAAGGAUGACAUCAAAUUCCAAUGUAGAUAGAGCAUAAAUGCAGUACAUAAAAAUAUUCUAAUAUAAAGAGUGACCUCAAGAGAAACAAUGGCAAAGCAUUAACUGGCAGACGCUUGUAUAACAAAGUAGGAUCCUAGAUCAAUCCACAGGGAAAUAACAAGUCCAGGAAAUAUAAAUUAUGGAACGAUGUAGAGGCUGAGCAACCAUCUUCCAUUAUCUAAAGUAAGUUAAGCGUCUGAAUAGAACAAGAGGAGUUUUUGGAGACAUAACUAUUGGUGAGAUCUCCAGUCAUUGCAAACUUCACAAAUUUCAUGAUGGAAGAACAAAGAUAAUGUUCCGACAGAACAAUUUGUAGGCACUGGAGCAUGCUAAUAAAAUUUAAUAUGCUAGAACAAAGGUAGGCAAUUUUGUAAAAUAAAUGGUUUCAGUGCAAAGGUCAUAUUAGUCCAUGGAGUAACCACAGCAACAACCAAUCAGUCCAUGGAGAAGACAAAAUAAUAAAAUCCACUACUGAGUGGCUGGGUAGGGAGCGAGAGGCAAACUUGAAAUAGUGUUGCUGGGCCAUGUGGAUGGCCUUGCGAGGUUGUGGUUGUCGAACCAUCAUGCCUGCUUAAGCUCCUUCUGCACCAUCUCUUUUCCUUGCCUUCAACAAUCACAAAAUUAAGCACAAACUGACAACAGUACAAUAAAUGGAUUUUUCUUUAACAUCAAACUAACUUGCAGUAUAGGUCUAGAAGCAGAUAAGACAAUGAAGAUACAAGAGAAUAUUUGGAACCAUAGAAGUACAGGGAGAUUGAAAACACAAGCCUGACAUGUUGUUCGCAACAGAUAAUUUUGAUUAUUUCUUCUAAAGCAUACUUACUAUGUCCUAAACUGAACCAAACUGAAGUAUACUUAAGUAUGGAAAAAACAACGCUCUUGCAAUACAUCAACCAGGAAACAAUUCCAAAAUAUACAAAUAAGAUCAACCUGAGCAGUUUACUUGUUACUCACAACAGAUAAAAAAAAUCAAAUUGACUAAAAGAAAUAACAUCAUUGGUACAUAUAUGCCUUGUGGUGGUGUCGCUAAUGGUCAAAUAUAUUACACUUCAUCGAGAAACUUCAGAACACCGAAGCAAAUGUUUUUUUAUGAUACCAGCUUGAAGUCCAUAUAUCAUUUUGUUGAACAACUAUCCACCUA